rnacentral:lncRNA from 1 species
AAAAUCAGCCUUCAAGUGUCUGUUGAGCCAAUAAACCUUUCUAGAUAUAUCAAGUGCAAUGGAAAUUCAUGAGUUACAUAGAGAUUUGUAAACAUUUUGAAGAUUGCAACACCUGCAAGUGAGAUAGGCGGUGACGAAAUCAGAGCUGAUUUUGAAGCCUCUGAUGCCCCUGUUGUUGCAAGUUGCACCUGAGAACAUGUUUUUUUUUUCUUUGGGGUAAAAAAACUGGCAACAUGUUCGGAGCUGACAAUUCAAUCCCUGAUGAACUAGAGAAGCGAAGCUCCGGUAAGGAAUUGGUCAAGGUUGUGACAGGGAUGAUUGAUGGUGAAAUGGAUGCUAUUUCUUAUUGCAGCCUGUUCUCAAAGUUCUUGUUGGCAAAUGCAAGAGAUGGAGUAUUUUGAUUGGGAGGAGAUAUAAUGACAUGGCUUGACAAUUCUAGAACAGCCCAUCAUUAAUCCCAGAAAAAAUCCAGUUUCUGCUAAACAAUCACUUAUGGCAAGGCCAACUCUGUAAAUGGAAUUUGUGAUCCCUUGAAAUUGUACACAUUUUUUCUUUUUGAGGAAUUUAAUCAAACAGUAUUCUAAUGUAUUAUGAUAGCACUACACGCUUUUGUUGUAACAAAUUACAAGGAGGAAUUUGGAUUGAGUUUCUUGUAUAAGCACACCUUACACAAAUUUGGUAUAUUUUCUUCCAGCAAGUCUGUUUAUUAACCCCCUUAUCUGAAAUUAAUUGUUAAAAGUUUUGAUUCAUCUUUAAUCAGUGUCUAACCCUUGUUGAAUAACACUCCUCUUUCUAAUUUAUAUUUGAAGUUUGAGGUUUCAAUUUCAAUUGUGGGCUUUGAUUUUACAGAUUUUGUUUGUCAAUUUCAGUUUGGACAAAGCAUAUGCAAACAAAAUAAGCAUUUUAUGUUAUACUUUUGAAAUAGGUGUUGAUUUGAUUUAAUCAUAAGUUUUGCUGGUGCAUUUACUAGGCUAUCAUUCAAUACUUUUGAUCAUAGAACUUCUUUGGUCGAUAUUAUCUUUGUUAAGUUUAACCAUAAAUUUAGAGAGGGGACUUCAACAGAUUUAUAAUCUCAUCAUUAUAGUAUUAAAAAUUAGAGAUUAAGGCAUUGUCUAUUAUCUGAAUUCUGCUUACUUUUAGUUCAUAUGUUUACAUCUUAGCAUAUUCAUGCGAUUAGUGCGGCUCAUACCACAAAGGCAACUUUAGGCUCAUCAAGUGCUAAGCAAUGUCAAGCUUCCAAGUGACAAGUUCUCUACAUAGUUUGAGACCUACACUUACUAGAUAUUAGAUCAUUUCGAUCAUUUCCAUAUGUUUAUAUGUAAUUGACAUGUUAUAACAAUUUUUGUAGCGUUAUAUAAUUAUUUAGCAAUUUAAUUAUUUCUUUGCAUCAAGAAAUAGUUCUUAAGUUAUUAAAAAAAAAAAAAAAGAUUUAAAAAAAAAGAUUUGUUGAUGCUUAAAAAGCAUCAAGAACAGGUAGUUUCUUGACGGUUUAGUGACGUUUCAUAACUGUAGGAGGCUUUUUCUUCCGACAGCUGUAAAUGGGCUGGGUUGCCGUAAAGGGCAGACUGAUGAAAUUGUCCCCUUUUGUCUGAGCUAGAAAAUUAAGCCCCAAAAUACUUCGAAAGGGCAGCAGAGCCUUAGGAAGUAUUUUGGUUACCCUCACCAACUAAAACAACAACAACUUACAGGUAAUUUCUUAAUGCUUACAGAUGAACUCUUGAGCUUGGCAUGAGAGACAUGUGGCAUGGAAGCAAAAUCAACAUGAGUUUAGCACUGAGGGGAAAUUUAGGCUCUCUUGGGGGAAAAAGGGAAGUGUUAAGGUGAGAGAGGAGAAGUUUGUAGGAGAUUUAGCUAAGAAAGGAGAAAUAUAGAACAAUGCUCUUCUGGCAGCUUGACAGAUGCUCUGUCUGCCAGAAAAGGAAGAUGGAGAAGAAAUGUGAAUAGUGCACGAGUUUGCUAGAUUUUUGCAGGUAAGAGAGGAAGCUUGCUCUCUGGGUCUGAGUUGAGUUUUGUUAGGUGGAAGAGACCUCAUUUUAUAGCUCCUGGAAACCAUCACUUCCCAAGAAACCCUAAUGGCUUCUACCCAUUUUGGCCAAGCUUUUCCAUUCCUUUCUCAUUUCCUUCCUUGACUUUACCCCUCUUGAUGAAAUCCUCUCUACCUAUUUGCACCAGAUCAGAGUUUUUUGAAGCUUAAGGCCCCCUUUUCCCGCAGUUGUCUCAAUGGGAGACUUUCAUUCCUAGUCAUUUCCUUUAUUGCUUUCCUUUCUUUUUUUCAUGGCCAAGUCUGGUGGGGAAAGGAGUUGGGAUAAAUAUGCUAGUUUGAAGGGUGCUUCUCUUCUUGGCAUCUUACACACUAAUACCCCUUGGUUCCUUGAAUGUUUUGGCUUUGAAACUUGCUCCCCUCCAUGUAUUGGAACCUCCCAGCAGCCCUGGUCAAUGAAUCUUCAGACCUUCUCUUCGUGGCUUUUAUUUUUUUAUCAACUGGCUAGGGCUUUUGUGGCUCAUUGGGGCAAUUGUAUGGGCUAAGGUGGUUCAUUAAGUAAGUGGGCUAUUUUUAUUAAACAUUGAGCUUUUUGGUUGAGUCACUAGGCUAUUUUGAUUGGGCUAUUGGGCUAUUGUUUCCUCUCUUGUGCUCACCCACAUGUUUGGACCAAAGAAAUGAGCUUGAGUCCUGAGGCUCCCAAGCGACCCGAGACUUUCCAUUUAUCGGUCCAUCAAUGGGCCUCAUGUUGAUUUAUUACCAUCCAUACCACACCCCACUCAAGCAAGCCCCGGGCAUUUGAGUGGCUUGGGCCCACUUAGGCUUGUAGUGUGGUUGGGUGCAAAAUAACGAUUUCGUGCUUGGCAUGUUUUAAUUUUAUCAUCCAUGGGAAAGGCUGCGAUGUUUGAUUUCGGCAUGGGCUUGUAGAGCUGGUAUGCUUUAUUUCAACUCCUAGCAUGACGAAUUAUUUAUUUAGCAUGGCACGUGAAUUACAACUCGCAUGUGGUGGGUUUUUGUGUACUACACCUUACGCCUCUUCUUAAUAGAACAUCGUUUCUGAUAAUUUAUUUGGGCCCAACCGUGAAUUUUUUGGAUCUCAAUAAUAACCAUCAUGAAACAUUACAUUUUGACUGACAUCAAGAAAUGGGGUAUCCCUUUCUUGAUAGUGGCAUCCAUGAUGCCUUCCAAGCCGUCAAUUAAGGGCUAUCGCGAUGCAUUUUAGUUGUCAGCAAAAGGUGUUUUUCUUGUACUAUAUUCACUCAAAAUCGUGUUUCAUUUAAGAUUAGUAGUAUGGUUGAAUACCAUUUGUUUUGUUAAAGAAUAUUAUACAUUAGGGAUUUUUGUAGAAAUGUCAUUUGAACUUAUACCUUAGUUUCAAUUUGUCACCUUGAAGAAAAAUUUAAGAGAAAUAUCACCUUAAUUUUUUAAAAUCCAUGAUUUGUCAUAUGACUUUAAGAUCAUCCAAUUUUCCAUCCAUUUUAAGGGUAUUUUAGACUUUUCAUUUUCAAGGAAAAAAAAGAGAUGAAAAAAGAGACCUCUCUCUUACUUUGUCCCCCAACCCAACCCCACCCGCCCCCAAAAACACAUCACAUAGGAUUGCCUCCCCCUUCCCCACUUUUCUUUUUUCUUUUUGUCAUACUUUUCCACUGUGUUUAUGUUGAAGGAUCUAAAGUUUGCUUGGUCACCAUCUUUUACGUAGGCUUCCUAAUUGUUGGUUUGGGUGGGUUGUGGGAAUUUGUGUGUGGAGGGCAAGGCUCUAUCUGACAGGACCCACCUCGAAUUCCUCGAAACCCGAGACGAAUCUUGUAGAAUUUCCGACAUCACACCGAUGCCGGGUCCACUUCUGAACUAAAUCCUCUUUUCCAAAAUUAAGGAAAAAUAGUACGAGGCUUUCUGCCAAAAUUUCGGCAGUCUUCCCUAUAAAUUUAACGUUUCAGCUUUGGAGGCCGUUCUUUCAUUUCUGCUUUGGUGGCCGGAUGAGAGAACGGCCGGCUAAAACGUGGCCAGCUGGCACUGCCGUCACGAGAGAGAGAGAGAGAGAGAGAGAGAGAGAGAGAGAGAGAGAGAGAGAGAGAGAGAGAGAGAGAGAGAGAGAGAUGUUUAUCAAACCAUUUUUGCCAAAAUUACGAUUAUGCAACUGAGGGUAUUUUGAUCGUAUCUUUUUCGUUAUAACUCCGAUUCAAGCCCACUACAUAUCUACGGACUCAUCUCGCCGUGCUCUAUGCAAUUGUAUAGUUGAAAUUCCCAAAUUCCAUCCCAGUCAAAAAGUCAACUUUAAACCUUAUAAAAUAUUCUAAGGGCAAAAUGGUCUUUUAUCUAAUUAAAUUAAUAAUUGAAAAUUUAUUUAGGACCGGGUCGUUACACUGUCGUUGAUGGACUGUGCGAUGGCACUCACACAAAGUCCUUAAGAAUAAAACACACACACACCAUGAAGAGAGUAAAACAAAUGCACAAAGAUUUAUAAAGGUUUGGCCUCCUGCCUACAUCCUCUUGGUGAUCCACCCGAGAAAUUCACUUGUACGUAAGAACAACUUUGGUUACAACUAAACCCCCUUAGCUUUCAUAAGAACCCUAGAUCUCUUUUCUCCCACCCUUGCUCCAACCCUUUGAUGCCCUUGUAAACACUCAAGAAUUCAUCCUUGAAUUCUAUCAUGUGUUACAUCUUCUCUUCUCCCCUUUGCCAACCUAACCCUACAAGUUAUAUUUAAAAUUCAUUGGACUUUAAGUACAAGUUAACUAGGAAUAGGAAACAUAAAAGACCCCAAAAAUUGGAGAAAAUAUGUCUAGAUCUCAUUAGGAAAUUGCACAACACGUGCGAUCCUCUCGAGCGCCUGCAAAAUCAUCCCUUUGCCGCUCGAGCUGCCGAUAGCUCAUGGGAUGGGGGAAUUAGAAAUUUUUUUUUUUCAAUUUUAAUUGUUUAAAAGAUAUACAAUUUAUUAAUAAUAAUUUUUCCAUUUUUAAAAUACCCUUGAAAAUAGAAAGAUUAAAAUGCCCUUAAAAAUGGAUGGAAAAUUGGAUGGUGUUAAGGUCAGAUGACAAAUCAUGGAUUUUGAAAAAUUAAGGUAACGUUUCUCUUAAAUUUUUCUUUACAGUGACAAAUUGAAAUUGAGGUAUAAGUUCAAGUUACAUUUCUGCAAAAAUUCUUAUACAUUAUGAUAUUCUAACAAUAAUUGGCUAAAAUUGAUAUGUUCCCUCUUUUAUUUUCUUUUUCUCUUUUCCUUUUCAUUUUAUGAUCCAAUCCUUUUCAUAUAUUUUUGUUCAAGACUUUGUUUUAUAAUGCUCUAUUACUAAUUUGGUACAGGUCCCUAAAAUCUCGGAGCCGCCUUAGUACAUUCAUAACGUACAUGUUCAGAGUUCAAGAAUAAUGUAUAGAAUGUGAAAUUGACGAUGCCGGCCUUUAUGAGGCAACAUCUUUAUUUCUUUGGUUAUUCCAGUUUAGAAUAUUUGCACAAAUGAGAUGACUCCAAGCAUAAAGUCACAUUCGACCAAAAAGCAUAAAGUCACACACAAAAAGAACACGGACAAUUGCUAAGUUUAUCCUUGUACCCUUAUUUUAUUGAUCCGACCCAAUUGAAAAAUAAAAAAAGAUGAUAAAAAAUAUUGUUCACUGCUUUAAAAUCUAUGAGUAGAGUCCUCCAUUUGAAAUUUGGUCAUUAUACAAAAUUGGAAUGAAAAAAGAAAAUCCUAAAGCUAUAUUUGAUAUAUUUCAUUUUCAUUUUUUGCUGGGUGUUAGGGCUCGUCAAUGGGCCGGGCCUGGCUAGCCCGGCCCGAAUUUAAUGGGCUUGGGCCAGGCCGGCCCAGGCUUUAAAGAGGAGAGAGAAAAUAUCAGGUCGAGUUUUUUAAGAAAAUUCAAAGCCCAAGCCUGACCCAUGAGCCGGGCUUGAGAAAGCCCAUCGGGCCGGGCCGGGCCUAAACGGGCCCUACUUCAUUCAAAAAAAAUCAUUAACUUAAUCAUAAGGUCAUUUUAGUCCAAAUUUGAGAUUAAACUCACUUAAUUCUAAUAUUUUUACUUCAAACCAAAUUCAUAAAACACCCAAUAAAGUCACACAACUUGUAAGAUUUUCCACAAAAAUAAUAAAACCAAGUAUUAUUUUUGAGGUUAUUACAUAAUUAGAUCGUAAUACGUUUUAAAAAAUAAUUUUUAAAAAUAAUAUUAAUAAGUAUCAAAAAAAUAUUUUUUUAAAGGAUGGUAUGAAUAAAUAUGCAAAUAUUUGGUGAUGUGUUCAAGAAAAGGAUGAUUAUAUUUGGUGGUACGAUUAUGUUUCGUGAUACGAUUAUAUUUAGUGAUGUGAUAUGUUGUUCAUCUUAUAUAUAUAUAUAUAUAUAAUUGUUGAACUAAUAAUUGACACAAAUUAAUGUGUUAAUCAUCCAAUUAUAAACUAGGAGUGAAUAAAGAAAAGUAAAUGAAAUGAAACAAAUUAUAUGUGUGAUUUAAGUGAUAUAAUCCUAAACCUAAACUCUUAUUUAUACAUAAUUAUAUAUGUAUGCGGGCCUAACGGGCCGGACUUUUGUGGGCGUGUCGGGCCGGGCUUUCUUGGGCUUAAUCAGGCUGGACCUAUGGGUCAGGCCGGGCUUCAAACACCCCAACACGAGCCUAGCCUAGCCCGCCUUGGGCCGGGCCAUCUCAAAGCCCAUAACGAGCCGGAUCGGGCUUUUUUCGAUUGGCCGGGCGGGCCCCCUCGACCCAUGAGCCCGCGGGCCAAAUGAUGAGGCCUACUGGGUGUUCAAUUUUUCUUGUUUCUUGUUGAAAAGAAAAAUGAUAAUUAAUAAAAUCUGAUUUGGUGGUUGUGCUCGUCACAAAUCAAUGAAAUGACAGCAGUGAUUUUGCAAGACAGCAUACCUUCUCUUGGGGUGCUUUUCAUUUUGCAACAUUUCUUUACGUGUAAUUUCCAGAGGAGGGUUUAUCAUUGUAUAUAGCUCUUCGGGUGGUUUUUUCUGCAAAACAAAUGUCACAAGGAAGGAGGAGAAACGGAAAAGAUUUACUUGGAAUGUCUCAAGUCUCCUUUGAGAUAAAGGCAUCGAAUGCACAACAUUGUUUUUGUGCUAUUUCAUAAUUAAAGUGUGCUUCCCAAGUCUCCUUUGCGUUUUGUAACUUGUAAUGUUUGUUUUUUUGUUUCCCCUGUUUUGUCUUUUAUAAAAGAAAGAGGAAUGCUAGCAACCUUCUCUCUAAUCUUCUCUUUUGGACCUUCUCCCUUUUCUUUUUGACAAGUGUCAUUUUCCAUACACUUAAAACAAUGACAUUAAUGCAUCACACAAUUUAGUUUUUGUUUUCCAAGUUUACCAUUUUAAAAUGUAUUGGCUUUUAUAUUUCCUUCAAUUAUUCACAUUUUGUUAUAACUUGUUUAGCACAUUAUUUUUUUUAAUUUAAAAAAAGUCAUAUUUUUUAAAAAUAAAAAUAAAGUUUGUUUCAUGACAUUGUUAUCAUUUUUAUUUUGUUUUUAACAAAACACGCAUUCUCUUUGGAAAAAUUAAAAAUUAAAAAACAAUUCAGUUUUUAUUUUCUUAUUUAAUUUUUAACAAGCUAGUAAGAAAGUUAUAAAAAAAAAUUAGCUUGUUAUUAAAAAAAAAUUAAUACAUUUAAUAAGGGUAAAUUUGGAAAACAAAAACUAGUUUGUGUGAUGCAUUAAUGACAUUGUUUUUAGUUUAAGGAAAGUGACACUUGUCAUGAGAAGAAGGGAGAAGGUCCAAAAGAGAAGGUUAGAGAGAAGGUUGUUAGCACUCCCCAUAAAAGAAAUACAGGUCUGAACCACACGGAUCUACUUGCAUAAUAAUGGACCAAAUUUAUGAUUUUUAGAAAGAACCUUCUACUGGUGGAAUCUUGGGCUACUGUUGUGGCUCUCCUCUGUGUGCCUCCUUUUUAGAAUGGUAAAAUAUUCAAAAUACCAGAAAAUGUUCAUGAUUAAUGCAAAUAUUAAGAAUUGAAAUUAUUAAUUAAAUGAAGAUAAUAUGGUAAAUUCACACUUUUUCAUAUUAAAAAAAUUAAAAUUAAAAGAAAUAUCAGAUAAUUACUCUUAUUUUUAUGGAACACAGCUACCCAUUAUCUUUUUUAAUUAUAAAAUAAAUUUAAAUUAUAAAAAAAAAAUCCUCUCACAUGCACGGAAGCGCGUGCUCAGAGGCUAGUUAAAAAUAAUGAACUUUGCUUCUGAUGUCUAUACCAGACCCACUCAACCUGCUUUAUGAUUAUACAAAGAACAAACUCGUCCUUAGACUCAUUUGGUUAAACUUAGAAAAUAAUGAAACAAAAAUAUACACACCCACAAGUAACACAGCCAGGAUUGAAAACAACUGGACAAAGAAAGGCAUGUUAAAACAGAAUUUUCAACAACUCAUCACCAUUAGACAAGAAAAAGAAAAAUCAAUACAGAAACAGAAAGAACAGAGAAUAAAUGUGGUGGAAGAAAAACGUUGAAGCCAUUUGUGAAUCCAACAACACUACCACUCUGUUUCUCUCCUUUUGUUCAGGCGGAUCUGCAUAUAUCCUAAGGCGUAUUACGGAAACAACUUCUUGCCGUUAUACUUGAAUGUUGUGGAUGCUUCAACGUUGCCAUCUGGGUGGAGUGGAUUUGUCCAAUUCACCUUCACUAUGGUUAAUCAACUAGACAGACAUAAGUCAGAAACAAUAGGUAUAUAGGUCCAAAUUGUUGUUAUUUGAAAGGCUUCUAAAUUUUAACAUUUUGAUUUCUAAAUUUUGUUUUAAUAUUUCGGCCCACUUAGUUCUUCUCAAAAUAUGUCAUCAAUAUCGUUGAAAGGUUGAACUUAGUGAAUUAUUAUAGUGCAGUACGGUAAAAUAGGCACAUGAUAUAAUUUGUCCACAUGUUCUAAUAUAAGUGAAUAUUUAUUGAUAUUAUUUUCAAAAAUAAAAAAUAUCAACCAUUACAUCCUCCCAUAUUAUAAUACAUAUACAAAUUAUACCACAUUAUCAUACUCUAAUACCAUUUUAUAAUUUCUCGUACUUAGGAGGUAUAGAGCGAGUCAAUGACAUUACAUAAUAUAUAAUUGUUCAUAUAAUGGGGCAACUAACGUGAUCAACAAGUUGUGGUGAUUAAUUUAACAUAAUAAAAAACAUACCAUUUACUAUGUAACAAUUUGUUCUUUUAAAUUGGAUUGUCAUCACUUUAAUAUGUUAUGUUUCUUAUUCUAGUCUCCCAUGUUAAGUGCUUCAGCAUUGUUUGUGGUGUGUACACAAAUUUUCUUAUAAAAUGUUUUAAUGCUUCUCACAUGUAUAUCAGAUAUAGACAGUUGAUGUGACUUAGAAAUCAAAUUGUCAAUAAAGAAAAAAAAUAUAAUUGGUGAUCGAGGUCCAAUUUAAUAGAAAAUAGUCUUAAUUUGUAUAUUAAAGGUUUCAGAUUCGAAUCCUCACUGCAUUAUUGUUGUAUGCGUACACGAGAAAUUCUAUUUCCCAAUAAUUUAGAUUAUCACUUAUACUAAAAAAAAUAUAUAUAAUAAGUUUUACGAAUGCAAACAUAAAAUUACACCAAACAAUAAUGGAAUAGAAAGAUGGAAGUUUUUUUUUUUUCCUACAUCUAAAGUAUACUUUAUAUAUAUAUUUAUUAUGGGAGUUAUAACCGUUUAAUUUUCAGUUUUUAUUUUCUAUUUAUUGUGUUAAUUUUUAUGGUUUAAUAUGUAUGGAGAUUACAAGUAUUGGAUGUCUAUAAAGGGCCACUCCUCCUUCACAUCUGAAACAAACCACCAUCUCAUUUCUGUAUUUUCAUACUUUCAUAUAUUUUCUACUUUCCAGAUUAUUAUUUUUGGGCAACGGUUUUGUGACUUGGAGAUUUCUAUCCGAUUGUUAACAUGCUCAUAACGGACCUUGAGCUUGCGUAUUGGGGAUCGUAUCUUGGAGCCUUGUAGACCUUUAUUACGUGCAUGUAGGGAGGCUACAAAUGCUUUAGGUCAGCGUCUUUGACGUACUUUUGCUUUCUUUUUUUACUUAUUUCUUCGUUUCUUUAUUUUUACUUUACUUUUAAAUCUUUAUUUUAUGUAUUAUUUAUAUUUAAAAGUUUUGAAUAAGAGUUUUACAGAAAAGGAAAAACACAAUUUCAAAUAACACAAAUUUCUCGUUUUUUGUUCUUAAAAAAGAAGAAGCAUUGAUUGGGGAGUUAUGGUAAACUCAGUUUCAAUGGUUGCGAUGAGAGGCGGUGGCGGCGAGGAGAGGACGAAGGCUUUGCUGCCGACGGGGUGGUGUGGCUGGCUGCUUGGUCCUGGGUUCUCCUUUAAUUCUCUGUUUUCUUUUUUCAUUUUCUUUUUCUCUUAGAGUUAUUGAUGUUAAGUGAAUGGACAGAUGCCAAAAUAGGGACAGAAGAUGUGAACCCAAUUAUAUACAGCUGCUGCUAUAGCUGAUUACAUAAAGUAACAAAUUAAUUAAUGCUUGAGUGGAGGACAGGCUUGAGUGGAAGAAUUGAUUAAGGCUUGAGUGGAAGACAAACUUCAGUGGAGGAAAGUAUAGAUAAGGAAAGCAUGCCUCGUUUAACGGCUUUAUCUAAUAAAGAUUACUUGUUGGCACUUGGAGUUUCUUAGGAAUGCUGGUUUUGUUUCCUUGGUGGACUUGAAAGGUGGUGCCUUGGCUCGGACAUCUCCCAAGACAUACAACUGCUCAUUAGCUGAAUAUCUCGCUCUCUUUAAAGAGAUCGAAGCAAACACAAUUUGCAAUUUGUGUGAUUCAAGCAUGAAUAUCUGAUAUAGUAACUAUACCAUUUGUUGGUUUGAUAAGAAAAGUUUGGUUAGCGAGGAUGAAACCAUAAAGUUCCCAAAACACACAAAGAACACGGACAAUUGCUAAGUUUAUUCUUGAGUUCACACAUAUUUGCACAAAUGAGAUUAUUCCAAGCAUGAUUAUACCAUUUGUUGGUUUGAUGUGAAAAGUAUGGGCAACGAGGGGUAAAACCAUACAAACACACACGAAGAACGUGGACAAUACUAAAUUUAUCUUUACGUUAUUGAUCCGACCUAACUGUAAAAUAAAAAAGAUGAAAAUAUAUAAUGUUCAGUACUUAGAUCUAUGAGCACUUGCACAAAACAUCACUUUUGGUCUUUGGUAAAUUUUUAAAAUAAAUGAAUUUUUUACUUAUUUGUGAACUGAAAUGCCUCUAAAAAAAUAAUGAUAGUUCGAAGAAUUUGAUAGAAAUUAAAAAAUAUCCUCAAAUUACUUGGAAUUGAAGACCACAUAGGCAAAAACACGAAAUUGAAACCUCACUUUAAUGAUAAAAAUGGUAAACUACAAAGACAAAAAUGACGUCUUGCCUUAUAAAUAAUUGGAAUUUGCUGGUGAUAAUAGUCGAUAUCAUCUUUUGUCGGUCCGACCUAAAAAGAAGAAAAAGUUAAAAGCAUCUUGUACCAAUUUUUGCCAAUGUGGGCCCAAACAAUUUGAAGAAGUCCACCGGCAAUUUCUCAAAAGCUAUUGUGUGAGUGUGAAGCUAAACCAAUAUUAUUUUGCAUAUCCGACCCCACAUCCCCAUGUGAUGUGAGGCUACAGAGGUGUUUCCAAAACGAAAUAUGAUAUUUCAAAACGUAGCUAUGUAUAGAGUCAUUUGUAUUUGCUUUCACAAUAACAUUUGAUUUUAUAUUUAUACAUUCUGAUAUUUUAACAAAUAAAUUGACUAAAUUUGGCCAACAGGAUUUAGCCGAAUAGAAAAGUUCUUAUUUAUGGACUAGUAAUUUUAAAUUUAAAAUUUAGACUAUCGCAUGUAUUUAAAAAAAACUAAACAAUUGGCUUAAUUUGAUAUAUUUCCUUUUUUUCCUUUUUGCAUUUUAUGCUGGUUGCCGUUAUUAAGUUUUAUCCUUAUUUUUUGUUGAAAAGAAAAUUGAAAAAAAUAAUAAUAAUUCCUACAGCUAGCAACUUCUCCACCUACAAAAAAUAAUAUUUUUUGUUUUAUCCUCAUGUGAGGCUACAGAAAAUUUUUGAAAACGAAACUGGAUAUUUUAUCUCUAACGACAGCUUUCAUACUUCGUUUACCCUGUGUUUCCAAGUUGUGCUAGCUAUUUGCAAACCUUGGAAUAUUACUUCAUCCAAAUCCCUUGCAGAGAAAAGAAAGAUAUGGCUUUGAUCGGAGAGGCCCUCAUCUCUGCUACCAUCCAGACGUUGUGUGACAAAAUUGCUUCGCCUGAGUUCACCGACUUAUUUCGGCAGAAAAAGCUCGAUGAACAACUCCUCAACAAGCUGAAGACGACGCUGUUGACCUUGUCCGUAGUGCUUAAUGAUGCAGAGGAGAAGCAAAUUGAGGAACCUUUAGUGAGAGACUGGCUUGACAAUCUCAGACAUAAUGUCUUGGCUGCGGAGGACUUACUGGAUGAAAUCGACACUGAAGCUUUGCGAUGCAAACUGGAAGAAGGUGAAGGUCAAACCCACAAUUUAACCAAGAAGGUACGUGAUUUUUAUCAACGCAUGAAUGUUGAGAUGAAAGAUUUAUUAGAAAGAUUAGAACAAUUUGUACAAGAGAAAAGUGCUCUUGGUUUGAGAGAAGGUGCUGGGAGGAAGGUUUCACGAAGAACAACAACUUCCUUGGUUCAUGAACCUUGUGUCUAUGGUAGAGAUGAAGUCAAAGAAAAUCUGUUGCCAAUUUUGUUAUCUGAUGAUGCAAGUAAGGAUGAUGUGUCUGUCCUCACCAUUGUUGGAAUGGGUGGGAUUGGCAAGACAACCCUUGCCCGACUGCUUUAUAAUGACGAUGAGGUGAAAGAACAUUUUCCACUUCACGCUUGGGUUUGUGUUACGGAAGACUAUGAUUCUAAUAGGAUAACUAAAACUCUUCUAGAGUCAGUCACCUCAAAGUCUUCUAAUAUGACAGAUCUAAAUUUACUUCAAGUUGAACUAAAAGAACAACUCAAGGGAAAGAAAUUCUUAUUUGUUUUGGAUGACCUAUGGAAUGAGAAAUAUGGUGAUUGGAAACGCCUCCAAACUCCUUUUACUUCUGGGGCAAGGGGAAGUAAAGUCAUUGUAACAACACGGAGCCAACAUGUAGUAUCUGUCCUGCAAAGUGUUCAUGUUCAUCACUUGGAACCCUUGUCGCACGAAGAUUGCUGGUUCUUACUUGCAAAACAUGCAUUUGGAAAUGAAAAUUGCAGUGAUCCAAACUUGGAAGAAAUUGGCAAGAAAAUUGCACACAAGUUCAAUGGGUUGCCUUUAGCUGCAGAAACACUUGGGGGUUUGUUACGUUGCAAUAUAGAUUCAGAGGAAUGGAAUACAAUACUAAAUAGCAGUAUUUGGGAGCUACCCUAUGAUAAAUGUGACAUUCUUCCGGCUCUUGGGUUGAGUUACCAUUAUCUCUCCUCCCAGUUAAAACGAUGCUUUGUUUAUUGUUCAAUUUUUCCAAAGGAUUAUGAGUUUAAAAAGGAAGAUAUAGUUCAAUUUUGGAUGGCAGAAGGUUUAAUUCCAAAAGCUGAGAAUGGAAAGAGCAUAGAAGCGGUAGCUAGAAAAUACUUUGAUGAGCUGUUGGCACGAUCGCUAUUUCAAAAGUCAAGCAAAUCCGGUUUCACAAUGCAUGAUCUCAUUAAUGACUUGGCCAUGUUCAUGUGUAAGGCAUUUUGCCUUAGGUUGGAAGGGGGGGAAUCACAUGUCGUAGAAAAAGUUCGGCAUUUUUCAUAUGCUAUGGAAAGAUUUGAUGCAGCUCCAAAAUUUGAGCCAUUACAUAGGGCUAAGUUUAUGCGGACCUUUCUACCCAUAUCAUUAAAUUUUGUUUCCACUUCUUAUGUAACUAAAAAGGUUCUACAAGAUUUGUUGCCGUCACUAAGAUGUUUACGGGUGUUAUCAUUGUCACAUUAUCAAAAUGUUACUGUGUUACCUGAUUCUAUUGCAAACCUCAUUCACUUGCGCUACUUGGAUCUUUCCGGUACCGCAAUUGAAAGGUUACCUGGGGUACUUUGCAAUCUCUACAACUUGCAGACAUUACUAUUGUCAAAAUGUUUCUCACUCCUUGAAUUGCCUGCAGACAUUAGAAAAUUGACUAAUUUACAGAAAUUGACAUUGCUCGGUUGUAGUUCUCUUAAUAAAUUGCCUGCAGGCAUGAAGGAGUUGACUAAUUUGCAUCAUCUUGAUGUCAGUGGAACUAAAAUUGAAGAGAUGCCGGUGCAAAUGGGUAGAUUGAAAAGUUUGAGAACAUUGACUGCAUUUGUUGUGGGCAAAUCUACUGGGUUAGGCAUAAGAGAACUGAGGCAGUUCCCGCAACUUCGAGGAAAACUAUCAAUUUUGAAGCUACAAAAUGUAGUUGAUGCGAGGGAUGCACUGCACGCCAAUAUGAAGCACAAGAAAGAUCUCAAGGAGUUAAAGUUUUCAUGGGGUGCGGAGGAUGCUGAUGAUUCCCAAAAGGAGAAAGAUGUACUCGACAAGCUCCAGCCUUGCGUGAAUUUGGAGAAAUUAUCCAUCAAAUUCUAUGGUGGAACCAAUUUUCCGAAUUGGUUAGGAGACUCGUCUUUUUCUAACAUACAAGUCAUGCAUCUCAGUGACUGUAGUUAUUGUUGGUUGCUCCCACCAGUUGGACGGCUACCGGCACUCAAAGAGCUCUGUAUAAAAAGAAUGAAGUCUUUGAGGACGAUUGGCGUUGAAUUCUAUGGCAGAAAUGGAGCUUAUCUGACUCAGCCAUUUCGAUCUCUGGAGAAGCUAGAGUUUAGGGGGAUGCCGGAGUGGGAGGAAUGGGUACCAAGUGGAAGUGCAAGUGGAGGUGAAUAUGGUCCAGACUUUCCUCGUCUCCAAAAGCUGAUUCUAAACGAGUGUCCGAAGCUAAGAGGAAGUUUGCCUUGUGAGUUGCCUUGCUUGAAGAAGCUUACGGUGUAUGGGUGUAAGGUUUUACAUGAUGGAAGGACCGCUACCGCAACUACCAAUAGUGUUAACUAUAAAUCUCUGGAAGAAUUGGAUAUAAGUGGUGGAUGCCAAACUCUGUUAUCAUUAUUAGAGACAAAGCUCCUGUCCCGACUUCGGAUUCGAAAUGUUGUUGACAUACAGUGCUUGCCCAACUGCAAUCGUCUUCAACGUUUGACUCUUUGCCUAACGCUGUCAUCGUUUCCCAAAGAUGGCCUACCCACUACAUUGACAUCACUUUAUAUAAACAAUUGUAGGAAAUUAGAAUUCCUACCUCAUGAGAUGUUGGCCAAAUUAACAUCGCUUGACUAUUUGUGCGUACAAAAUAGCUGUGAUUCAAUGAGGUCCUUCCCGUUGGGCAUUUUUCCCAAAUUGACGACGCUUCAAAUUCGUGGUUGUGAGAAUCUGGAAUCUUUUUCCUUGAUUGAAGAAGAAGGAGCUGUUGACAAUCUCAGCCAUCUCAAUUCCUUGCGUGUCUAUAACUGUCCAAAAAUGGUGUGUUUUCACGAGGGAGAAUUGCCCACUCCCAACCUGAGUCACUUUGUAGUCAUUGGUUGCGAGAAUUUGAAGUCAUUGCCCGAACGCCUUCACACCCUCACUGCCCUUCGAUCUUUGAAUAUAUGGAAUCUUCCGAAUCUGGAGUCAUUUGCAGAAGAUGGGGGUUUGCCUCCCAACCUCCGAUCUUUUAUCAUUAGGAAUUGUAAGAGACUGAGGGCACUUGACUCAGUGGGUUUGCAAGCACUUGUCUACCUUCAGAUCGAUGGAAGUGACCAUGUCUUGGAGACGUUGCUGCUCCCUACCACUCUUCACACUCUCUGCAUCUCUGAUCUAUCAACUCUGAAAUCUUUGGACGGAAAGGGUCUUGGACACCUCACUUCUCUUCAAACUCUAAAAAUUUACAGCUGUCCAAGUCUUCAAUGCCUGCCAGAAGAGGGUUUGCCGCCAUCUCUUUCUCAUCUGAGUAUCCGCUGUUGUCCUACCCUGGAGGAAAGGUAUAAGAAUAAAACGGGACAAGAUUGGGCAAAGAUAUCUCACAUUCCUUGCAUCGAGAUAGGGGAAGAAGUGAUCAUAUAAUAUGAGCUAUUCCAUAUUUCACGCUCAACCCUCAACUCUCAAAUCAAAGUCAGGUGAGGUAUGUGCCUUCUCUUACUUUAAAAAACUGCUUCUCUUCUUCUAAUUGAAUACAAAAACCAAAACACAUAUUCUCUUUCUCUUCCAAAAACCCAAAUACAUGUUGGACAUUGCCCAAAUUUGUCUCCAAAUUCCUAGUUUAAAUCAAAUUUAAUGCCUAUGGAUAGUUUGUUAAUAGGUUCAUGCCAUGAAUUAAUCUUUGGACUUUCCCAGGUACUGCAGGUUUGUUAUUAAUGUUGUGGCCUGAUAUUCGUCGUAUCAAUACGUUGAGGAGAGAGAUCGAUCAGCAAUUACAAAAUUGUUAGUGAAUUUAGCUUGUUUAUCAUCUCUCUCCUUUUGUUUGUUAAGUUUUGUUGUUCUAGGUUAAACCCUUGUCCCCGCAUUUCACAGCAACUCUGUGUUUUUCCACUCUGUUUAGAUUUCACUAGCAGGAGAGCCCGCGCGAUGCUGCGGGUUUUGAAAUUGUGUAGACAAAAUUAGAUUGUUUAUAUAUACAAUGAGAUUUAAUUUAUAACAUUAUGUUUAACUACAGGAGUGUAAGUUGCAAAAAAGUAUAUAAUAACAUAUUUUACAGGCUACUUGUUAUGGUAAAAUACUAUACUUGUUUGUAUAUACAUUGAGAUGUUUAUAGUAGGAAGUAGGCAUCAAAAUAGCAAAAGUUGGAUAGUUUUGUACAGAAUGUUAUUUAAUUGGGCAAGCUUUGUUUUGCACUUGCUUCAUGAUUUUUCUUCUCUUUCAUGGAAGUCUUGAUCCUGUUAUAAAAAAAAGUGAGAAAAUAGUAAAUGUUAAUAUUGAUGAAUGGGGGAAAUUGAGUUAGGACAAUAAUCAUAAACAUUUAAUUAUGUAUAAACAGGAAUAAUAUAAUUUAUUGAUUUAAUAAGAAAGUUAUAAAUAGUUUUUCAAUCUAGGAAAUACAAAGUUACAAAAUUAAGAGAACUAAUGAGCAAGUUGUAGAUGGUUUUCUAAUUGAAGUAAUACAAAGUAAACAUAUUUUAAAUUUUGUGUUUGUCUAAAAGAAAAGUUGAAGAGAGGCAAAAUAAUUAUGGUUGAAUAUAUGGAGAAAAGGAUGUCAAUAUAAUGUUUAGGUUUUUAUGUAUUAGGAAUAUAUGACUUUUUUGCUGUUAUUUAGAGCAAAAAUUAUUUAAGGGCUUGACAUUUCUGUUAAAAAACGGGUAGAAUCUACCCUGAAAAAUGGACAUUUUGCCAAAAAAUUCACCUGUAAACUAAUUAGUACUGAAUACCGAUUGGCGAAGGCAAGACAAUCAUAGUUGUGGAGUACAUAGUUAGAAAGAUGAAUGUGCAAACGUACAUCUAACCCCAUGAUAUACAUCUAACCCCAUGUGAACAUGAUUUAUUCUACAACAAUGAUUAUCAAUUUUCUAAUUGCUCAUUUUCCUAACCCUAAUCAUCACAAACCCAAAAUUAACUCUAAAAAUUUCAAAUAAGCAUGGUUCUAAACCAAUUUCUAACUUACUUAGCGAAGUCUUUUCUAUAAAUGAUAGUUGUUGAAGAAAAAGGGAAACGAAAAUAAGCUUUUAGUGUAUAAGUACAUUGAAGCAAAACAUGAAGAGAAUCCAAUAUAUAACUUCAAUAUAUAACUUUAAUUUUCUAUAAGUGUUGAUCUAAAUUUACAUCCCUUACCACUCUUCAAUUUAAAAAUAGUUUUAGCUACAACAAACAACUUCAGAGAGAAGAUUUGGCCCUGUUUUAUAAGGCAAAACCUCUCUAACCACAUGACAUACAUCUAACUCCAUGUGAACGUGAUUUAUUCUACAACAAUGAUUAUCAAUUUCCUAAUUGCUCAUUUCCCUAACCCUAAUCAUCACAAACCCAAAAUUAAUUCUAAAAAUUUCAAAUAAGCAUGGUACUAAACCAAUUUCCAACUUACUUAGUGAAGUCUUUUAUAUAAAUGAUAGUUGUUAAGGAAAAACGGAAACAAAAAUAAGCUUUUAGUGUAUAUGCACAGCACAGAAAUUGCAUGUAGCUUUCCGAUUUUUAUCCCAACUUCGUUUCUGUGGAAUCACAAAACUACAUACGCACAGCACAGGGAAGGGAAAAAAAAAAAAAGGCACAUUUAAGAGACACCUAUCUUCUCAUUCUACAUCACAUCCUCUUUUCCUAGCUUUCCAACCUUGCAACCAAAGCAAACAUCUUUCCUGAUAAAGGGUAGGAAAGAAAGUGGUUGUGUGAAUUGGGAUGAGAGAGACAGAGACAGAGACAGAGACAGAGAGACAAAGAGAGAGAGAGAAAAGAGAAAUCAAAGUAUAUAUAUAAAUAGUAAGUAUAGUUUAUAUCAUGCAAAGUUUUGAUGGUUUCGUUCAAAAAAAAAACAGGGAAAAAGUUUUGAUGGGUAAUUCUAGUAAUAAUGUUCUUAUAAUUCUAUAUAUAUAUAGAUAUCAAACUGUACUACCAUAUUCUUCCUAUAUAUACACUUGGUCGUCAACUACCUCUCUCUCUCUCUCUCUCUCUCUCUCUCUCUCUCUCUCUCUCUCUCUCUCUCUGUGACCUGCAUUUAUACAGAACCAAUUAUUCCAUCUUCACUAUACAUUUUCCUCAUCUUCCCAUUCAUAUUUUAUGGCUCUCUUGUUCUUCCUCCUAAUUCUUUUGGUCCCUGCAAGCAAUACUAAUUGGCCACCAUCACCUGGCUACUGGCCAAGUUCUAAAUUCAGGUCUAUGAGCUUUUAUAAAGGAUUUAAAACUCUCUGGGGUCCUCAGCAUCAAAGCUUAGACCAACAUGCAUUAACAAUCUGGGUUUAAUGAGGCCAGAAAAUUUUAAGAACUUAUCUACCAAGCAUACCAAACUGACAAAGCAAACCAUAUCUGUAUUUUAUCAUCAAUUUCAUCAAUUUUAUCACCAACAACAGAUAAAAAAAGGGAAUUUUUUCAAAAAAAAAAAAAAGGAAAAAACAUAAAUAAAAAAAGGGGCACAUUUAAGAGAGACCUAUCUUCUCAUUCUACAUCACAUCCUCUUUUCAUUUUGAAGCGGUCAUGUGUUGUGAGUUUCUUGUUUUAUAAAUUUUCAAAACUGUUGUUUAGAACUGCAAAAUUCUUCAUCAUAUAUCUUGCCUUCUAAUAUACAUUCUGUAUCAGGAAACUGGAAUGAGGCUUGCUCUUUGAGGAAGAGAAAUAAAAGAAAAAGUUGUGGCAAAGGUUCACGGAUGUAGUUGGAUUGUAGUGGGACAGAGAACAAAUUUAUUUGUUGCAGGGGAAAAGUCUCAUCCAAAUGCUAUGAAAUCAUGGCAACUUUAAAGUAUUGGACAGCAAUAAUGAAAGAAGAGGGCUAUGUUGGUGACACAGAUUCUUGCUUGCAUGAAUAAGAGGGAGAAAAGCCCCUAUGGUAUUGACUGUUGCCGCCAAGUGCAUAUUGUUAUUACUAUGCGUACUACAUCCCAAGGCCUCUCUCAGCAGGAUUACAAAGUAAACCAGAAUUACUAUCCCAGCAGUAUUCUGCAACUUUGCUCUGCACUUCCUUAUGUAAUCUCUCUCUCUCUCUCUCUCUCUCUCUCUCUCUAUAAAUAUAUAUAUACACACACACACACACACACACAUAUAUCUAGGCAUGCAUAUUUAUGAGUUCCCCAUUGAGGAGGGAUUCCCUUUUGAGGAUUUUAUAAUUAGAAUUAGACUGCCUUCUUAACCAAUAGUUGGGUUUGUGUGGUAAGGUAUGCUGGGUUUGUUGAUGUGGAUAUUUAUGCCUGGAGGUGCUUUGUUUUACUACUUCGUUGAAGUAGAAACAGACACUGACAAAGAAGCCCUUCAUUCUUUGUCUCAAUAGUGAUUGGUUUCUUUGAUCCUAUUCAUCAUAUCUGGUGGUGAGGUUGCCUAAUCAGCCAAAUGUUGGGUUCAACUACCUCUCUCUCUCUCUCUCUCUCUCUCUCUCUCUCUGUCUCUCUCUCUCUUUCUCUCUCUCUCUGUGACCUGCAUUUAUACAGAGCCAAUUAUUCCAUCUUCACUUUACAUUUUCCUCAUCUUCCCAUUCAUAUUUUAUGGCUUUCUUGCUCUUCCUCCUAAUUCUUUUGGUCCCUGCAAGCAAUACUAAUUGGCCACCAUCACCUGGCUACUGGCCAAGUUCUAAAUUGGCCAGAAAAUUUUAAGAACUUAUCUACCAAGCAUACCAAACUGACAAAGCAAACCAUAUCUGUAUUUUAUCAUCAAUUUUAUCGCCAACAACAGAUAAAAAAAGGGAAUUUUUUCAAAAAAAAAAAAAAAAAAGGAAAAAACAUGUUUAGUCUUUGCUUUCCAAUGUUUUAUCCAAAAACCUGAAAAUCAAAGUAACUAAAUAAAUGAACCCAAUCAUUCCUAAUUUCUAUUUUGUCAAAACCUAAUUAAGCUUCACUUCUUUUUUGCUUGUAUUUUAUCAUCAAUUUCAUCUAUUUUAUCACCAAUAGCAGAUAAAAAAAGGAAAUUUUUUCAAUUAAAAAAAAAAAAAACAUACUCAGUCUUUGCUUUCCAAUGUUUUAUCUAAAAACCUAAAAUCAAAGGAAUCAAAUAAAUAGGGUUUAGGGCUCAAGAACCUGAAAUCAAAAGAACCAAAAAAAUGAACACAACUCUACAUAGCACGAAAAAUCUCCCAGCCAACAAUCAAAUUCAUGAAAUAAAUACCAAAAGAUCUGUUAAAAAAUUGAUGAGAUGCAUACCUGAAAACAAAGGAUGCAACAAAGAUGGAAGCCUGAGUCGAAGCAAGAACGAUGGAAGCCUGAGUCGAAGCAAGAAAGAUGGAAGCCUGAGUCGAAGGUUGUAGAAAAGACGAAAUCUCCCGAUCCCAAAUCUGUGACACGAAGACUGAAAGCACGGCUGGAUUUGCAGCUCACCUCCCAAACAAAAAUCGACGGCCUUCAACGCAUCUCCAGCAACGAACACAACUCUUCCAUGGCUGCCCCCCAACCAGCUGGUUGGAAACGAACGGGAGAAAAUGGUUUCUCUCAGCGGACGAAACCAUCUCAACGAAGGGGGAGGGGCAAAAACGGGAACAAAAGAAACUGUUUAGUCAAGGGCAGUUUCGUCAUUUAACUGUGCUGCAGGAAAAAAAACGAAAACAGCAGAAAAAUGAGGGGCAUUUCCGUCAUUACACUGUGCUUAGCUACAGUGUUUAGUUGCAUUGGGUUUUAGUAUAUAUAUAAUUUAUGUUGUGAUUCGACUGCUGCUGUAUUUUAGAUUUAUAGGAACAGACCAAACAUGUUGAUUCUAUCACCAAAAUUAUAAAGUAUACUUCCAUUACAAUUAAUUUGUUGAUUCUAAUUUGGACUUGUAGGAACAGACCAAACAUGUUCAUACGUGGCAUUGCUCAAGUCAUCAUCAUUCGGGACAGAGAAUAAGCCUUCAAAUGUCUGCUGAGUCAAUGAACCUUUCUAGAUAUCUCAAGUGUAAUGGAAAUUGAUGAGUUACAAAGGAUUUGUAAACAUUUUCUACUGGAGGCUAGAAAUGCUUCAAAUAAAUGACUCUGUUGCAAUUAUUUUGUAGGAUCAAAGACUCUGCAAAGAGGUAAGAAAGUCAUCAUCAAGUAACUUCGCUCUUCAUACUUUUUAUUAGGGGUGGGCAUUGGAACCGCAAAACCGCAAAACCGAACCAACCCAAUCCGAAAAAAACCGAAAAAAACCGUGUUGACCGAAAAAGUCAAAAACCGAGACAAAUCCAAACCGAACCGGUUCAGACCGGUUCCGGUUCCGAUUUUCCACCUUAAGGAACCGGUCCAAUCCGAACCGGUCCAAUAUAAUUAAUUUUUAUAUUAUAUUUAUAUUUAUAUUUAAAAUAUCAAAUUUUGUAGGCCCAAACCCAACUAUUUCAUUAUACCAACAAAAAGCCCAAAUCUCCCAAGUCCAUUGCCCAAGUCCAACAAGCCAUAUUUUAAUAUCCUAAUCACAUCAAAUCUCACUUCACUCUCUCUCUCUGACGCACUCUCUCUUUUCCUCUCAGAUUUUUUUUACUCUCUUUUUCUUUCUUUCUUCUCUCUUCCGCCUCUUUUCCUCUAGGUUCUUUAACUUCUUUUUACUUCUUUCUUUCUUCACUCUUCUGCCUCUUUUCCUCAGUUUUUUCUUCUUCUUUCUCUCUUAUUCUUUCUCCUCUCAAUUCGUCUCCAUUUUUUUUCCCUCUCUUUCUCUGAUUUUCUGUUACUCUGAUUUUUUUCUUCUUGGUUUUAUGUUUCUCUCUCUCCCUCUAUAUCUCUUUCUUUGCAACUCUGUUUUUCAAUUUCUCCUUUUUUUUCUCUCUUCAUUUUUUGUUUCUCUGUACAUAUAUGUGUUCAUCUUGUAGAUCUGGGUGAAAUUCUUGUAGAUCUAGGUGAAGUUCUUGGAGAUCUGCGUUAAGUUCUUGUAGAUCUAGGUAAAGAGCCAAUUCAAAGCAGGUCAGCGUCUCUUAUCUCCCCAAUCCCUUGUGAAGAUAUGUAUUUUUUUUGUUGUCAACAAUCCAUUUUGGUGUUUUUAUAUGGUAUUGAUAUUUUCUAUGAUUUUGGGCUGAUUUGAGGUCUGAUUCUUUUUUUUUCUUUCAAUUUUUUCCUGUUGUGUUUUGAUAGACAUGUUCUCUAUUCCUGAUAUCAUUCCUCAGUGGCAAAAUCUUUGAGCGUUGUUGUAAAUUUUAGACGGGAAAGAAGCUCAUUCAUAAUUCAAAAAAAGAAAAUAAAGUUACAACAACUGACAAUUUGUUGCUCUUUGAAAUAGGUACUGAAGUAGCAUGGAUAAAAAGAAAGACUGAAGAUGUUGCAGAAGAUUGAAUAUGUUCUAUUUCUGUAAUUUGUUUGUAAUUAAAUUUGUUUAUUUUGUUUUGUUUUUAGGUUGUAAGUUUUAUUUUAAUGUUUGAUAUUUGUUGUUUUGUCAAAAAAUUGUAUUAAUGCUUGAUGGAUUCAUUCAAUUUGCAGUGCGUGGAUGUGAAUUGGGCCAAUCGGUAAUAAUUAGGCCCAAAAGGUUUUAAAUAUCAAUUGGGCUGAAACUUACAAAAAAAUUUAAGAACAAAAAAAAAAUCAAUUAAGCUGUGUGUCGGCCCAAACCGUAAAAACCGGAACCGAACCGGAUUCAAAUGGGUUCGGGUUGGUCCGGUUUUCUCAAGCAUUUUAGUAAAAAUCCGAACCGGACCGGACCGGUGAACAGUACCGGUUCCGGUUUUAAAUUGAUGCAAAAACCGGUCCAAACCGGACCGUGCCCACCCCUAUUUUUUAUUUUUAUUUUUAAAUAUCAGUAAUAACUGGGAAAGCUUGCAUCUCCUUAAAUUGCUCAUUCUUACAUCUUUUAUAGUUUGUUGAUCUUGGGCAAGUGGAGAGAGAGGCGUCAAGUGAUACGCAACAACCAUUUUCUGUGAGCUGAUUUGAUAAAGAGAAAUGGUAUGCUUUCUUGUCUUAAGCGGUGUGUUCUGCAAUUAUUUGAAACAAAGGAUGCCGCACUUCAAGUUCGAGAAAAUCAGGUAUUUUAGUAUUUUAUUCUUGAGAAAUUUGAUUUAUGUAGAAACUUGAACAUGUAAAUGAGAGAAAAAAAAAUAAAUAUAUAUAUAUAUUAUAUAUUGUAUAUGCUGUUAAUGAGUUAAUAUGGUGCUUGCUCCUAGUUGGAAAUUUAUGUAGUCAUCUACCUAUGAUCAAAUAAAGAUGAAAAAUAAAAUAAAAUUGAGAGCAUCUUCCUCUCCCCUGCUUUGCUCAUCCCUUGUUCUUCCACUUCAGCCCCACUAUUACACCAUUUUUUUCAGCCACAAUUAUAAUAGCUCCAUGAGCAUUAAGUCCCUUUCAAAUUCUGCUGACAUUCAAAAUUGGAAUCUGCUGGUGAUAUAUGAUAGCGUUAACAUAUUGUACCAUUUUGGCCAGUGUACGCAAUAUUAUUGCAUCCAACUUUGCAUAUUAACAUCAGUGGCCACAGUUACACGAUUUGAGUGCACAGAAAGGUUUCAAAAGUUGUCCCACAGAGAACAGUCGUUCAAAGUGAGAGAGUUUUGAAAGCUUAAUUACAAGUUCAUGUUGUUUACAACCUCAAAAAGCUUUCAUACUUGCUUACAAACCUGUAUUUCCAAGUUCUGCAAACCUUGGAAUAUCACUUCAUCCAAAUCCCCUUCCAAAGCAGGAAAAAAUGGCAGCAGCUUUGAUUGGAGAGGCUCUCAUCUCUGCUUCUAUCGAGGUGUUGUGUGACAGAGUUACUUCAGCCGAGUUCAUAGACUUAUUUCAGCAGAAGAAACUUGAUGAAACACUCCUCAUGAACCUGAAGACGACACUGUUGAUUUUGUUUGCGGCGCUCAAUGAUGCAGAGGAGAAGCAAAUUGUGAACCCUGCUGUGAUAGAGUGGCUUAACAGCUCAAGCAUGCUGUCUUUGAUGCAGAGGACUUACUUGAUGAGAUUGACACUGAAGCUUUGCGAUGCAAGCUGGAAGGUGAGGAUCAAACCCACAAUAAUUAACCAACAAGGAUCUUUUUGAUUGUUUGAAAGGAGGGUCUUUGAUGAUUUGAAAGGAGAGGGUUGCUUCAUUUCUGUUGGAUGCUUAAUUAAAUCUUAUCUGGACUUGAACAAGGAUUAGGUUAGCUGUAUAAUUCGUGGUAAACACCUUUUUCUAAGGUUCAUUUAGACUCCUAUUACGAUUAAUUUGUUGUUUCUAAUUUGGACUUGUAGGAACAGACCAAAUAUGUUCACACGUGGCAUCGUUCAAGUCAUCAUCAUUUCAGACAAAAUCAGCCUUCAAGUGUCUGCUGACUCAAUGAACCUUUCUAGAUAUAUCAAGUGCAAUGGAAAUUCAAGAGUUACAUAGAGAUUUGUAAACAUUUUGAAGAUUGCAACACCUGCAAGUGAGAUAGGUGGUGACGAAAUCAGAGCUGAUCUUGAAGCCUCUGAUGCCCCUGUCGUUGCAAGUUGCACCUGAGAACAUGGUUUUUUUUUGGGUAAAAAACCAGCAACAUGUUCGGGGCUGGCAAUUCAAUCCCUGAUGAACUUGAGAAGCAAAGCUCCAGUAAGGAAAUUGGUCGAGGUCACGACAGGGAUAAUUGAUGGUGAAAUGGAUGCUAUUUCUUAUUGCAGCCUGUUCUCAAAGUUCUUGUUGGCAAAAGCAAGAGAUGGAGUAUUUUGAUUGGGAGGAGAGAUAAUGACAUGUGUUGACAAUUCUAGAACAGCCCAUCUGAGUUCUUUUGUCAGGCUGCAUCAUUUAAUCCCAGCAAAAAUCCAGUUUUUGCUAAACAAUCAAAUUGUACACAUUUUUUCUUUUCGAGGAAUUUAACAUUACACAUUUUUUCAUUUUUUCAUCAAACAGUUUUCUAAUGCAUUUGUUGUCCCAAGUUACAAUGAGGAAUUUGGAUUGAGUUUCUUGUGUUAAUAACAUUAUACUUUCAUGGAAUGGUUUAUCUUCUUUUUCUGGACAAAAAUAUUUAGAUUAAUUUCUUGGAAUAAUUUUUUAAUAAUUUUUUAAUUGCAGUAGCGAAAAAAGGAAAAUUGUAUUUUUCAAAACCAAUCUUAAGUCCAGUUUCCUCUUCUUGGUCGUCACACUUGGAAAUUGCUAACCAUAUAUAACUUGGGGUAACAAUCUUAGUCCGAAUGUGUACGAUCUUAGUCCGAUCAAUGGCUACGCGUAUUGGCUCGGCCUUGGGGUCUACCAUUCCAGUGUACAAGCUUCCUGGGUCUUGGGGCAAUUCCUUCAAAUUGUACACAUGUUUUCUUUGAGAAGCAAGGCUCUAGUAAGGAAAUUGGUUAUGUAACAAAUUUUGGUCCCUUUGGAUGGAAUGAUUUACAAUGAGGAAUUUUAUUAUUAUUAUUUUGUUUUUGUUGUUAGUGUAAUGAAAAUGAUCUAGGUUCAUACACUGGGUAUAGCUCUAAUUUGGCCAAUUUCAUUAUUUUAGUUUCUUCAUAUUUUCAAUUAUUAUAAUUUGGUGCGUUGUUUUUUAAAAACAUUCAUGAGAAUCUCCAUUUUUUAGGUGUUUAAGUUAUUCAUCCACAACGGUUUUAUAAUACCGUCAUCUUUUCAAACACAACGAUGAUUUUUUAAUCUAUCGUCGUUGUUUUCUGAUCGUCUUUUUCACUUUUUGUAGUAGUGUCAAUAAGUAAGAUGAAAUAAUACAUUCACAAUCUGUUUAAAUUUUAAAUUAAAAAAAACACAAGAAAAUUUUAAAUAAGUAAGUAAUUUUAAAUAUAUAUUUCCAUUGUUUUGGUUUUCUUUUCAUAUUAGUUUUCUACUAGCUGCUAAUUUCAUUUAAAUUGUUUUUCUUACUUCAUUUAACUUUUAAGCAUGCAGAUGCAAUCAUGACUUCUUCUUUUUUUCAAUAGACUGAUUCUCUUCCCACAUAUAUAAUGCUCUCUAAGUAUUCGUAAUAUGAGUAGGAAUUUAUUUUCAUUUCACAAGAAUUGUCCAUCAAAUUCUGAUAGGUUUGUCGAUAGCACAAGCAUGCACAUAUAGACACUACAAGAACUUUGUUUCUUCAUUUUGUUUCCUAAAGAUUUGUUGGCUUCGUGCAGAUGAAUAACAAGUCUCUCUGUCCUCUAUUUCUUCUUUUUCUUUUUUAACAAUUCAUAUUCUACUUUCUGUUUUCACCCAGUAAAAAUUGAUUUUAGACAUGGGCUUCUAAAUUAUGUGCGGAUAAUGGUUGCAUUUAUAGAAUAUCCAUGGGCUUCUAGUCACCGUGGUUGUUGAUUCAGCAUGUCAUAUUACUCUUGGACUAGCUGUUGACACUACUACAUUUUACACUUUGCGCGACGAAGAACAAAACGUCGCGCAAAGUCGCAUUUAGUCGCCCCAAUUUCAGCGCGACAAAAACGUCGUCGCGCAUAUUCCGUCGCGCGAAGAUCGUGAAGAAAGCCUUUGCACGACGAGGUACAACCCUUCGUCGCGCAAAAGUGUGCGACGGGUAAACCAUCGUUGCACCAACGGUGUGGAGACGAAACAACCCUUCGUCGCAAAAAUAUUUGCGCGACGAUAAAUUAUGCGGCGCACGUAUAUUUGCGAGACGACGGGAAUUGCGCGACAAAACAUUAUUCGUCGCGCAAAAUAUGUAUGGGAGACGUAUAUGUUCGUCGCAGAACAAUUCGCGCGAUGAGAAAGUUUUCGUCGCACAUAUAAUUGCGCGACGAAAAAUUAUGUCGUCGGCCAAAUAUUUUGCGCGACGAAACAUUUCGUCGCGCAAAACGUGUUAUGUGUUCGUCGCGCAUGAAUUAAAAGUGAUAAAAAAAUAUUUGAUUUUUUUUUGUUACAUGUUGGUUUGCGCGACGAAAGAUUUUCCGUCGCGCAAAAAUAAUAUUACAAUUUUUUUUUUAUUUAUAUUUUUUAUUUGAUAUAAAAUUGGUUUCUUUUUAUUGAUUAAACAAUGAAAUUGCAAUAAAAAUAAAUUAGAAUAAAAUUUUGUUAUAAAAUAAAAUAAAAUAAAUGUAUUACAAAUAAAAUAAAUACACUAAUCAAAUAAUGAAUCAAAAUCAACCGAGUCGUCGCCAGUAUGCGGCUCGGAGGGCGGGGCGUUCACCGGGGCAGUGGUCUGGUGGGGAUGCCCGGGAUGGACGGGCUCAGAGGUCGGCGCAUCAAAAUGCGGGACUGGAAUGCCGGACUGUGCGAGGGACUGCAGAAUGACCGACAUCUGGCUCUGAAGAGUGGCCACCUGUGCUGUCAAAGCAGUGACCUGACUGUUUGACUGCGCCGAUGAACGAGGUCGAGGUUCCCUCCGCCGGGCAUUCCCCAUCCCUCGACAAUAUGUCCCCGGCCUCCUCCCGAGAGUCUGAUCCAACGUCUCCGUCAAUAUCUGAAAUCCAGCAUCCUGUGGAGGAGCCACAGACUCGAUCGGAGUCUCGGGAGGAAGCUGGGAGGCGGACUCCUGAAGAACAAGCUGGCUCCUCUCCACCAUCGUCGUCUGUUGAACAUAACAUAAAAUAUAAAUUAAAACAUGCAUAUAAAUUGAAUGCGUAACAUAAGAAUUAAAAUUAAAUAAUACUUACAUGAAGGGACUCGGCCAACUCAUUCCCGGGUCGAACAUAAACGUCACCAAAGACGUCGAUCUCUGGGAACUUGGACCCCUCCUAAAUUGAACAAGAGAAGAAAAAUAUUAGUAUGAAAAAAAUAAAUUAAUAAAAAUGACAUUAAAAAUGAAAUAAAAAUUUUGUGAUUAUUACCCGACGCCGUGCAUCCAUCCUAUAAGAAAAGGGUCUGGAGCCGGAAUGGUGGAGAAGGGUCUUCUUCUUCCUAUUACCCUUAUUCACUUGGGCUUUAUUCUGUUAUACAAAAAAUGAAACGUAUUAGUUAAAAUAUAAAAAAUUAAAUAAUAAUGAAAUAAAAAAAUAAAAUAAACAUUAAUAAGUAAUAAGUAAUAAUUAAACAAAUAUAAUUAAAAAAAUACCGCAAAUUCGGGCGCUUGAAAAUGAGCGCAGAGCCACUCCCAACUAUCCUCCCGCCCCUCAAGCUCCUUCGGGCAACCCUCCUGAAGAGCGACUUGCGGAUCAUCAUAGGCCUGAAAAUGGUGGUGCAAGUCGCUCUUCCACUGCUUGUACCUCUCAGCGAAGAGUCGGUUGACGUACGUCAACGACUCUUCGUCGAGAUCCUCCAAGUUAUAGUUCGUCUGCAAUCAAUUAAUUAGAUACGUUAAGUAAUAGAAAUAUACACAAUUUUAAAGAAAAAUAAUGAAAAUGUAAGGUACAUACCGACAACUGGCCGUGAAUCUCCGCCUGGAUCUCGUCAGGCAUGACCCUCCAAGACUUCCAUUGCAUCGGGCAAUGGGUCCGCACGACGUGGCCAAUGUCGUGGGCCAAGGAGCUAUGCAACUUCGCCGUCGGUGCAGCACGAUGGCGCUCGUCGUAUCCGAUGCUGAUACGACUGUUGGUCACCCGGGUGACCUUCGCCGUCUUCAGCUGACGACACGGUCCUCGGGUGUUCCUCUUCGCUGCAAAGAAAUAAGGUAUUAAUGUUAAAUAAAAAAACAUUGUCAAAUUUCAAUAUAAAAUUAACAAUACAAAAGUGUAGUUAUACCUGGCUGUGAUCCCGAGGCACCAGUACCGUCGGUCGAUGUCGUGUCGAUGGUGUCGGUGGGCCGGUGCCGCCGCCUAGCACUAGCUGGUUGCGCCACGGAUGACGCAGAUGACACAGGCGCCUGGGGCGCCCCGGGACCAACCACCACGUGGUCCAACAAAGCAGGAGCAGUGGCAGCAGAUGCCGACUGAGCCAGGGGAUCCGAACUCGGUGCAGUCGUCAUCGACCUACCACGUCUAAUCAAGUCUGACAUCUGCACAUAUAAUUUCAUUCAGAAUGUAAACUAAUUAAUUAAAAGCAUAGCCUGACCUAGGGUUUGGAAUUUCGGAGUAUCCGGGACUCCGAUCAACGAUCGGUCGAAUCCUAAACGAUCCUAGAAACACAAAGGUACAACUACGCGAGUUUCAGUUCGAUCCAACGGUCCGAACAUAUCAAACCUGGAAAUCGCACAAUAGGCGAAAUUCGAUCAAGACUCAAACGGUAACCAAAUUCAAAUCCGAGCAAACCUACGCGCUCGUGACAAACAGGGGAUCGCUCUGGGACACAAUGCCCCACUGCCACAGCAUCCCACGCGCCGGCAGCGCGUGGGUGUCCAAAGCGAUAACAUUCGCCGGAAAAUUCUAAAAACUAACGGCCAAGGUUCCUACCCUAGGUUGAAAACAAUAUUUGGCGCCACUUUUGUUCUCGGACCUACCCCGAAAAAUGGCCGGAAGUGGCCGGAUUUGAAAUUGCCAAACCGGCCAAAACCUAGGGUUUUAAUUCCUAUUUCCUAUACCCAUCAGCUAGAGCACAAAAAAUAGUCGAGAAAUCAUACCUCAGGCGUCGGAAAUGGUGGCCGGAGGAGAGAGAAAACGGCCGGCGAGGAAUCGGUGAAAAACCGACGAUGUGCGACGGCAGGCUCGACGGCGAAGGCAGGGGAGGCUAUGGCAGGAGCGGCGGUGGCUGAGGUGACGGCGGAGAGAGAGGGCUGAGGUGACGGCGGAGAGAGAGGCAAACGGAGGAAAAAACCAGAAAUGGGGAAGAAGGAGGCAUCGCGACGUUUCUGCAAAUUUUUACGACUUUGCGCGACGAAUCACAUCAUUCGUCGCGCAAAAUGCUAUUAAUGAAUCUUGCGCGACGCUAUAUCCGUCGCGCAAGAUCUGUCAGAACGCCAAAUUCUGAAAGUGGAUUAGGGUCUGUAAGUUUUGCGCGACGAAAUAGACAUACUUCGUCGCGCAAAAGGCUGUCUUUCCGCCAAAAUUUUGGGAUUUAGGGUUUAGCGGGAGGCUGAAACUGAAGGGUUUGCGCUUUUGCGCGACGAAGACGGUAAACGUCGCGCAAUGGUAACCUUGCGCGACGGAACGUAUUAUAUUCGUCGCGCAAAAGGCUAUCUUUCCGCCCAAAUUUUGGGAUUCAGGGUUUAGCGGGAGGCUGAAGGGUUUGCGCUUUUGCGCGACGAAGACACUAAACGUCGCACAAAAGGCUGUCUGCUGAAAUGAAUGGUUUCUGCUUUUGCGCGACGAAGACAAUAAACGUCGCGCAAAACGUUGUCGUUCCGCCAACAAUUUGGGGUUUAGGGUUUAGUGUGAAAACUGGCGCCCAGAUUGCGCGACGAAGAGUACAUAUUUCCUUCGCGCAAUCUAUUUCACUUUCACUUUGCGCGACGGAUAUGUUGGUUCGUCGCGCAAUCUUCAAGAUUUUCAUUGAAAUUUUCACUAAGUGUUCAAAGGGGAUGGAGGUGUGAAAACUGGCGCCCAGAUUGCGCGACGAAGAGUACAUAUUUCCGUCGCACAAUCUAAUUCACUUUCACUUUGCGCGACGGUUAAAUUGUUCGUCGCGCAAAAUGUAGACCCUAAACCCCCUUGUAAACCCUAAACCCUGAACCCUAAGCCAUAAACCCUAAACCCUAAAAUAGUUUCAAUGAUCCAACCGGCAAACUUAUUGUUUGAAACUUGGAGAUCAUAUACGCCAAAAAUCAAGAAGACCAAACAUUCAGAUAUCAGGGAACGGGACUAAAUAUUUCGACGGUUAUAAAUGAAAAGUCAUGAUUUAACGGUUAUUGUAACUCCGAUUUUGAUCAAUUUUGACAGCAGCAUUUGUUGACCCUAUAUGAAUACAAUGACUGAAUUUGAUCUUCAAUUUCAGAUUUUUACACUAGGGGAUACCACAUAAACGUGAAGUUACAUUUGCACAAAUGUAUAAACAAAUUUUAGGGUUUUUGGUGAAUAUAUGAUUUUGAUAGCACAUGCAGUCUACGAAACAAGUUUCAGUCAUCCAGCCGUCAAACUUGUUUUUUUAGACUUCGAGAUCAUAGACAGCAAAAAUCGGACAAAAAAAACAUUCAGAGAUUAAGCAACGGGGUAAAACUUUUCGACGGUUCUAAAUAAAAAGUGAUGAUUGAACGGUUAAUUUAACUCCGAUGUUGAUGAUUUUUUGCAGCUACAGUCCUACACUCCAUAUGAAUACAAUGAACUACUUCGAUCGCCAAUUUUAAAUAUAUAUGUGUGUAUAUAUUAUACUAUAACGUUACCUAAUAUAUAUUUGCGCGACGAAAGUUUGCUUAUCGUCGCGCAAAAAUGCCAUACGCGACGCAUGUAUAUAUGCGUCGCGGAAACUAUGCGCGACCAGUUGUAUUCGUUGCGCAAACAUUACGCGACGCUUAUGUAUGCGUCGCGUAUGGUAUGUUUGCGCGACGAUAUGGAGCCCUUCGUCGCGCAUGGAUUUGGCGCCAUAAAUCCUCAUUGAUUUCAAAUUGUGUAUGCUUUGUAUUUUUUAGAAAGGUUUUGUAUUCAUCAUUUUUUAUGCUUUGUAUUUUGUGGAAAGGCUUUGAAAUAUUCAUUUCUUUUGUUAUUUUUAUUGAAGCUUUAACUUGUUCUGUUCCGCAGAAAAUUCCAAUGAAGUUUGUGAUGAAAUAUGGAGAAUGAAUACACAACUACAUAUGGACAACUACACAUAUUCAAAGAUUUGUAUUACACAAAAUUAAUACACUAACAUAAUAAAUUUACAAAUAAAUUCAUUAUUCAUCAUCUGAACUAUAAUAACUUUCGUUAUCGUCGCUAGCUUUAACUUGUUCUGUUCCGCAGAAAAUUCCAAUGAAGUUUGUGAUGAAAUCUGGAGAAUGAAUACACAACUACAUAUAGACAACUACACAUAUUCAAAGAUUUGUAUUACACAAAAUUAAUACACUACAUAAUAAAUUACAAAUAAAUUCAUUAUUCAUCAUCUGAACUAUAAUAACUUUCGUAUCGUCGCUAUCAUCACUCUCGGUCUCCCAAUCUUCUUCCUCCUCCUCCUCUAUAACUGCAUCAUCGGCGUUGCUAGGGCCCACUGCAACAUCGUAUCGGGGAAGAUCACCGAGGUCAAUUGUAAUUGACUGAAUCGGUAUUUCGACUGAAGACACUCCUUCUAUUUGAAACGGUUCUUGUAUAACAUUUGUAUCUCGAAGUGUUUCCGCAUCAUUUUCCAUUGAAGAUUCUAAACGAUGGUCAGCCACAUUGUCGACGUCGUUGUCACUUGGGUCUAGUUCUGGUAUAUUAUACACGUUCCUAUGAUCCAUCUUCUGCACAACUUUCCACCCGUUCCCGGCUUUAGGGUCAUCUAGAUACACAAUUUGGGACGCCAUGUUUGCCAAAAUGUACGGGUCGUCAUCAUACCAAGUUCUGUUAAUAUUCACAGACAGUACUCCAUGGUCGAUUUUAACACUUCCCGCCCUAUUUGGGUUGGUAUCGAACCAUCGACACUUAAACAUGAUGACUUGGUAUCGAUCUUUGUAAAGCAAUUGCACGACAGUUGUCAGUUUGCCAUAGAAAUCAAUGUCUGUACUUUCGCCUCCACCUGGGACAUGAACACCGCUAUUUUGCGUACACAACUUGUCAUCUCGUGCGGCCCCUAAAAAUUUGACGCCGUUAACAUUACAACCCGAGAACAAUUCAGCGCGAAUUGGGCCGAACGCCAAGUUAUAUAACUCAUCACUGUAAGUGGGGGAAUUCGAUGAUUUCAAUUUAUUCACCUAAUAGUAUACAAAACCAUUUACAUGUUAGUCUGACAAAAUUAAAUACUAAAAUUUAUAUUUGUCAAUUACAAAACACUUAUAACUUACAGAAUCCAAAAACCAUUGUGGAAAUAAUUCACGGUGUUUCCGGGCAACCAAAUGUGAUGGAUGUUCUCGCUUCAUCAUCUGUUCAUGCUCAUCUAAGUAGGCCAUUAUCUCAUCACAAUUGUUCAGUACGAACCAAUGCGCUACCUCCAUGUCAUUUCUAGAAAACGACUCUCCUCGUCCAGGAUCUCCAAAUGGUCGUGCGCUUUGGGCAAAAACAGAAAGUUUUUCAUUUCUCAUACCUCCGUCAUUAUUGCGGUGAGGACGAUUGAAAACCGUCUCCACAUCUUUUAAAUACAUUCCACAGAAAGUAAGCGACUCAUAUUGAACCCAAGCCUCUAUAAUUGAUCCUUCGGGCUUUGCCCUGUUGCGUACACUUUUUUUCAGCUCUCCGAGAAGCCUGCCAAAAUAAAACGAUAUGAUACAAAUUAGCAAAGUGUCGAUAAUGAUGCAUACACAAAUGAUAAAGAUUAUAUACCUUUCUAUUGGAUACAUCCAGCGAUAGUUGACAGGACCAGCAAGCAAUGCCUCUUCUGGCAAGUGAACCAUCACGUGCAUCAUACUUAUAAAGAAAGCUGGAGGAAAUAUCAUCUCAAACUUGCAUAGGACUUGGACAAUGUCAUGGCGCAACUGAAACAUGUCUGUCCUUCGCAAUGUUUUUGCCGUCAGUUGGGAAAAAAAUCUGGAUAACAACAUGAUUGGCUUCACCACAUCUUCCGGCAGUAAGUGUCGAAUACCCACAGGAAGUAGGCGUUGCAUGAACACAUGGCAGUCAUGGCUCUUAAGUCCAGUAAAUUUACCCCCAUCGACAUUCACGCAACGUGCGAUAUUAGAAGCAUACCCAUCGGGAAAUUUGACAGACGAUACAAACUUUAGAAACUCCUUUUUGUCAUUCGGUUUCAUAGAAAAGAAUGCAAGAUCCCUUCUAGCUUUAUCACUGUCCCUAUUCAUCCAUAAACCCCUUCGUAUGCCCAUUCUUUCCAAAUCAAGACGAGCUUUGAUCGUGUCCUUCGUCUUCCCCUCGAUAUCUAGAAUCGUGCCCACCAAUGUGUCGAAAACAUUUUUCUCAACAUGCAUCACAUCUAGAUUGUGCCUCAAUUUCAGUUUCGACCAAUAUGGGCGCUCAAAAAACAUAGACUUGUGCGUCCAGUUCAAAUGUGUAGAAGGUCGGGUCCGACUAACUGUUUUCCCGAACGGAGCAAAAUCCAAACGGUUCAGCUGUUCCAAGAUCUCAUCACCGGACCAUUCUCUAGGUCUGAGGCGACGCUCUGUGUUCCCGUCGAACUCUUUAUCUUUUUCUCGCCACUCGUGGUCCCAUGGCAACCAUCUCCGAUGACCAAGGUAACAAACUUUUCCCGCGUGCCAACCAGAAGUUACAUCUUCCUUGCAUACAGGACAUGCCAUAUAACCCUUUGUGCUCCACCCAGAAACCAUUGCAUAUGCUGGAAAAUCAUUCACAGUCCACAUAACUGCUGCUCGCAAAGUGAACAUCCUCCCAGUUGAUUUAUCGUACGUGCGAACACCGUUUGUCCAUAAAUCCUUCAGCUCAUCAACCAGAGGCCUUAAGUACACAUCAAUUGACCUGCCAGGAUCCUCAGUUAUCAAAACAGUCAUCAUCAUGUAUUCUUUUUUCAUGCAUUUCCAAGGCGGCAAAUUAUAUGGGAAUGCGAAAAUCGGCCAAGUGCUGUGGUGUUGGUUUAGAACCCCAUACGGAUUGAAUCCGUCAGUGGCAAGUCCCAAUCUAACAUUUCGGGGAUCAGCAGCAAAUUCGGGGAACGUUCGAUCGAACUCUUUCCAUGCCUCCCCAUCUGCAGGAUGCCGCAUCACAUCAUCGUCUACCCGUUUUUCCUUAUGCCAUCUCAUGUCUGUGGCAGUAUGCGUUGACAUAUACAAUCGCUGCAACCUAGGUUUAAGGGGCAGAUAACGCAUGACUUUUUGUGGUAUCUUAGUCGUUCUAUUCUGGGAUGUCAGUUUGAACCUCGACUCAUUGCAUAUAGGGCAUGUAUCCAACGUUUCAUGCUCUUUGUAGAAUAACAUGCAAUUGUUUUUGCAAGCGUGGAUUUUUUCAUAACCCAAUCCAAGACCGUGCAACACCUUCUGUGCAUGUUUAUGGUCUUUCGGCAAACAAUUGUCCGUCGGAAGCAUUCUCUUGAAAACCCCCAAAAAGUAAUCAAAACACAAGUUCGACAUACGAUACUUUAUUUUUCCGUGCAUUAGCUCCACAAUGGCAGUGAGAACGGAAAACCUCUCGCACCCCGGGUAUAACUCUUGGUUGGCAUUUUUUAACAGUUUUUCAUACUGUUCAAACUCCGCACUGUCUAUUGGUGUAGGCACGUCAUCUUCCCCUUCCUGAUUGAUGUUGGUCGAUGCGAAUGGAAAAGCAUCCUGUAUAAUACCCAUGACUUGAUCAUUAGGAUCCACAAUAGGUUCAACAUUGUCCACUCUCGGGGCAUUUGAAGACGAAGCAUGGUCUACUUGUUCGCCGUGAAGGUUCCAAAUGCUAUAUGUUUCAAUCAUUCCAUUCCUUACUAAAUGAAAUCCAACAUUUUCAAUUGUCUCCCACAACGUGUUGUUACACCUCCUACAAGGACAACGGAUUCUAGUUGCACCCGGGUUGUGUCUACGUGCAAACUCAAUAAAAUCCUCGAUUCCAUCCAAGUAUUCGUCUGCGCAUCUAUUCGGGUUCUGUAUCCACCUUCUGCUCAUAAUUCCUGAAACCACAAUCACGACACAACAAUCACAACAACUUCAUACGAAGUUAUAAUGUCACCUUAUGCCUCCGGUAAGGGCCCUAUCCCAUUCGGGAAUGCAUAGUCCUGUCACGUAACCUACGGCUACAUGAGAUUAGAUUUCGACGUGGAUUAAUUUCAGCAGCAUCUCGACACAGUUCUUGAAGUGGGCAUAGGUAUAAAUACCUACGUACCACCCGAAGAACGUACCGAGAUGACACCGAAAUCUCCACAAUCGAAACCUAAUCCUGUAGCCGAAGAUUAUGUGACAACACUAUGCAUUACCAAACUGUCCAAAUAAUGGGACAAUUCAAGAAUUAAUUGGACCGCAGUCAUGCAUUACGCAUCCAUGCACGAAAUUCAACUAAUCUCGAACGGGAAACUACGUGUUACUAAACAUAAAAAUAAAAGUACGAAGUUAAUUUCAAUUAACUUCGUACAUCACAACACAUUGUGCUAUGUCACGCACAAUUUCACAACAUUAUACACAUAUAACUUCACAAAAAAAUUACAAACAUAACAAACAAACUUUUACAAUAACAUACCUUCUCAAUCGUUCUCCACCAAUCACAAAUAUCCCUAACGAUAACAAAAUUAAUAGCGUUACUACGAAUUUACAUUAAUACAUUUAAACUAACGACAAAAAAUACAUACCCAAUGAACGUACUGAAUUCACAGUAGAGCAACGGCAGAGAGAGUGAGAGAGAGGUAGAAUGCAGUGGGAGAGUGAGAGAGAGGCAGAAUGCAGAAACUGCAUUCUGCCUCUGCAAUGGAACUGGCUAAAAUGAAGAAGAAGGACUUUGCGCGACUAACAAUCCAAUCCGUCGCGCAAAAUGCCGUCGCGAAAACCCACUUUUCCGUCGCACAAAAAAACAUUUCCGUCGCGCAAUUACCUGCCGACAUCAGGUUUUUUGCGCGACGAAUACAAUUAUCCGUCGCACAAACAUCCGUCGCGCAAAUAACAUUAUUCGUCGCGCAAGGUUUAUAUUACGUCGCGCAAAUAACACUUAUUUCGUCGCGCAAGAAAUUACACUUUACGCGACGAAGGUAAUUCCGUCGCGCAAAAAAGUUUUUUCCACCCUGCAUUUUGCCGCCAAAAUUAAGUAACCCUCGUUUUCUUACGCGACGGUACAUAUUUCCGUCGCGCUAAGGCGUCUUUUGCGACGAAAAUGUUCGUCGCGCAAGAUUCUGGCGCCAAAAACAUAAACUGGGGAUUUUUCCCCGACCUUUGCUCGACGAAAUUAGUUUUGGUCGCGCAUAGAUUGUUUGCGCAACGAAGAUUGUUCGUCGCGCUAGUGUUCUGCUGUUUGCGCUACGGUAUUUUUUUUUCGUCGCAAUAGUGAUUUUUGCGCGACGAAAAUAUAUUCGUCGCGCAAACGUCCGUCGCGCAAAUAGUAAAUCGUAGUAGUGUGAUUUGGUUUAGACUUGGUUUAAUUAUCAUUGUUGUGGUUGGUUCACCAAAAAGAUUUGGCUUAGAAUUACCAGUUUUGUUGUUGGUUUAGUUAUGCUUGGCAUUUGAGGAUCCUAUGCUUACUUGUAUGGGUAAUACAUUUUAUUGAUCGUUUCAUAUACUAAUUAUGAACUUUUAGUUCCAUUGUGCAUUUAAGAGUACACAUAUUUCAUAUGUAAUUCGAAAGUUUGUCGCUGAAAUUUCUGAGAAUUUGAAACUAGAUAAGCACACCUUGCACAAAGUUCAUAUAUUUUCUUCCAGCAAGUCUGUCUAUUAACCCCCCUUAUCUGAAAUUAAUUGUUAAAAGUUCUGAUUCAUCUUUAAUCAUUGUCUUACCCUUGUUGAAUAACACUCCUCAUUCUAAUUUAUAUUCGAAGUUUGAGGUUUCAAUUUCAAUUGUGGGCUUUGAUUUUACAGAUUUUGUUUGUCAAUUUCAAUUUGGACAAAGCAUAUGCAAACAAAGUAAGGCAUUAUCUAUUAUUUGGAUCAUUUCCAUAUGUUUAUAUGUUUUUAAUAUCAUUUGCCUAUGUAGUUGACAUGUUAUAACAUUUUCGUAGUGUUGAAUAUAUAUAUAUAAUAAUUUUAUUUUAGUGGAUGUGAGAUCUCAGUUUGUUGCUUUAUAUAAUUAUUUCUUUGCAAUUUAAUUUUUUUUAUCAGUCAUACUAUUGUUGACGGCUAAAAACCAUCAAGAAACAACUCUUAAGUUUUUUAAAAAAUAAAUAAAUAAAUAAAGAUUUGUUGAUGCUUAAAAAGCAUCAAGAAAAGAUAGUUUCUUGACGGUUUUGUGACGUUUCAUAACCGUCAUGAAACAUUACAUUUUGACGAACGUCUUUCUGAUAGUGGCAUCCGUGACGCUUUCCGAGCCAUCAAUUAAGGGCUAUCGUGAUGCUUUUUAGUUGUCAGCAAAAGGUGUUUUUCUUGUACUGUAUUCACUCAAAAUCGUUUUUCAUUUAGGGUUGCUAGUGUGGUUGAAUGCCAUUUGUUUUGUUAAUGAAUAUUAUACAUUAUGGAUUUUUGUAGAAAUGUCGCUUGAAAUUAUACCUCAGUUUCAAUUUGUCACCUUAAAGAAAAAUUUAAGAGAAAUGUCACCUUAAUUUUUCAAAAUCCACGAUUUGUCAUCUCACUUUAACAUCAUCCAAUUUUCCAUCUAUUUUAAGGGUAUUUUAGUCUUUUCAUUUUCAAGGGAAAAAAAGAGAGGAAGAAAAAGACCUCUCUCUUACUUUCUCCCCCAACCCAACCCCACCCGCCCCCCAAAACACAUCGCAUAGGACCGCCUCCCCCUUCCCCACAUUUCUUUUUUCUUUUUGGCCUACUUUUCCACUAUGUUUAUGUUGAAGGAUCUAAAGUUUUCUUGGUCACCAUCUAUUACGUAGGCUACCGACUUGUUGGUUUGGGUGGGUUGAGGGAAUUUGUGUGUGGAGGGCAGGUGUUCAUGUUGUGUGCACCAAGACCUUAUCGUUGAUGAACUAUGUGACGGCACACACACAAACUCGUUGAGAAUAAAACAAACAUACCACCAAGAGAGUAAAACAAACACACAAGGACACAAAGAUUUAUAGAGGUUCGGCCUCCUGCCUACGUCUUUUUGGUGAUUCACUCGAGAAAUUCACUAGUAUGUAAAAAUAACUUUGGUUACAACUGAACCCCCUUAGCCCUCACAAGAACCUUAGAUCUCUUUUCUCUCACCCUUGCUCAAACCCUUUGAUGCCCUUGUAGACACUCAAGAAUUCACCCUUGAAUUCUAUCUUGUGUUACAUCUUCUCUUCUCCCUUUUGUUAACCUAACCCUAAAAGUCCUAUUUAUAAUGCAUAGGACUUAAGUUACAAGUUAACUUGGAAUAGGAAACAUAAAAUACCCCAAAAAUUGGAGAAAAUCUGUCCAAAUCUAGCCUGCAAAAUCAUCCUUCUGCCGCUCGAGCUGCCGGUGGCGCUCAUGGGAUGGGGGAAUUGGAGAUUUUCUUUUCAAUUUUAAUUGUUUAAAAGAUAUACAAUUUUUUAUUAUAAUAAUUUUUCCAUUUUUAAAAUACACUUGAAAAUAGAAAGCUUAAAAUGCCCUUAAAAAUAGAUGGAAAAUUGGAUGGUGUUAAAGUCAGAUGACAAAUCAUGGAUUUUGAAAAAUUAAGGUGACAUUUCUCUGAAAUUUUUCUUUUAAAAGUGACAAAUUGAAACUGAGGUAUAAGUUCAGGCGACAUUUCUACAAAAAUCCCUAUACAUUACAAUAUUAUAACAAUAAAAUUGGCUAAAAUUGAUAUGUUCCCUCUUUUCUUUUCUUUUUCUCUUUUCCUUUUCAUUUUAUGCUUUGUUGCUAUUGCUAUGUUUAUCCUACAAAUAUAGCAACUUCUCCACCAUUCAUUUGUUAGUGACUACGAUGCUUAGUAACUUCUUCAGCUCCCCUUAUUUCCAUGUACUAACCAGGGACACCAGGUCAGCAUCUUCGGUAAGAAUCCUAACUCAAUCAAACAAUGACAUCUGUAAAUAUUCAAAAUUGGAAUUUGCAUUGUGAUAGUUGAAAGCAUCCUUGUCCCAAAAAAAGCCAAAAAAUAAAAUAAAAUUGAGAGCAUUAAGUCCUUUUCAAAUUAUGCUAAUAUGCAAAAUUGGAAUUUUGAUGGAGUUGCUUCCUUGACUUUUCCACCUUUGUAUCCAGUCCACUUUGCACAAGGAGCCAAGUUUGAGAGAUAGUUUUCUGUAUUUACACCAUCCAGGAGAAAAUUAAAAAACUAUUUCAUGCCAAACUAACUACGGAUUCUUGCAAAGGACCCAUUAGUGUAGUGGUUUGGAGUAUUUACUCCCUCAGGCAAGGUCUUGGGUUCGAGUCCUAGCAUUCAUGUUGUGUGUGUGAGUUUAAUAUGCUAUCACCCCUUCCAAUAGGAAAGGACCUCAAAAAAAAAAAAAAAACUACAGAUUCUUUAAUUGAAAGAAACCCCAUAUUAAUCAUCCUUUGGCACAUAAAUGUUUGGUAAUUGGCAUUAAAGUAUCUAAAGGUUACGAAAUUAAAGAUUUUAAUGCAAACCUAAAAUUGGAAAAGAGGGCACCAAUUCAUGUAAAAUAUGGUGUACUUAGUAGAUCCAACAUAUUUUUUUAGCAACCAAGGACAAUCAUCAUUUUUUUUUUUAAGAACCAAGGAUAGCUUACAUUCUAGUUUGUCCAUCAUGUCAACACAUUUAUAAUUAAAACUUCUUUUUUGGUGAGGUUUCAAUUUUUGUCACUGUAACAAGACCACAAUUGCCAUUCAGUAUGCUAACAUUGUCACUAUGUUUGCCAAUUGCAUAUUAUCUAGAACAUAAAGGCUUUGGUGUUUUGUAUAUCCUCGGGGUGCCAAACCUGUCUUUAUAAAAAUGGUCCUUAUGAUACUACUUUAACAACAAAAAAAUAUAAUAAACUAGGCCUUUGUAGUCACUGAACGAAUGUUUUCUCAUAGAUAUGACUAUUUAAAUGUAAUUACGGGAUUAAAACAUUAUAAUAAAUUGGAGUGAACCAUAACAUUAUAUAUGAUCCAAUCCUUUUCAUAUAUUUUUGUUCAAGACUUUGUUUUAGAAUGCUCUUUUACUAAUUUGGUACAGGUCCCUAAAAUCUACGCCUUUAUGAGGCAACGUCUUUAUUUCUUUGGUUAUUCCAGUUUAGAAUAUAUUUGUACAAAUGAGAUGACUCCCAACAUAAAGUCACAUUCAACCAAAAAGCAUGAAGUCACACACAAAAAGAACACGGACAAUUGCUAAGUUUAUCUUGUAUCCUUAUUUUAUUGAUCCAACCCAAUUGAAAAAUAAAAAAGAUGAUAUAAUAUAUUGUUCACUGCUUACAUCCAUGAGUAAAGUCCUCCAUUUGAAAUUGCGUGAUUAUACAAAAUUGGAAUGAAAAAAGAAAAUCCUACAACUAAAUUUGAUAUAUUCCUUUUCAUUUUAUGUUGGAUGUUAAGUUUUCUUGUUUCUUGUUGAAAAGAAAAAUGAAAAGAAAUAAAUAAAUUACACAGCUAGCAACUUCUCCACCUUCCCUUCUUCCCAUGUACUGACAACAAGGGAGGCCUUCAAUCCAAAAUAAAGACAAGGGAUGCCAGGUCAGCAUCUCAGAUAAGUAUCCCAACCAAAACCAAUCAAAUAAUGACAUAUGUAUCUCUUUUUGUGUUUUGUUCUAUUUCUCUUUGAAUUAACUGCGAAGUUUCAUAAGCGUGUCCUCCUUUUGAAAUUGUGUAUUAUUCAAAAUUGGAAUUUGCUGGUCAUACUUGAUAUAAGCUAAAACAGUUUCCAACAUCUUGUACCAUUUUUUUCCAGUGUGGGUCAUAACUUGAAGAAGCCCACCGACAAUUUCUCAAAAGCUAUUACCAUCCAACUUUGAAAAAUAAAAGUUUCAAAAGUUACCCCAAACAACAGCCCUUGAAAGAGAGUUUUCCAAGGCUAAAGAUUACAAGGAUGUUAUUGGCACAUGCAUUAACGUGUGACAAGAAGUUAGUUAUAUUUAUAAAGUAAAAGAACGAAGUACAUAACAUGUAAGUUGAUGCCAAAUAUUUGAUCAACAGAGCUAAACAUAAAACCACGACAAUAUAACGUUGUUCACCAAAAAUUGUGUUUCGUUGAGGGUCAGUAGUGUAGGUUUCAAGAUACGAUUUAUUUUGUUAAAGAAUAUUCUGAUAUUCUAACAAUAAAAUUGGCUCAAUUUGAUAUGUUUCUUUUUUUUUUUGUUUUUGUUUUCCCUUUCAUUUUAUGCUUUGUUGUGCUAUUGCUAAGUUUAUCCUAGAGACCAGGGAUGCUUAGCAAGUUUCUUCACCUGCCCUUCUUCCCAUGUACUAACUAGGGAUACCAUGUCAGAAUCUUAGAUAAGAAUCCCAACCCAAUCAAACUAUGACAUCUGUAAGUAUUCAAAAUUGGAAUUUGCAUUGUGAUAGUUGAGUGGAAGAAUCGAUUAAGGCUUGAGUGGAAGACAAACUUCAGUGGAGGAAAGUAAUUAAUCUCACAAGACAUAGCCCAUCAGUUGGCUCAUUUUUCUUGAGUGUGUAGUCCUGGCCUUGAGGCGAGGCCACAUUGCUUUGGAGAUUUCUUUCUACUUGGUGAAAUUAUAAUUUAGAAGAAGCAAACUGCGUUUUGCAAUUUGUGCGAUUCAAGCAUAUCUGACACUAGUAAUUAGACCAUAAUCUUUGUCCGACCAGAAAAUAAGAAAAGUUGUCUUGUACCAUUUCUGCCAGUGUGGGUCCCACCCACCCCAUACGAGUAAUUUGAAGAAGUCCACCGACAAUUUCCCAAAAGCUUUGGCGUCCAACUUUGCCGACCCCAUCCCCAUGUGAGGCCAUAGAAAAGUUUUCAGCCACAAUCAAAGAAGGGAACAGUCCUUGAAAAGAGAGGGUUUUCCAAGGCCAAGAUUACAAGUUCAUGUUAUUUACAGUCUCAAAAAGCUUCCAUACUUGUUUACAAACCUGUAUUUUCAAGUUGUGCUAGCCUAGCUAUUUGCAAAUCUUGGAAUAUUUUACUUCAUCCAAAUCCCUUGCAGUCUGCAGAGAAGAUAAAAGACAUGGCUUUGAUUGGAGAGGCUCUUAUCUCUGCUUCCGUCCAGGUGUUGUGCGACAGAAUUACUUCACCCGAGUUCGUUGACUUAUUUUGGCACAAGAAACUCGAUGAGCCACUCCUCAGGAAGCUGAGGACGACACUGUUGGCCUUGAACUUGGUGCUCAAUGAUGCAGAGGGGAAGCAACUUGUGAACCGAGAUGUGAAAAAGUGGCUUGACGAGCUCAGACAUGCUGUCUUUGAUGCGGAGGACUUACUGGAUGAGAUUGACACUGAAGCUUUGCGAUGCAAGCUGGAAGAAGGUGAAGAUCAAACUCACAAAUUUACCAAUAAGGUGCGGAACUUGCUCUUUUCUCCUCGUAGUCAUUUUUAUCAGAGCAUGAAUGAUAAGAUAAAAGAGUUACUAGCAAGGUUAGAAAACUUUGUACAACUGAAAAGUGCUCUUGGUCUGGGAGAAGUUGCUGGGAGGAAGGUUUCGCAAAGAACUCAAACAACCUCCUUGGUUCUUGAACCUUAUGUAUAUGGUAGAGAUGAAGUCAAAGAAAAGUUAUCAAAAGUGUUGCUAUCUGAUGAAGCAGGCAAGGAUCCUGUGUCUUUCCUCACCAUUGUUGGAAUGGGUGGGGUUGGCAAGACAACCCUUGCUCGAAUGCUUUACAAUGACGAUAAGGUGAAAGGGCAUUUUAAACUUAAAGCUUGGGCUUGUGUUUCAGACUACGAUGAUUAUAUUAAAAUUACUAAAACUCUCCUUGAGGCAGUCACUUCAAAGCCUUGUAACACGGCAAAUCUGAAUUUGCUUCAAAAAGAUCUAAGAGAGCAAUUGAGGGGAAGGAAAUUUUUAUUUGUGUUGACCUAUGGAAUGAGAAUAAUGAGGAUUUGAACUACCUUAGAGCUCUUUUUAUUACUUUAGGAACAAUGGGAAGUAAAGUCAUUGUAACAACACGGAACAAAAAUGCAGCAUCUGUCAUGCAAAAUGUUCAUAUUCAAUACUUAGAACCAUUGUCGUAGGAGGACUGCUGGUUAUUACUUGCAAAACAUGCAUUUGGAAAUGAAAAGUGUAGUGCACAUUCAAACUUGGAAGACAUUGGAAAGCAAAUUGCACUCAAGUGCAAAGGGUUGCCUUUAGCUGCACAAACACUUGGGAGUUUGUUACGUUGCAAUAUGGAUUUCGAGUACUGGAAUAGAAUACUAAAUGAUAGUUUUUGGGACCAACCCUAUGAUAAAACUAACAUUCUUCCGGCUCUAGGGUUGAGUUACCAUUAUCUUCCUACUCAGUUGAAACGAUGCUUUGCUUAUUGUUCAAUUUUUCCAAAGGAUUAUGAGUUUGAAAAGGAAGAUAUAGUUCAAUUAUGGAUUGCAGAAGGUAUAAUUCCACAAGCUGAGAAUGGAAAAAGGAUGGAAGCAUUGGCUAGAAUAUACUUUGAUGAGCUGUUAUCACGAUCGUUGUUUCAAAAGUCAAGUAAAUUCAGCUUCAUUAUGCAUGAUCUCAUUAAUGACUUGGCUAUGUUCAUGUCUCAGGGGUUUUGCCUUAGGCUCGAAGAUGGGGUAUCCCGUGAAGUUAAAAGAGCUCGUCAUUUGUCAUAUGCUAGGGGAGAAUUUGAUGCUGCUCCAAGAUUUGAACCAUUAUAUGAGGCUAAAUGUUUGCGGACCUUCCUACCUACCAUUUGUUGUGGGCAAAUCUACUGGAUCAGGCAUAAGAGAACUGAGGCAGUUCCCGCAACUUCGAGGAAAACUAUCAAUUUUGAAGCUACAAAAUGUAGUUGAUGCGAGGGAUGCACUGCACGCCAAUAUGAAGCACAAGAAAGAUCUCAAGGAGUUAGAGCUUUCAUGGGGUGCGGAGGAUGCUGAUGAUUCCCAAAAGGAGAAAGAUGUACUCGACAAGCUCCAGCCUUGCGUGAAUUUGGAGAAAUUAACCAUCAAAUUCUAUGGUGGAACUAAUUUUCCGAAUUGGUUAGGAGACUCGUCUUUUUCUAACAUACAAGUCAUGCAUCUCAGUGACUGUAGUUAUUGUUGGUCGCUCCCACCAGUUGGACCGCUACCGGCACUCAAACAGCUCUGUAUAAGAAGAAUGAAGUUUGUGAAGACGAUUGGCGUUGAAUUCUAUGGCAGAAAUGGAGCUUAUCUGACUCAGCCAUUUCGAUCUCUGGAGAAGCUAGAGUUUAGGGAGAUGCCAGAGUGGGAGGAAUGGGUACCAAGUGGAAGUGCAAGUGGAGGUGAAUAUGGUCCAGACUUUCCUCGUCUCCAGGAGCUGAUUCUAUACGAGUGUCCGAAGCUAAGAGGAAGUUUGCCUUGUGAGUUGCCUUGCUUGAAGAAGCUUACGGUGUAUGGGUGUAAGGUUUUACAUGAUGGAAGGGCCAUUACCGCAACUACCAAUAGUCUUAACUAUAAAUCUCUGGAAGAAUUGAAUAUAAGUGGUGGAUGCCAAACUCUGUUAUCAUUAUUAGAGACAAAGCUCCUGUCCGGACUUGAGAUUCGAAAUGUUGUUGACAUACAGUGCUUGCCCAACUGCAGUCGUCUUCAACAUUUGACUCUUUCGAAUUGUCCAACGCUGUCAUCAUUUCCCAAAGAUGGCCUACCCACUACAUUGACAUCACUUUAUAUAAACAAUUGUAGGAAAUUAGAAUUCCUACCUCAUGAGAUGUUGGCCAAAUUAACAUCGCUUGACUAUUUGUGCAUACAAAAUAGCUGUGAUUCAAUGAGGUCCUUCCCGUUGGGCAUUUUUCCCAAAUUGACGAGGCUUGAAAUUCGUGGUUGUGAGAAUCUGGAAUCCCUUUCCUUGAUUGAAGAAGAAGGAGCUGUUGAGAAUCUCAGCCAUCUCAAUUACUUGCAAGUCUAUAACUGUCCAAAAAUGGUGUGUUUUCACGAGGGAGAAUUGCCCACUCCCAACCUGAGUCACUUUGUAGUCGGUGGUUGCGAGAAUUUGAAGUCAUUGCCCAAAAGCCUUCACACCCUCACUGCCCUUCGAUCUUUGUCGAUAUGUAAUCUUCCGAAUCUGGAGUCAUUUGCAGAAGAUGGGGGUUUGCCUCCCAACCUCCGACAAGUAAGUAUUAGGAAUUGUGAGAGACUGAGGGCUUCAUCAGUGGGUUUGCAAGCACUUGACUCCCUUGAGAUCAGUGGAAGUGACCAUGUAUUCUCUAUCACACUCUUCACAUCUAUUCUCUAUCAACUCUGAAAUCUUUGGACGGAAAGGGUCUUGGACACCUCACUUCUCUUCAAGAGCUAGAUAUUAACAGGUGUCCAAGUCUGGAAUUCCUGCCAGGAGAGGAACUUCAACACCUCACUUCUCUUCAAAAUCUAUACAUUUGGAACUGUCCCAGUCUUCAAUGCUUGCCAGAAGAGGGUUUUCCAUCAUCUCUUUCUCAUCUGAGUAUCCGCCGGUGUCCUACCCUGGAGGAAAGGUAUAAGAAUAAAACGGGACGAGAUUGGGCCAAGAUAUCUCACAUUCCUUGCAUCGAGAUAGGCAACGAAGUGAUCAUAUAAUAUGAGCUAUUCCAUAUUUCACGCUCAACCCUCAACUCUCAAAUCAAAGUCAGGUGAGGUAUGUGCCUUCUCUUACUUUAAAAAACUGCUGCUCAAUAACACUCUUCGCACUCUAUAUAUUAUGGCCUGUCAGUCUAAAAUUCCUGCCAGGAGAGGAACUUGAACGCCUCUCUUCACUGCAAAGGCUACAUAUUUGUGGGUGUGACAAUAUCCAAUUCCUGCCAGAAGAGCGUUUGCUGCAAUCUCUUUCUUAUCUGUGCAUCGACCAUUGUUUUGCCAUGUAGAAAAGGUAUCUCACAUUCCUUGCGUCAAGAUAGGUGAAGAAGUGAUCAUAAGAUAUGAGCUCUCUCUCCCUCUCGCUCACAUACAAAGUACUUAAAACACUCAAUCUGAUUUCUAUUAUUAUUUUGCUCAGUAAAUUUUGUUUAAAUUUGCUUUGUUUCUCAUUGCGCUUGUUCUGCUUAUCACAACUUAUAUCCUAUUUAAAUCUCAAAUGCUGAAUAGUUAGCAGUCUUUUCGCAGGACAGCAUAUCUUCUCUUGGAGAGCUAUUCAUUUGCAAGGUUUCUUUAUGUGUCAUUUCCAGAGGAGGGUUUACUAUUUAAUAGAAAGGUUCACCUGGAAUAUCUCAAAUGACACAUUCCCAAAUACAGGCAUUGAAUGCACAACAUUUUGAGGUACUAUUUUUGUAAUAAAAAUGUACUUGAGUCUCAUUUGAGCUAGUUUAAAUUGUAUUCAAUGUCUAUGGAUAACCUGUGAGCUUAAGUUGUAAGAUAAAACUCACAGUAUAUUAUUAGGGUUUAGGGUUCAACAGGUGAGCUUAAGUUGUACUUUCCUAGGUACUGCAUGUAUAUUAUCUUAGUAUCAACACUUGGUCUUAUGUGGACGAGAGAGAACAUUUGAGGAAUUACAAAAUCUUCUUAGUGAAUUAAGCUUGUUUCAGCUCUGUUUGUCAUCCCUCACAUUUUCUUUGUUAAGCCUUGAUUUUUUAUUAGACAUACGAAAAAAUGCUUUUAUAAGACAGGAGAUGAAUGCUUUUAUAUGUUGAUGUCGUAGUCAGUCUUCAACCACACUCUGUUUUUAGAAUUCAUUUAUGUUACUAGUUGAGAGCUGCUGUAUUUUAUAUUUCGUUCCUGUAAUGUUUGGAUGUUUAGCUUGAGCAGUCUAGCUUAUCCAGUAGAUAACUUGUCCCCUGUUUUGUAAUGUUUUUGUUUCCUCUAAUGAAAGCAGGUUUUACUUAUCUUGAACUGCAGAAGCCUACUUUUUGACAUAGGUGGCAUGGCACAAACUCGCAUCCGCAUUUCCAUCCCCAUUGGCAUGCUGUCUCAUCUUUUCUAUUCUGUUACCAGCUUGAAGCUUGUGUGGACAUGUUAUGCUCUUGUAAUUCUGAUCACAAACAUCACUUGACAAAUGGAAAGUCACAAUCAGAUCUUUCAGGUGAUCUGGAGGUUUACUUUCUAACAUUUGUUUUCGUGGGGGGGAGACAACAAUACAGAAUUUAAAAUUUCUGAUAAUCAAUAGUAGUUUGCAUAUAUCAGCUGGGACCUGUAUGACUGUAUUAUGUAAUUAAUUAUUUCUCUUAUUGUUUGGGUACUGUUAAAAGGAGUUAGCCACACAACAUAAAAAAGGAGGUCUCUUAUUUCAUACAAUUUUUCAAAUGUGAUCAUUAAUCCGUUUCUUUUUCAACAAUAGAGGAAUGUAUACUAAUCGUCUGGUCCAUCUGCUGCUUCACUCCCUAGUAGCUUCAUCUCCUGUCCUUUGCUUUAUUUCUGUUGAUGAAUGUUUUGUCUGGGUUAUUUAUUUUCAUUUCAUGUCCAUUGCUUUAUUUCUGUUUGGAUUCUUAAUUAAAUCUGUCCUGGACUUGAACAAGGGUUAGGUUAGCUGUAUAAUUUGCGGUUUUAUAUACACAACUGUCUACAUUGAUUAAAACCAGCAUUAUUCUAAGGUUCAUUUAGAAUGUAUUAUCACCAAAAUUAUAAAGAAUACUUCUAUUACAAUUAAUUUGUUGAUUCUAAUUUGGACUUGUAGGAACAGACCAAACAUGUUCAUGCGUGGCAUUGCUCAAGUCAUCAUCAUUCGAGACAGAGAAUAAGCCUUCAAGUGUCUGCUGAGUCAAUGAACCUUUCUAGAUAUCUCAAGUGUAAUGGAAAUUGAUGAGUUACAAAGGAUUUGUAAACAUUUUCUACUGGAGGCUAGAAAUGCUUCAAAUAAAUGACCGUGUUGCAAUUAUUUUGUAGGAUCAAAGACUCUGCAAAGAGGUAAGAAAGUCAUCAUCAAGUAACUUUGCUCUUCAAACUUUUUAUUUUUAUUUUUAAAUAUCAGUAAUAACUGGGAAAGCUUGCAUCUCCUUAAAUUGCUCAUUCUUACAUCUUUUAUAGUUUGUUGAUCUUGGGCAAGUGGAGAGAGAGGCGUCAAGUGAUACGCAACAACCAUUUUCUGUGAGCUGAUUUGAUAAAGAGAAAUGGUAUGCUUUCUUGUCUUAAGCGGUGUGUUCUGCAAUUAUUUGAAACAAAGGAUGCCGCACUUCAAGUUCGAGAAAAUCAGGUAUUUUAGUAUUUUAUUCUUGAGAAAUUUGAUUUAUGUAGAAACUUGAACAUGUAAAUAAAAUAAAUAAAAUAUAUUAUAUGCUGUUAAUGAGUUAAUAUGGUGCUUGCUUCUAGUUGGAAAUUUAUGUAGUCAUCUACCUAUGAUCAAAUAAAGAUGAAGAAUAAAAUAUAAUUGAGAGCAUCUUCCUCUCCCCUGCUUUGCUCAUCCCUUGUUCUUCCACUUCAGCCCCACUAUUACACCAUUUUUUCAGCCACAAUUAUAAUAGCUCCAUGAGCAUUAAGUCCUUUUCAAAUUCUGCUGACAUUCAAAAUUGGAAUUUGCUGGUGAUAUAUGAUAGCAUCUUUGUCCGACCAAAAAGAGAAAAAAAAAAAGUUGAUAGCAUAUUGUACCAUUUUGGCCAGUGUACGCAAUAUUAUUGCAUCCAACUUUGCAUAUUAACAUCAGUGGCCACAGUUCCAUGAUUUGAGUGCACAGAAAAGUUUCAAAAGUUGUCCCACAAAGAACAGUCGUUCAAAGUGAAAGAGAGAUUUCAAAGCUUAAUUACAAGUUCAUGUUAUUUACAAUAUCAAAAAGCUUUCAUACUUGCUUACAAACCUGUAUUUCCAAGUUCUGCAAACCUUGGAAUAUCACUUCAUCCAAAUCCCCUUCCAAAGCAGGAAAAAAUGGCAGCAGCUUUGAUUGGAGAGGCUCUCAUCUCUGCUUCUAUCGUGGUGUUGUGUGACAGAGUUACUUCAGCCGAGUUCAUAGACUUAUUUCAGCAGAAGAAACUUGAUGAAACACUCCUCAUGAACCUGAAGACGACACUGUUGAUUUUGUUUGCGGUGCUCAAUGAUUCAGAGGAGAAGCAAAUUGUGAACCCUGAAGCUUUGCGAUGCAAGCUGGAAGGUGAGGAUCAAACCCACAAUAAUUAACCAAAAAGGAUCUUUUUGAUUGUUUGAAAGGAGGGUCUUGAUGAUUUGAAAGGAGAGGGUUGCUUUAUUUCUGUUGGAUGCUUAAUUAAAUCUUAUUUGGAGUUGAACAAGGAUUAGGUUAGCUGUAUAAUUAGUGGUAAACGCCUUUUUCUAAGGGUCAUUUAGACUCCUAUUACGAUUAAUUUGUUGUUUCUAAUUUGGACUUGUAGGAACAGACCAAAUAUGUUCACACGUGGCAUCGCUCAAGUCAUCAUCAUUUCAGACUGAAAAUCAGCCUUCGAGUGUCUGUUGAGUCAAUAAACCUUUCUAGAUAUAUCAAGUGCAAUGGAAAUUCAUGAGUUACAUAGAGAUUUUUAAACAUUUUGAAGAUUGCAACACCUGCAAGUGAGAUAGGCGGUGACGAAAUCAGAGCUGAUUUUGAAGCCUCUGAUGCCCCUGUUGUUGCAAGUUGCACCUGAGAACAAGUUUUUUUUUUCUUUGGGGUAAAAAACUGGCAACAUGUUCGGAGCUGACAAUUCAAUCCCUGAUGAACUAGAGAAGCAAAGCUCCGGUAAGGAAAUUGGUCAAGGUUGUGACAGGGAUGAUUGAUGGUGAAAUGGAUGCUAUUUCUUAUUGCAGCCUGUUCUCAAAGUUCUUGUUGGCAAAUGCAAUUGAUGGAGUAUUUUGAUUGGGAGGAGAGAUAAUGACAUGGCUUGACAAUUCUAGAACAGCCCAUCAUUAAUCCCAGAAAAAAUCCCGUUUCUGCUAAACAAUCACUUAUGGCAAGGCCAACUCUGUAAAUGGAAUUUGUGAUCCCUUCAAAUUGUACACAUUUUUUCUUUUUGAGGAAUUUAAUCAAACAGUAUUCUAAUGCAUUAUGAUAGCACUACACGCUUUUGUUGUAACAAAUUACAAGGAGGAAUUUGGAUUGAGUUUCUUGUAUAAGCACACCUUACACAAAUUUCGUAUAUUUUCUUCCAGCAAGUCUGUUUAUUAACCCCCUUAUCUGAAAUUAAUUGUUAAAAGUUUUGAUUCAUCUUUAAUCAGUGUCUUACCCUUGUUGAAUAACACUCCUCUUUCUAAUUUAUAUUUGAAGUUUGAGCUUUCAAUUUCAAUUGUGGGCUUUGAUUUUUCAGAUUUUGUUUGUCAAUUUCAGUUUGGACAAAGCAUAUAUGCAAACAAAGUAAGCAUUUUAUGUUAUACUUUUGAACUAGGUGUUGAUUUGAUUUAAUCAUAAGUUUUGCUGGUGCAUUUACUAGGCUAAUCAUUCAAUACUUUUGAUCAUAGAACUUCUUUGGUUGAUAUUAUCUUUGUUAAGUUUAACCAUAACUUUAGAGAGGGGACUUCAACAGAUUUAUAAUCUCAUCAUUAUAGUAUUAAAAAUUAGAGAUUAUUUAAGGCAUUGUCUAUUAUCUGAAUUCUGCUUACUUUUAGUUCAUAUGUUUACAUCUUAGCAUAUUCAUGUGAUUAGUGCGGCUCAUACCACAAAGGCAAUUUUAGGCUCAUCAAGUGCUAAGCAAUGUCAAGCUUCCAAAUGACAAGUUCUCUACAUAGUUUGAGACCUACACUUACUAGAUAUUAGAUCAUUUCGAUCAUUUCCAUAUGUUUAUAUGUAAUUGACAUGUUAUAACAUUUUUGUAGCGUUAUAUAAUUAUUUAGCAAUUUAAUUAUUUCUUUGCAACUUAAUUUUUUUUGUCAAUCAUACUAUUGUUGACUGCUAAAAACCAUCAAGAAAUAGUUCUCAAGUUAUAAAAAAAAAAAAAUUUUAAAAAAGAUUUGUUGAUGCUUAAAAAGCAUCAAGAACAGAUAGUUUCUUGACGGUUUUGUGACAUUUCAUAACUGUAGGGGGCUUUUUCUUCCGACAGCUGUAAAUGGGCUGGGCUGCCGUAAAGGGCAGACUGAUGAAAUUGUCCCCUUUUGUAUGAGCUCAAAAAUUAAGCCCCAAAAUACUUUGAAAGGGCAGCAGAGCCUUAGGAAGUAUUUUGGUUACCCUCACCAACUAAAACAACAACAACUUACAGGUAAUUACUUAAUGCUUAUGGAUGAACUCUUGAGCUUGGCAUGAGAGACAUAUGGCAUGGAAGCAAAAUCAACAUGAGUUUAGCACUGAGGGGAAAUUUAGGCUCUCUUGGGGGAAAAAGGGAAGUGUUAAGGUGAGAGAGGAGAAGUUUGUAGGAGAUUUAGCUAAGAAAGGAGAAAUAUAGAACAAUGCUCUUUUGGCAGCUUGACAGAUGCUCUGUUUGCCAGAAAAGGAAGAUGGAGAAGAAAUGUGAAUAGUGCAAGAGUUUGCUAGAUUUUUGCAGGUAAGAGAGGAAGCUUGCUCUCUGGGUCUGAGUUGAGUUUUUUUGUGUGGAAGAGACCUCAUUUUAUAGCCCUUGGAAACCAUCACUUCCCAAGAAACCCUAAUGGCUUCUACCCAUUUUGGCCAAGCUUUUCCCUUCCUUUCUCAUUUCCUUCCUUGACUUUACCCCUCUUGAUGAAAUCCCCUCUGCCUAUUUGCACCAUAUCAGAGUUUUUUGAAGCUCAAGGCCCCUUUUUCCCGCAGUUGUCUCAAUGGGAGACUUCCAUUCCCAGUCAUCUCCUUUAUUGCUUUCCUUUCUUUUUUUCAUGGCCAAGUUUGGUGGGGAAAGGAGUUGGGAUAUAUAUGCUGGUUUGAAGGGUGCUUCUCUUCCUGGCAUCUUACACACUAAUACCCCUUGGUUCCUUGAAUGUUUUGGCUUUGAAACUUGCUCUCCCCCCCCCCCCCCCCCCCCCCAUGUACUGGAACCUACCAGCAGCUCUAUUCAAUGAAUCUUCAGACCUUCUCUUCGUGGCUUUUAUUUUUUAUCAACGGGCUGGGGCUUUUGUGGCUCAUUGUGGCAAUUGUAUGGGCUAAGGUGGUUCAUUAAGUAAGUGGGCUAUUUUUAUUAAACAUUAGGCUUUUUGGUUGAGUCACUAGGCUAUUUUGAUUGGGCUAUUGGGCUAUUUUUUUCCUCUCUUGUGCUCACCCACAUGUUUGGACCAAAGAAAUGAGCUUGAGUCCUGAGGCUCCCAAGCGACCCGAGACUUUCCAUUUCUGGCCCAUCAAUGGGCCUCAUGUUGAUUUAUUACCAUCCAUACCACAACCCACUCAAGCAGGCUCCGGGCAUUUGAAUGACUUGGGCGCACUUAGGCUUGUAGUGUGGUUGGGUGCGAAAUAACGAUUUCGUGCUUGGCAUGUUUUAAUUUUAUCAUCCUUGGGAAAGGCUGCGAUGUUUGAUUUCGGCAUGGGCUUGUAGAGCUGGUAUGCUUUAUUUCAACUCCUAGCAUGACGAAUUAUUUAUUUAGCAUGGCACGUGAAUUACAACUCGCAUGUGGUGGGUUUUUGUGUACUACACCUUACGCCUCUUCUUAAUAGAACAUCGUUUUGGGCUGAUAAUUUAUUCGGGCCAAACCGUGAAUUUUUUGGGUCUCAAUAAUAACCAUCAUGAAACAUUACAUUUUGACUGACGUCAAGAAAUGGGGUAUCCCUUUCCUGAUAGUGGCAUCCAUGAUGCCUUCCAAGCAGUCAAUUAAGGGCUAUCGUGAUGCAUUUUAGUUGUCAGCAAAAGGUGUUUUUCUUGUACUGUAUUCACUCAAAGUCGUGUUUCAUUUAAGAUUAGUAGUAUGGUUGAAUACCAUUUGUUUUGUUAAAGAAUAUUAUACAUUAGGGAUUUUUGUAGAAAUGUCAUUUGAACUUAUACCUUAGUUUCAAUUUGUCACCUUGAAGAAAAAUUUAAGAGAAAUGUCACCUUAAUUUUUAAAAAUCCAUGAUUUGUCAUAUGACUUUAAAAUCAUCCAAUUUUCCAUCCAUUUUAAGGGUAUUUUAGUCUUUUCAUUUUGAAGGAAAAAAAAGAGAUGAAAAAAGAGACCUCUCUCUUACUUUGUCCCUCAACCCAACCCCACCCGCCCCCCAAAACACAUCACAUAGGAUUGCCUCCCCCUUCCCCACUUUUCUUUUUUCUUUUUGUCCUACUUUUCCACUAUGUUUAUGUUGAAGGAUCUAAAGUUUGCUUGGUCACCAUCUGUUACGUAGGCUUCCCAAUUGUUAGUUUGGGUGGGUUGUGGGAAUUUGUGUGCUCGAAACCCGAGACGAAUCUUGUGGAAUUCCCGACAUCACACCGAUGCCGGGCCCACUUCUGAACUAAAUUCUCUUUUCCAAAAUUAAGGAAAAAGAGUACGAGGCUUUCUGCCGAAAUUUCGACAGAGUAUUCCCUAUAAAUUUAACAUUUCAGCUUUGGUGGCCGUUCUCUCAUUUCAGCUUUGGUGGCCGGAUGAGAGAACGGUCGGCUAAAACGUGGCCAGCUGGCACUGCCGUCGCGAGAGAGAGAGAGAGAGAGAGAGAGAGAGAUUUUUAUCAAAUCAUUUUUGCCAAAAUUACGAUUAUGCAACUGAGGGUAUUUUGAUCGUAUCUUUUUCAUUAUAACUCUGAUUCAAGCCCACUACGUGUUUACGGACUCAUCUCGCCGUGCUCUAUGCAAUUGUAUAGUUGAAAUUCCCAAAUUCCACCCCAGUCAAAAAUUCAACUUUAAACCCUACAAAAUAUUAUAGGGGCAAAAUGGUCUUUUAUCUAAUUAAAUUAAUAAUUGAAAAUUUAUUUAGGACCGGGUUGUUACACUGUCGUUGAUGGACUGUGCGAUGACACUCACACAAAGUCCUUGAGAAUAAAACACACACACACCAUGAAGAGAGUAAAACAAAUACACAAGUACACAAAGAUUUAUAAAGGUUUGGCCUUCUGCCUACGUCCUCUUGGUGAUCCACCCGAGAAAUUCACUAGUACGUAAGAACAACUUUGGUUACAACUAAACCCCCUUAGCUUUCAUAAGAACCCUAGAUCUCUUUUCUCCCACCCUUGCUCCAACCCUUUGAUGCCCUUGUAAACACUCAAGAAUUCACCCUUGAAUUCUGUCAUGUGUUACAUCUUCUCUUCUCCCCUUUGUUAACCUAACCCUAAAAGUUAUAUUUAUAAUUCAUAGGACUUUAAGUACAAGUUAACUAGGAAUAGGAAACAUAAUAGACCUCAAAAAUUGGAGAAAAUAUGUUUAGAUCUCGUUAGGAAAUUGCACAACACGUGCGAUCCGCUCGAGCGCCUGCAAAAUGAUCCCUUUGUCGCUCAAGCUGCCGAUAGCUCAUGGGAUGGGGGAAUUAGAGAUUUUUUUUUUUUUCAAUUUUAAUUGUUUAAAAGAUAUACAAUUUUUUAAUAAUAAUUUUUCCAUUUUUAAAAUACCCUUGAAAAUAGAAAGAUUAAAAUGCCCUUAAAAAUGGAUGGAAAAUUGGAUUGCGUUAAGGUCAGUUGACAAAUCAUGGAUUUUGAAAAAUUAAGGUAACAUUUCUCUUAAAUUUUUCUUUAAAGUGACAAAUUAAAAUUGAGGUAUAAGUUCAAGUUACAUUUAUGCAAAAAUCCUUAUACAUUAUGAUAUUCUAACAAUAAAAUUGGCUAAAAUUGAUAUGUUCCCUCUUUAUUUUCUUUUUCUCUUUUCCUUUUCAUUUUAUGAUCCAAUCCUUUUCAUAUAUUUUUGUUCAAGACUUUGUUUUAGAAUGCUCUAUUACUAAUUUGGUACAGGUCCCUAAAAUCUCGGAGCCGCCUUAGUACAUUCAUAAUGUACAUGUUCAGAGUUCAAGAAUAAUGUAUAGAAUGUGAAAUUGACGAUGCCGGCCUUUAUGAGGCAACGUCUUUAUUUCUUUGGUUAUUACAGUUUAGAAUAUUUGCACAAAUGAGAUGAUUCCAAGCAUAAAGUCACAUUCGACCAAAAAGCAUGAAGUCACACACAAAAAGAACACGGACAAUUGCUAAGUUUAUCCUUGUACCCUUAUUUUAUUGAUCCGACCCAAUUGAAAAUUAAAAAAAGAUGAUAAAAAAUAUUGUUCACUACUUUAAAAUCUAUGAGUAGAGUCCUCCAUUUGAAAUUUCGUCAUUAUACAAAAUUGGAAUGAAAAAAGAAAAUCCUACAGCUAAAUUUGAUAUAUUUCCUUUUCAUUUUAUGCUGGGUGUUAGGGCUUGUCAAUGGGCCGGGCUAGGCUAGCCCGGCUCAAAUUUAAUGGGCUUGGGCUAGGCCGGGCCAAGCUUUAAAGAGGAGAGAGAAAAUAUCCGGCCGAGUUUUUUAAGAAAAUUCAAAGCCCAAGCCCGAAUCACUGCUGUCUAGCCCGGCCCAAAUUUAAUGAGCUUGGGCCAGGCCGAGCCAAGCUUUAAAGAGGAGAGAGAAAAUAUCCGGCCGAGUUUUUUAAGAAAAUUCAAAGCCCAAGCCCGAAUCACUGCUGUCAUUUCAUUGAUUUGUGACGAGCACAACCACCAAAUCAGAAUUUACUCACGAAAAUAUCAAGUAUGUCUAGCAAAUUUCAAUUUUGAAUAAUACACAAUUUCAAAAGGAGGACAUGUUGCAAGACAGCAUACCUUCUCUUGGGGUGCUUUUCAUUUUGCAACAUUUCUUUACGUGUAAUUUCCAGAGGAGGGUUUAUCAUUGUAUAUAGCUUUUCGGGUGGUUUGUCUACAAAACAAAUGUCACAAAGAAGGAGGAGAAACGGAAAAGAUUUACUUGGAAUGUCUCAAGUCUCCUUUGAGAUAAAGGCAUCGAAUGCACAACAUUGCUUUUGUGCUAUUUCAUAAUUAAAGUGUGCUUCCCAAGUCUCCUUUGUGUUUUGUAACUUGUAAUGUUUGUUUUUUUGUUUCCCCUGUUUUCCCUCUUAUAAAAGAAAUACAGGUCCAAACCACACGGAUCUACUUGCAUAAUAAUGGACCAAAUUUAUGAUUUUUAGAAAGAACCUUCUGCCGGUGGAAUCUUGGGCUACUGUUGUGGCUCUCCUCUGUGUGCCUCCUUUUUAGAACGGUAAAAUAUUCAAAAUACUAGAAAAUGUUCGUGAUUAAUAUAAAUAUUAAGAAUUGAAAUUAUUAAUUAAAUGAGGAUAAUAUGGUAAAUUCACACUUUUUUAUAUUAAAAAAAUUAAAAUUAAAAGAAAAAUCAGAUAAUUGAUAUUAUUUUUAUGGAACACAGCUACUCAUUAUCUUUUUUAAUUCUAAAAUAAAUUUAAAUUAAAGAAAAAAACCCCUCUCACAGGCACGGAAGCGCGUGCUCAGAGGCUAGUUAAAAAUAAUGAACUUUGCUUCUGAAGACGUCUAUACCAGACCCACUCAACCUGCUUUAUGAUUAUACAAAGAACAAACUCGUCCUUAGACUCAUUUGGUUAAACUUAGAAAAUAAUGAAACAAAAAUAUGCACUCCCACAAGUAACACAGCCAGGAUUGAAAACAACUGGACAAAGAAAGGCAUGUUAAAACAGAAUUUUCAACAACUCAUCACCAUUAGACAAGAAAAAGAAAAAUCAAUACAAAAACAGAAAGAACAGAGAAUAAAUGUGGUGGAAGAAAAACGUUGAAGCCAUUUGUGAAUCCAACAACACUACCACUCUGUUUCUCUCCUUUUGUUCAGGCGGAUCUGCAUAUAUCCUAAGGCGUAUUACGGAAACAACUUCUUGCCGUUAUACUUGAAUGUUGUGGAUGCUUCAACGUUGCCAUCUGGGUGGAGUGGAUUUGUCCAAUUCACCUUCACUAUGGUAUAUACGUCCAAAUUGUUGUUAUUUGAAAGGCUUCUAAAUUUUAACAUUUUGAUUUUUAAAUUUUGUUUAAAUAUUUCGGCCCACUUAGUUCUUCUCAAAAUAUGUCAUCAAUAUCGUUGAAAGGUUGAACUUAGUGAAUUAUUAUAGUGCAGUACUGUAGAAUAGACACAUGAUAUAAUUUGUCCACAUGUUAUAAUAUAAGUAAAUAUUUAUUGAUAUUAUUUCUAAAAAUAAGAAAUAUCAACCAUUAUAUCCUCCCAUAUUAUAAUACAUAUACAAAUUAUACCACAUUAUCAUACUCUAAUACCAUUUUAUAAUUUCUCGUACUUAGAGCGAGUCAAUGACAUUACAUAAUAUAUAAUUGUUCAUAUAAUGGGGCAACUAACGUGAUCAACAAGUUGUGGUGAUUAAUUUAACAUAAUAAAAAAUAUACCAUUUACUUGAGUGAUGUAACAAUUUGUUCUUUUAAAUUGGAUUGCCAUCACUUUAAUAUGAUAUGUUUCUUAUUAUAGUGUCCCAUGUUAAGUGCUUCAGCAUUGUUUGUGGUGUGUACACAAAUUUUCUUAUAAAAUGUUUUAAUGCUUCUCACAUGUAUAUCAGAUAUAGACAGUUGAUGUGACUUAGAAAUCAAAUUGUCAAUAAAGCAAAAAAAUAUAAUUGGUGAUUGAGGUCCAAUUUAAUAGAAAAUAGUCUUAACUUGUAUAUUAGAGGUUUCAGAUUCGAAUCCUCACUGCAUUAUUGUUGUAUACGUACACGAGAAAUCCUCUUCUCCAAUAAUUUAGACUAUCACUUAUACUAAAAAAAUAUAUAUAUAUAAUGACUUUUACGGAUGCAAACAUAAAAUUACACCAAACAAUAAUGGAAUAGAAAGAUGCAAGUUAUUUUUUUUUUUUUUACAUCUAAAGUAUACUUUAUAUAUAUAUUUAUUAUGGGUGUUAUAACCGUUUAAUUUUCAGUUUUUAUUUUCUAUUUAUUGUUUUAAUUUUUAUGGUUUAAUGUGUAUGAAGAUUACAAGUAUUGGAUGUCUACCACUCCUCCUUCACAUCUGAAACAAACCACCAUCUCAUUUCUGUAUUUUCAUACUUUCAUAUAUUUUCUACUUUCCAGAUUAUUAUUUUUGGGCAACGGUUCUGUGACUUGCAGAUUUCUAUCCGAUUGUUAACAUGCUCAUAGCGGACCUUGAGCUUGCGUAUUGGGGAUCGUAUCUUGGAGCCUUAUAGACCUUUAUUACCUGCAUGUAGGGAGGUUAUAAAUGCUUUAGGUCAGCAUCUUUGACGUGCUUUUGCUUUCUUUUUUUUUUUACUUAUUUCUUCGUUUCUUUAUUUUUACUUUACUUUUAAAUUUUUAUUUUAUGUAUUAUUUAUAUUUAAAAGUUUUGAAUAAGAGUUUUACAGAAAAGGAAAAACACAAUUUCAAAUAACACAAAUUUCUCGUUUUUGGUUCUUAAAAUAAAUGAAUUUUUUACUUAUUUGUGAACUGAAAUGCCUCUAAAAAAAUAAUGAUAGUUUGAAGAAUUUGAUAGAAAUUAAAAAAUAUCCUCAAAUUACUUGGAAUUGAAGACCACAUAGGCAAAAACACCAUUUUGGACAAAGGCUGGUGAUAAUAGUCGAUAUCAUCUUUAAGUACUUUAAUAUGAUAUGUUUCUUAUUAUAGUGUCCCAUGUUAAGUGUUUCAGCAUUGUUUGUGGUGUGUACACAAAUUUUCUUAUAAAAUGUUUUAAUGCUUCUCACAUGUAUAUCAGAUAUAGACAGUUGAUGUGACUUAGAAAUCAAAUUGUCAAUAAAGCAAAAAAAUAUAAUUGGUGAUCGAGGUCCAAUUUAAUAGAAAAUAGUCUUAACUUGUAUAUUAGAGGUCUCAUAUUCGAAUCCUCACUGCAUUAUUAUUGUAUGCGUACAUGAGAAAUCCUCUUUCCUAAUAAUUUAGACUAUCACUUAUACUAAAAUAUAUAUAUAAUGACUUUUACGAAUGCAAACAUAAAAUUACACCAAACAAUAAUGGAAUAGAAAGAUGGAAGUUUUUUUUUUUUUUCCUACGUCUAAAGUAUACUUUAUACAGUCCCGAUCUCUUGGACCACAGGAGUCCAAGAGAUUGUGGUCACCCACCGUUGGAUAUUAAUCCAAUGGUUCAAAAUGAUAUAUAUAAAUGCAAUAUGACAUAAAUGAUUAUUACCCGAUCCAAGUCAACCGUUGAAUUUACAUUCAACGGUGGGUGACCAUAAAUCUCUUGGACUACAGGGGUCCAAGAGAUCAGGACUGAUACUUUAUAUAUAUAUAUAUAUAUAUUUAUUUAUUAUGGGAGUUAUAACUGUUUAGUUUUCAGUUUUUAUUUUCUAUUUAUUGUUUUAAUUUUUAUGGUUUAAUGUGUAUGGAGAUUACAAAUAUUGGAUGUCUAUAAAGGGCCACUCCUCCUUCACAUCUGAAACAAACUACCAUCUCAUUUCUGUAUUUUCAUACUUUCAUAUAUUUUCUACUGUCCAGAUUAUUAUUUUUGGGCAACGGUUCUGUGACUUGGAGAUUUCUAUCCGAUUGUUAACAUGCUCAUAGCGGACCUUGAGCUUGCGUAUUAGGGAUCGUAUCUUGGAGCCUUGUAGACCUUUAUUACCUGCAUGUAGGGAGGGUACAAAUGCUUUAGGUCAGCGUCUUCGACGUACUUUUGCUUUCUUAUUUCUUCGUUUCUUUAUUUUUGCUUUACUUUUAAAUCUUUAUUUUAUGUAUUAUUUAUAUUUAAAAGUUUGAAUAAGAGUUUUACAGAAAAGGAAAAAUACAAUUUCAAAUAACACAAAUUUCUCGUUUUUUGUUCUUAAAAAAGAAGAAGCAUUGAUUGGGGAGUUAUGGUAAACUCAAUUUCAAUGGUUGCGAUGAGAGGCGGUGGCGGCGAGGAGAGGACGAAGGCUUUGCUGCCGACGGGGUGGUGUGGGUGGGUGGAGACCUCGGCUGGCUGCUUGGUCCUGGGUUCUCCUUUAAUUCUCUGUUUUCUUUUUUCUUUUUCUUUUUCUCUUAGAGUUAUUGAUGUUAAGUGAAUGGACAGAUGCCAAAAUAGGGACAGAAGUAGGGGUGGGCAUCAAUCCGGCCGAUCCGGUCAAUCCGGCCGAACCGAUUAUAUUGGAUUGGUUUGGUUUGGUUUUGACCAAAGAAAAAGUCAACAUUUUGAAAAACCGAACCGAACCGGUUUGGUUUGGUUCAGCUGUGGUUUGAGAGUUUUAAAAACUGUCCUAAACCGAACCGGACCGAUUAUAAAUCAAUUUAUUAUUUAUUUAAUUUAGUUUACAUGUGGCAAGGUUUGUGUGCGUUUUGUGAGUCCGCGUAUCUGAAUGUUGGUGCACGUUUUGAUCUUCUAAUUUGCAUAUCCCAGUUAUUUGUGUGUGCUUGUAUUUCCCUCUCUUUCUAUCUCUACUAUGUGUGUUUGCUCUUUGUGUUGUGUGGCUCUUCUUACUCUAUCUAUCUUAAUUAAUGGGUCCAUUUCAUAAUUUCAUACGCAUUCAAACUCCACCUCUGUGAUAAAAACAUUUACCUCUUUGUGAUAAAAGCUUUUCAUUUGUUUGUAUUUCUCUUUGGCUUUUUGACUCACUCACUGUCUUUCUUUCUUUUAAUGCUACUUGUGAUGAAUGCAAUGAGUAAAUUUAAUGCUACUUGGUUAAUGCAAAUUUUGUAUAUGUUUGUUUUGAUGGAAAUUGUGAACUUAGAUGCAUGCUAGACAUUGGACAACCUUUGAAUAAAUGGAAUGAUGUUGUAUUAGCCUUUGAUGGAAUGAAAUGAAAUGAUAUAAUGGCAAAAUGUUAGCAUUAUAAUGUAAGAGCAGGUUGAAAAAUGCAUGGUUUUGUGUUAGGCACAAACCGGCCGAACCAAUCCGAACCAAACCGAUUACAAGUGGUUUGGAUUGGUUCGGUUUCCAUUAUGAUUUUAGGCUAAUCCGAACCAAACCGGACCGUUAUUUUCUUAUUGGUUCAGCUGUGGUUUGAGAGUAAAACCGAACCAAUCCGGACCGUGCCCACCCCUAGACAGAAGAUGUGAACCCAAUUAUAUACAGCUGAUUACAUAAAGUAACAAAUUAAUUAAUACUUGAGUGGAGGACAGGCUUGAGUGGAAGAAUUGAUUAAGGCUUGAGUGGAAGACCAACUUCAGUGGAGGAAAGUAUAGAUAAGGAAAGCAUGCCUCGUUUAACGGCUUUAUCUAAUAAAGAUUAGUUGUUGGCACUUGGAGUUUCUUAGGAAUGCUGGUUUUGUUUCCUUGGUGGACUUGAAAGGUGGUGCGUUGGCUCGGACAUCUCCCUAGUAAUUAAUCGAAGGUGGAAUCUUACAAGACAUACAGCUGCUCAUUAGCUGAAUAUCUCGCUCUCUUUAAAGAGAUCGAAGCAAACUGCAAUUUGCAAUUUGUGUGAUUCAAGCAUGAAUAUCUGAUAUAGUAACUAUACCAUUUGUUGGUUUGAUAAGAAAAGUUUGGUUAGCGAGGAUGAAACCAUAAAGUUCUCCAAAACACACAAAAAACACGAACAAUUGCUAAGUUUAUUCUUGAGUUCACACAUAUUUGUACAAAUGAGAUUACUCCAAGCAUGACUAUACCAUUUGUUGGUUUGAUAUGAAAAGUACGGGCAACGAGGAUAAAACCAUACAAACACACACAAAGAACGUGGACAAUAUACUAAGUUUAUCUUUGCGUUAUUGAUCCGACCUAACUGUAAAAUAAAAAAGAUAAAAAUAUAUAAUGUUCACUACUUAGAUCUAUGAGCACUAAAGUCCUCCUUUUGAAAUUGCACAAAACAUCACUUUUGGUCUUUGGUAAAUUUUUAAAAUAAAUGAAUUUUUUACUUAUUUGUGAACUGAAAUGCCUCUAAAAAAAUAAUGAUAGUUUGAAGAAUUUGAUAGAAAUAAAAAAAUAUCCUCAAAUUACUUGGAAUUGAAGACCACAUAGGCAAAAACACCAAAUUGCAACCUCACUUUAAUGAUAAAAAUGGUAAACUACAAAGACAAAAAUGACGUUUUGCCUUAUACAUAAUUGGAAUUUGCUGGUGAUAAUAGUCUACCAUCUUUUGUCGAUUUGCUGGUGAUAAUAGUCUAUCAUCUUUUGUCGGUCCGACCUAAAAAGAAGAAAAAGUUGAUGGCAUCUUGUACCAUUUUUGCCAAUGUGGGCCCAAACAAUUUGAAGAAGUCCACCGGCAAUUUCUCAAAAGCUAUUGUGUGAGUGUGAAGCUAAACCAAUAUUAUUUUGCAUAUACGACUCCACAUCCCCAUGUGAUGUGAGGCUACAAAAGUGUUUCCAAAACGAAAUAUGAUAUUUCAAAACGAAGCUAUGUAUAGAGUCAUUUGUAUUUGCUUUCACAAUAACAUUUGAUUUGUGAAAGCAUUUUAUAUUUAUACAUUCUGAUAUUCUAACAAAUAAAUUGACUAAAUUUGGCCAACAGGAUUUAGCCGAAUAGAAAAGUCCUUAUUUAUAGACUAGUGGUUUCAAAUUUAAAGUUUAGACUAUCGCAUGUAUUUAAAAAAAAAAAAACAAUUGGCUUAAUUUGAUAUAUUUCCUUUUUUUCCUUUUUCAUUUUAUACUGGGUGCCGUUAUUAAGUUUUAUCCUUAUUUUUUGUUGAAAAGAAAAUUGAAAAAAAAUAAUAAUUCCUACAGCUAGCAACUUCUCCACCUUCCCUUCUUCGCAACUAGGGAUGCCAUUGCAAGGUCACCAUCUCAGAUUAAGUCCUCCUUUUAAAAUUGUGUCGUUAUUCAGAAUUGGAAUAUAAUCCUGUACCACUUUGGCCACUUUUGAAGAUGUUCACCGACAAUUUCUCAAAAGCUAUUAAGCUGUACAUCCACAAUAUUAUUGCAUCCAUCCCCAUGUGAGGCUACAGAAAAAUUUUGAAAACGAAACUGGAUAUUUUAUCUCUAACAACAGCUUUCAUACUUCGUUUACCCUGUGUUUCCAAGUUGUGCUAGCUAUUUGCAAACCUUGGAAUAUUACUUCAUCCAAAUCCCUUGCAGAGAAGAGCAAGAUAUGGCUUUGAUCGGAGAAGCCCUCAUCUCCGCUACCAUCCAGACGUUUUGUGACAAAAUUGCUUCGCCUGAGUUCACCGACUUAUUUCGGCAGAAAAAGCUCGAUGAACAACUCCUCAACAAGCUGAAGACGACGCUGUUGACCUUGUCCGUAGUGCUUAAUGAUGCAGAGGAGAAGCAAAUUAAGGAACCUUUAGUGAGAGACUGGCUUGACAAUCUCAGACAUAAUGUCUUGGCUGCGGAGGACUUACUGGAUGAGAUCGACACUGAAGCUUUGCGAUGCAAGCUGGAAGAAGGUGAAGGUCAAACCCACAAUUUAACCAAGAAGGUACGUGAUUUUUAUCAACGCAUGAAUGUUGAGAUGAAAGAUUUAUUAGAAAGAUUAGAACAAUUUGUACAAGAGAAAAGUGCUCUUGGUUUGAGAGAAGGUGCUGGGAGGAAGGUUUCACAAAGAAGAACAACUUCCUUGGUUCAUGAACCUUGUGUCUAUGGUAGAGAUGAAGUCAAAGAAAAUCUGUUACAAAGAAGAGGAUUUGCCGUCAUCUCUUUCUCAUCUGAGUAUCUCGCGGUGUCCUGCCCUGGAGAAAAGGUAUAAGAAUAAGACGGGACAAGAUUGGGCAAAGAUAUCUCACAUUCCUUGCAUCAAGAUAGGAUACGAACUGAUCAUAUAAUAUGAGCUAUUCCAUAUUUCACUCUCAACCCUCAACUCUCAAAUCAAAGUCAGGUGAGGUAUGUGCCUUCUCUUACUUUAAAAAACUGCUUCUCUUCUUCUAAUUGAAUACAAAAACCAAAACACAUAUUCUCUUUCUCUUCCAAAAACCCAAAUACAUGUUGAACAUUGCCAAAUUUGAUCUCCAAAUUCCUAAUUAUUUCACGCUUUUUGUUAUUUUGUUGCUUAGUAAAUUAUGGUUGCUGGUCACAAAUUAUAGUCUGUUAAUAGGUUCAUGCCAUGAAUUAAUCUUUGGACUUUCCCAGGUACUGCAGGUUUGUUAUUAAUGUUGUGGCCUGAUAUUCGUCGUAUCAAUAGGUUGUCUUACGUUGAGGAGAGAGAUCGAUCAGCAAUUACAAAAUUGUUAGUGAAUUUAGCUUGUUUAUCAUCUCUCUCCUUUUGUUUGUUAAGUUUGGUUGUUCUAGGUUAAACCCUUGUCCCCGCAUUUCACAGCAACUCUAUGUUAUUCCACUCUGUUUAGUUUCAUUUAUGUUGUGAUUCGACUGCUGCUGUAUUUUAGAUUUCGUUCAUGUAAUGCUAGGAUGUUUAAUCUCUUAUCUGUGGUGGUAGUUGAGUAGUCUAGCUAAUCCAAUGAUAACUUGUCCCCUGUUUUGUAUUGUUUUUAUUUCUCUGGUAAUGAAAGCACGUUUCUUAUAAAUAAAUAAAAAAUAUUUCAUUGAUAUUCAUUGCUUAUUUUGAACUGCAGAAGCCUACUUUUGUCAGAGUCAGUAGAUGCCAGAAUGAAGUCAUUGCCUAAACACAUUGGCACCCUCACAGCCUUCGACAUUUUGGGAUAUAUGAUCUUCAAAAUCUUGUGUCAUUUGCCUCCCAACCUGCAAUAUUUUCAUAUUUUAAAUUGUGACAGACUGAGCCCUUUGGUGGGAGAUUACUGGGGUUUGCAAGGACUUGGUGGCAAUAUCUUGUAGACGUUUCUCAAGGAACAGCUGCUCAAUACCACUCUUCACACUCUAUAUAUUAUGGCCUGUCAGUCUAUAAUUCCUGCCAGGAGAGGAACUUGAACGCCUCUCUUCGCUGCAAAGGCUACAUAUUUGUGGGUGUGACAAUAUCCAAUUCCUGCCAGAAGAGUGUUUGCUGCCAUCUCUUUCUUAUCUGUGCAUCAACCAUUGUUUUGCCAUGUAGAAAAGGUAUCUCACAUUCCUUGCGUCAAGAUAGGCGAAGAAGUGAUCAUAAGAUAUGAGCUCUCUCUCCCUCUCGCUCACAUACAAUGUACUUAACACAAACACUCAAUCUGAUUUCUAUUAUUAUUUUGCUCAGUAAAUUUUGUUUAAAUUUGCUUUAUUUCUCAUUGCACUUGUUCUGCUGAUCACAACUUAUAUCCUAUUUAAAUCUCAAAUGCUGAAUAAUGAGCAGUCUUUUCGCAGGACAACAUAUCUUCUCUUGGAGAGCUAUUCAUUUGCAAGGUUUCUUUAUGGGUCAUUUCCAGAGGAGGGUUUACUAUUUAAUAGAAAGGUUCACCUGGAAUAUCUCAACUGACACAUUCCCAAAUACAGGCAUUGAAUGCACAACAUUUUGAGGUACUAUUUUUGUAAUAAAAAUGUACUUGAGUCUCAUUUGAGCUAGUUUAAAUUGUAUUCAAUGUCUAUGGAUAACCUGUGAGCUUAAGUUGUAAGAUAAAACUCACAGUAUAUUAUUAGGGUUUAGGGUUCAACUGUUCAACAGGUGAGCUUAAGUUGUACUUUCCUAGGUACUGCAUGUAUAUAAUCUUAGUAUCAACACUUGGUCUUAUGUGGACAAGAGAGAACAUUUGAGGAAUUACAAAAUCUUCUUAGUGAAUUAAUGUUGUUUCAGCUCUGUUUGUCAUCCCUCACAUUUUCUUUGUUAAGCCUUGAUUUUUUAUUAGACAUAAGAAAAAAUGCUUUUAUAAGACAGGAGAUGAAUGCUUUUAUAUGUUGAUGUCGUAGUCAGUCUUCAACCACACUCUGUUUUUAGAAUUCAUUUAUGUUACUAGUUGAGUGCUGCUGUAUUUUAUAUUUCGUUCCUGUAAUGUUUGGAUGUUUAGCUUGAGCAGUCUAGCUUAUCCAGUAGAUAACUUGUUCCCUGUUUUGUAAUGUUUUUGUUUCCUCUAAUGAAAGCAGGUUUUACUUAUCUUGAACUGCAGAAGCCUACUUUUUGACAUAGGUGGCAUGGCACAAACUCGCAUCCGCAUUUCCUUCCCCAUUGGCAUGCUGUCUCAUCUUUUGUAUUCUGUUACCAGCUUGAAGCUUGUGUAGACAUGUUAUGCUCUUGUAAUUCUGAUCACAAACAUCACUUGACAAAUGGAAAGUCACAAUCAGAUCUUUCAGGUGAUCGGGAGGUUUACUUUCUAACAUUUGUUUUCAUUGGGGGGAGGACAACAAUACAGAAUUUAAAAUUUCUGAUAAUCAAUAGUAGUUUGCAUAUAUCAGCUGGGACCUGUAUGACUGUAUUAUGUAAUUAAUUAUUUCUCUUAUUGUUUUGGUACUGUUAAAAGGAGUUAGCCACAAAAUAAAAAAGGAGGCCUCUUAUUUCAUACAAUUUUUCAAAAGUGAUCAUUCAUCCGUUUCUUUUUCAACAAUAGAGGAAUGUAUACUAAUCGUCUGGUCCAUCUGCUGCUUCACUCCCUAGUAGCUUCAUCUCCUGUCCUUUGCUUUAUUUCUGUUGAUGAAUGUUUUGUCUGGGUUAUUUAUUUUCAUUUCAUGUCCAUUGCUUCAUUUCUGUUUGGAUUCUGUCCUGGACUUGAACAAGGGUUAGGUUAGCUGUAUAAUUUGCGGUUUUAUAUACACAACUGUCUACAUUGAUUAAAACCAGCAUUAUUCUAAGGUUCAUUUAGAAUGUAUUAUCACCAAAAUUAUAAAGUAUACUUCUAUUACAAUUAAUUUGUUGAUUCUAAUUUGGACUUGUAGGAACAGACCAAACAUGUUCAUACGUGGCAUUGCUCAAGUCAUCAUCAUUCGGGACAGAGAAUAAGCCUUCAAAUGUCUGCUGAGUCAAUGAACCUUUCUAGAUAUCUCAAGUGUAGUGGAAAUUGAUGAGUUACAAAGGAUUUUUAAACAUUUUCUACUGGAGGCUAGAAAUGCUUCAAAUAAAUGACUGUGUUGCAAUUAUUUUGUAGGAUCAAAGACUCUGCAAAGAGGUAAGAAAGUCAUCAUCAAGUAACUUUGCUCUUCAAACUUUUUAAUUUUAUUUUUAAAUAUCAGUAAUAACUGGGAAAGUUUGCAUUUCCUUAAAUUGCUCAUUCUUACAUCUUUUAUAGUUUGUUGAUCUUGGGCAAGUGGAGAGAGAGGCGUCAAGUGAUACACAACAACCAUUUUCUGUGAGCUGAUUUGAUAAAGAGAAAUGGUAUGCUUUCUUGUCUUAAGCGGUGUGUUCUGCAAUUAUUUGAAACAAAGGAUGCCGCACUUCAAGUUCGAGAAAAUCAGGUAUUUUAGUAUUUUAUUCUGGAGAAAUUUGAUUUAUGUAGAAACUUGAACAUGUAAAUGAGAGAAAAAAAAAUUUAUAUAUAUAUAUAUUAUAUUGUAUAUGCUCUUAAUGAGUUAAUAUGGUGCUUGCUCCUGGUUGGAAAUUUAUGUAGUCAUCUACCUAUGAUCAAAUAAAGAUGAAAAAUAAAAUAAAAUUGAGAGCAUCUUCCUCUCCCCUGCUUUGCUCAUCCCUUGUUCUUCCACUUCAGCCCCACUAUUACACCAUUUUUUCAGCCACAAUUAUAAUAGCUCCAUGAGCAUUAAGUCCUUUUCAAAUUCUGCUGACAUUCAAAAUUGGAAUUGCUGGUGAUAUAUGAUAGCAUCCUUGUCCGACCAAAAAGAAAAAAAAAAAAAGUUGAUAGCAUAUUGUACCAUUUUGGCCAGUGUACGCAAUAUUAUUGCAUCCAACUUUGCAUAUUAACAUCAGUGGCCACAGUUCCAUGAUUUGAGUGCACAGAAAGGUUUCAAAAGUUGUCCCACAAAGAACAGUCGUUCAAAGUGAAAGAGAGUUUUCAAAGCUUAGUUACAAGUUCAUGUUAUUUACAAUAUCAAAAAGCUUUCAUACUUGCUUACAAACCUGUAUUUCCAAGUUCUGCAAACCUUGGAAUAUCACUUCAUCCAAAUCCCCUUCCAAAGCAGGAAAAAUGGCAGCAGCUUUGAUUGGAGAGGCUCUCAUCUCUGCUUCUAUCGAGUUGUUGUGUGACAGAGUUACUUCAGCCGAGUUCAUAGACUUAUUUCAGCAGAAGAAACUUGAUGAAACACUCCUCAUGAACCUGAAGACGACACUGUUGAUUUUGUUUGCGGUGCUCAAUGAUUCAGAGGAGAAGCAAAUUGUGAACCCUGCUGUGAGAGAGUGGCUUAACAGCUCAAGCAUGCUGUCUUUGAUGCAGAGGACUUACUUGAUGAGAUUGACACUGAAGCUUUGCGAUGCAAGCUGGAAGGUGAGGAUGAAACCCACAAUAAUUAACCAAAAAGGAUCUUUUUGAUUGUUUGAAAGGAGGGUCUUGAUGAUUUGAAAGGAGAGGGUUGCUUUAUUUCUGUUGGAUGCUUAAUUAAAUCUUAUUUGGAGUUGAACAAGGAUUAGGUUAGCUGUAUAAUUAGUGGUAAACGCCUUUUUCUAAGGGUCAUUUAGACUCAUAUUACGAUUAAUUUGUUGUUUCUAAUUUGGACUUGUAGGAACAGACCAAAUAUGUUCACACGUGGCAUCGCUCAAGUCAUCAUCAUUUCAGACUGAAAAUCAGCCUUCAAGUGUCUGUUGAGUCAAUAAAACUUUCUAGAUAUAUCAAGUGCAAUGGAAAUUCAUGAGUUACAUAGAGAUUUGUAAACAUUUUGAAGAUUGCAACACCUGCAAGUGAGAUAGGCGGUGACGAAAUCAGAGAUGAAGCCUCUGAUGCCCCUGUUGUUGCAAGUUGCACCUGAGAACAUGUUUUUUUUUCUUCUUUGGGGUAAAAAACUGGCAACAUGUUCGGAGCUGACAAUUCAAUCCCUGAUGAACUAGAGAAGCAAAGCUCCGGUAAGGAAAUUGGUCAAGGUUGUGACAGGGAUGAUUGAUGGUGAAAUGGAUGCUAUUUCUUAUUGCAGCCUGUUCUUAAAGUUCUUGUUGGCAAAUGCAAGAGAUGGAGUAUUUUGAUUGGGAGGAGAGAUAAUGACAUGGCUUGACAAUUCUAGAACAGCCCAUCAUUAAUCCCAGAAAAAAUCCAGUUUCUGCUAAACAAUCACUUAUGGCAAGGCCAACUCUGUAAAUGGAAUUUGUGAUCCCUUCAAAUUGUACACAUUUUUUCUUUUUGAGGAAUUUAAUCAAACAGUAUUCUAAUGCAUUAUGAUGGCACUACACGCUUUUGUUGUAACAAAUUACAAGGAGGAAUUUGGAUUGAGUUUCUUGUAUAAGCACACCUUACACAAAUUUCGUAUAUUUUCUUCCAGCAAGUCUGUCUAUUAAACCCCUUAUUUGAAAUUAAUUGUUAUAAGUUUUGAUUCAUCUUUAAUCAGUGUCUUCCCCUUGUUGAAUAACACUCCUCUUUCUAAUUUAUAUUUGAAGUUUGAGGUUUCAAUUUCAAUUGUGGGUUUUGAUUUUACAGAUUUUGUUUGUCAAUUUCAGUUUGGACAAAGCAUAUGCAAUCAAAGUAAGCAUUUUAUGUUAUACUUUUGAACUAGGUGUUGAUUUGAUUUAAUCAUAAGUUUUGCUGGUGCAUUUACUAGGCUAAUCAUUCAAUACUUUUGAUCAUAGAACUUCUUUGGUUGAUAUUAUCUUUGUUAAGUUUAACCAUAACUUUAGAGAGGGGACUUAACAGAUUUAUAAUCUCAUCAUUAUAGUAUUAAAAAUUAGAGAUUAUUUAAGGCAUUGUCUAUUAUCUGAAUUCUGCUUACUUUUAGUUCAUAUGUUUACAUCUUAGCAUAUUCAUGUGAUUAGUGCGGCUCAUACCACAAAGGCAAUUUUAGGCUCAUCAAGUGCUAAGCAAUGUCAAGCUUCCAAGUGACAAGUUCUCUACAUAGUUUGAGACCUACACUUACUAGAUAUUAGAUCAUUUGGAUCAUUUCCAUAUGUGUAUAUGUAAUUGACAUGUUAUAACAUUUUUGUAGCGUUAUAUAAUUAUUUAGCAAUUUAAUUAUUUCUUUGCAACUUUAUUUUUUUUGUCAGUCAUACUAUUGUUGACUGCUAAAAACCAUCAAGAAAUAGUUCUUAAGUUAUAAAAAAAAAUUAUAAAAAAAAAGAUUUGUUGAUGCUUAAAAAGCAUCAAGAACAGAUAGUUUCUUGACGGUUUUGUGACGUUUCAUAACUGUAAGGGGCUUUUUCUUUCGACAGCUGUAAAUGGGCUGGGCUGCCGUAAAGGUCAAGACUGAUGAAAUUGUCCCUUUUUGUCUGAGCUCGAAAAUUAUGCCCCAAAAUACUUUGAAAGGGCAGCAGAGCCUUAGGAAGUAUUUUGGUUACCCUCACCAACUAAAACAACAACAACUUACAGGUAAUUUCUUAAUGCUUACAGAUGAACUCUUGUGCUUGGCAUGAGUGACAUGUGGCAUGGAAGCAAAAUCAACAUGAGUUUAGCACUGAGGCGAAAUUUAGGCUCUCUUGGGGGAAAAAGGGAAGUGUUAAGGUGAGAGAGGAGAAGUUUGUAGGAGAUUUAGCUAAGAAAGGAGAAAUAUAGAACAAUGCUCUUCUGGCAACUUGACAGAUGCUCUGUCUGCCAAAAAAGGAAGAUGGAGAAGAAAUGUGAAUAGUGCACGAAUUUGCUAGAUUUUUGCAGGUAAGAGAGGAAGCUUGCCCUAUGGGUCUGAGUUGAGUUUUGUUGGGUGGAAGAGACCUCAUUUUAUAGCCCCUGGAAACCAUCACUUCCCAAGAAACCCUAAUGGCUUCUACCUAUUUUGGCCAAGCUUUUCCCUUCCUUUCUCAUUUCCUUCCUUGAGUUUACCCCUUUUGAUGAAAUCCCAUCUGCCUAUUUGCACCAGAUCAAAGUUUUUUGAAGCUCAAGGCCCCCAUUUUCUUGCAGUUGUCUCAAUGGGAGACUUCCAUUCCCAGUCAUUCUCCUUUAUUGCUUUCCUUUCUUUUUUUCAUGGCCUAGUCUGGUGGGGAAAGGAGUUGGGAUAUAUAUGCUGGUUUGAAGGGUGCUUCUCUUCCUGACAUCUUACACACUAAUACCCCUUGGUUCCUUGAAUGUUUUGGCUUUGAAACUUGCUCCCCCCCUCCCCCCAUGUACUGGAACCUCCCAGCAGCUCUGUUCAAUGAAUUUUCAGACCUUUUCUUCAUGGCUUUUAUUUUUUUAUUAACUGGCUGGAGCUUUUGUGGCUCAUUGUGGCAAUUGUAUGGGCUAAGGUGGUUCAUUAAGUAAGUGAGCUAUUUUUAUUAAACAUUGGGCUUUUUGGUUGAGUCACUAGGCUAUUUUGAUUGGGCUAUUGGGCUAUUUUUUCCUUUCUUGUACUCACCCACAUGUUUGGACCAAAGAAAUGAGCUUGAGUCCUGAGGCUCCCAAGCGACCCGAGACUUUCCAUUUCUCGGCCCAUCAAUGGGCCUCAUGUUGAUUUAUUACCAUCCAUACCACAACCCACUCAAGCAAGCCCCGGGCAUUUGAGUGGCUUGGGCCCACUUAGGCUUGUAGUGUGGUUGGGUGCGAAAUGACGAUUUCGUGCUUGGCAUGUUUUAAUUUUAUCAUCCUUGGGAAAGGCUGCGAUGUUUGAUUUCGGCAUGGGCUUGUAGAGCUGGUAUGCUUUAUUUCAACUCUAGCAUGACGAAUUAUUUAUUUAGCAUGGCACGUGAAUUACAACUCGCAUGGGGUGGGUUUUUGUGUACUACACCUUACGCCUCUUCUUAAUAGAACAUCGUUUUGGGCUGAUAAUUUAUUCGGGCCCAACUGUGAAUUUUUUGGGUCUCAAUAAUAACCAUCAUAAAAUAUUACAUUUUGACUGACGUCAAGAAAUGGGGUAUCCCUUUCCUGAUAGUGGCAUCCAUGAUGCCUUCCAAGCCGUCAAUUAAGGGCUAUCGUGAUGCAUUUUAGUUGUCAGCAAAAGGUGUUUUUCUUGUAUUGUAUUCACUCAAAAUCAUGUUUCAUUUAAGACUAGUAGUAUGGUUGAAUACCAUUUGUUUUGUUAAAGAAUAUUAUACAUUAGGGAUUUUUGUAGAAAUGUCAUUUGAACUUAUACCUUAGUUUCAAUUUGUUACCUUGAAGAAAAAUUUAAGAGAAAUGUCACCUUAAUUUUUAAAAAUCCAUGAUUUGUUAUAUGACUUUAAGAUCAUCCAAUUUUCCAUCCAUUUUAAGGGGAUUUUAGUCUUUUCAUUUUCAAGGAAAAAAAAGAGAUGAAAAAAGAGACAUCUCUCUUACUUUGUUGCCCAACCCAACCCAACCCCACCCGCCCCCCAAAACCACAUAGGAUUGCCUCCCCUUUCCCCACUUUUCUUUUUUCUUUUUGUCCUACUUUUCCACUGUGUUUAUGUUGAAGGAUCUAAAGUUUGCUUGGUCACCAUCUGUUACGUAGGCUUCCCAAUUGUUGGUUUGGGUGGGUUGUGGGAAUUUGUGUGUGGAGGGCAAGACCCUAUCUGACAGGACCUGCCUCGAAUUCCUCGAAACCCGAGACGAAUCUUGUGGAAUUCCCGACAUUACACCGAUGUCGGGCCCACUUAUGAACUAAAUCCUCCUUUCCAAAAUUAAGGAAAAAGAGUACGAGGCUUUCUGCCGAAAUUGCGGCAGUGUCUUCCUUAUAAAUUUAACAUUUCAGCUUUGGUGGCCAUUCUCUCAUUUUAGCUUUGGUGGCCGGAUGAGAGAACGGCCGGCUAAAACGUGGCCAACUGGCAUUGCCGUCGCGAGAGAGGAGAGAGAGAGAGAGAUUUUUAUCAAACCAUUUUUGCCAAAAUUACGAUUAUGCAACUGAGGGUAUUUUGAUCGUAUCUUUUUUGUUAUAACUCCGAUUCAAGCUCACUACAUGCCUAUGGAUUCAUCUCGCCGUGCUUUAUGCAAUUGUAUAGUUGAAAUUCCCAAAUUCCAUCCCAGUCAAAAGUCAACUUUAAACCCUAUAAAAUAUUCUAGGGGAAGAAUGGUCUUUUAUCUAAUUAAAUUAAUAAUUGAAAAUUUAUUUAGGAUCGGGUCGUUACACUGUCGUUGAUGGACUGUGCGAUGACACUCACACAAAGUCCUUGAGAAUAAAACACACACACACCGUGAAGAGAGUAAAACAAAUACACAAGUACACAAAGAUUUAUAAAGGUUUGGCCUCCUGCCUACGUCCUUUUGGUGAUCCACCCGAGAAAUUCACUAGUAUGUAAGAACAACUUUGGUUACAACUAAACCCCCUUAGCUUUCAUAAGAACCCUAGAUCUCUUUUCUCCCACCCUUGCUCCAACCCUUUGAUGCCCUUGUAAACACUCAAGAAUUCACCCUUGAAUUCUGUCAUGUGUUACAUCUUCUCUUCUCCCCUUUGUUAACCUAACCCUAAAAGUUAUAUUUAUAAUUCAUAGGACUUUAAGUACAAGUUAACUAGGAAUAGGAAACAUAAAAGACCCCCAAAAUUGGAGAAAAUAUGUCUAGAUCUCGUUAGGAAAUUGCACAACACGUGCGAUCCGCUCGAGCGCCUGCAAAAUCAUCCCUUUGCCGCUCGAUCUGCCGAUAGCUCAUGGGAUGGGGGAAUUAGAGAUUUUUUUUUUUUCAAUUUUAAUUGUUUAAAAGAUAUACAAUUUUUUAAUAAUAAUUUUUCCAUUUUUAAAAUACCCUUGAAAAUAGAAAGAUUAAAAUGCCCUUAAAAAUGGAUGGAAAAUUGGAUGGUGUUAAGAUCAGAUGACAAAUCAUGGAUUUUGAAAAAUUAAGGUAACAUUUCUCUUAAAUUUUUCUUUAAAGUGACAAAUUGAAAUUGAGGUAUAAGUUCAAGUUACAUUUCUGCAAAAAUCCUUAUACAUUAUGAUAUUCUAACAAUAAAAUUGGCUAAAAUUGAUAUGUUCCCUCUUUUAUUUUCUUUUUCUCUUUUCCUUUUCAUUUUAUGAUCCAAUCCUUUUCAUAUAUUUUUGUUCAAGACUUUGUUUUAGAAUGCUCUAUUACUAAUUUGGUACAGGUCCCUAAAAUCUCAGAGCCGCCUUAGUACAUUCAUAACGUACAUGUUCAGAGUUCAAGAAUAAUGUAUAGAAUGUGAAAUUGACGAUGCCGGCCUUUAUGAGGCAACGUCUUUAUUUCUUUGGUUAUUCCAGUUUAGAAUAUUUGCACAAAUGAGAUGACUCCAAGCAUAAAGUCACAUUCGACCAAAAAGCAUGAAGUCACACACAAAAAGAACACGGACAAUUGCUAAGUUUAUCCUUGUACCCUUAUUAUCCGACCCAAUUGAAAAAUAAAAAAAGAUGAUAAAAAAUAUUGUUCACUGCUUUAAAAUCUAUGAGUAGAGUCCUCCAUUUGAAAUUUCGUCAUUAUACAAAAUUGGAAUGAAAAAAGAAAAUCCUACAGCUAAAUUUGAUAUAUUUCCUUUUCAUUUUAUGCUGGGUGUUAGGGCUCGUCAAUGGGCCGGGCCAGGCUAGCCCGGCCCAAAUUUAAUGGGCUUGGGCCAGGCUGGGCCAGGCUUUAAAGAGGAGAGAGAAAAUAUCAGGCCGAGUUUUUUAAGAAAAUUCAAAGCCCAAGCCCGACCCAUGAGCCCGGCUUGAGAAAGCCCAUCGGGCCGGCCCGGGCCUAAACAGGCCCUACUUCGUUAAAAAAAAAUCAUAAACUUAAUCAUAAGGUCAUUUUAGUCCAAAUUUGAGAUUAAACUCACUUAAUUCCAAUAUUUUCACUUCAAACCAAAUUCAUAAAACACCCAAUAAAGUCACACAGCUUGUAAGAUUUUCCACAAAAAUAAUAAAACCAAGUACUAUUUUUGAGGUUAUUACAUAAUUAGAUCGUAAUAUGUUUUAAGAAAUAAUUUUAAAAAAUAAUAUUAAUAAGUAUCAAAAAAAUAAUUUUUUAAAGGAUGGUAUGAAUAAAUAUGCAAAUAUUUGGUGAUGUGUUCAAGAAAAGGAUGAUUAUAUUUGGUGGUACGAUUAUGUUUCGUGAUAUGAUUAUAAUUAGUGAUGUGAUAUGUUGUUCAUCUUAUAUAUAUAUAUAAUUGUUGAAUUAAUAAUUGACACAAAUUAAUGUGUUAAUCAUCCAAUUAUAAACUAGGAAUGAAUAAAGAAAAGUAAAUGAAAUGAAACAAAUUAUAUAUGUGAUUUAAGUGAUAUAAUCCUAAACCUAAACUCUUAUUUAUACAUAAUUAUAUAUGUAUGCGGGCCUAACGAGCCGGACUUUUGUGGGCGGGUAGGGCCGGGCUUUAUUGGGCUUAAUCGGGCUUUAUUGGACUUAAUCGGGCUGGGCCUAUAGGUCGGACCGAGCUUCAGACAUCCAAGCCCACGCCUAGCCUCGCCCGCCUUGGGCCGGGCCAUUCUUUUUUUGGGGUUCUAUUUCUCUUUGAAUUAACUGCUGAGUUUCAUGAACAUGUCCUCCUUUUGAAAUUGUGUAUUAUUCAAAAUUGGAAUUUGCUGGACAUACUUGAUAUUUUCGUGAGUAAAUUCUGAUUUGGUGGUUGUGCUCGUCACAAAUCAAUGAAAUGACAGCAGUGAUUUUGCAAGACAGCGUACCUUCUCUUGGGGUGCUUUUCAUUUUGCAACAUUUCUUUACGUGUAAUUUCCAGAGGAGGGUUUAUCAUUGUAUACAGCUCUUCGGGUGGUUUUUCUACAAAACAAAUGUCACAAAGAAGGAGGAGAAGCGGAAAAGAUUUACUUGGAAUGUCUCAAGUCUCCUUUGAGAUAAAGGCAUCGAAUGCACAACAUUGUUUUUGUGCUAUUUCAUAAUUAAAGUGUGCUUCCCAAGUCUCCUUUGUGUUUUGUAACUUGUAAUGUUUGUUUUUUUGUUUCCCAUGUUUUGUCUCUUAUAAAAGAAAGGCUUUUUAUCACAAAUGGUCCUUCAGGUUUACAAAAUUAUCACAAAUCGUCCUUCAAGUUUUUUUGUGACACUAAUAGUCCUUCAGGUUAUCAUUUACCCAUCAAAAUGGUCCUUCUGUCAGUUUCUGUCAAAACUGACGUUAAAUUCCUGUGCUCAGCCUGCUUUUGAAAUGAUAAUCUCAUCUUUUCCACUCAACCUUCAACCAAACUCAACUGUCAGAACCCUUUCCCUCCAUUUCCUCAUGGUCCUUCCAGUUUGGCGCCCCUGUAAUAUAUAACCAAUCUUAAAAAUUAAACUUCUGAAGAAAUUGAAACAAUCCAAGCUCAAGAGAAAGACCAACAAUUGAGAACUGCAGAGAAAGAUCAAACUCAUGGAUCAAUAUGGUAAAGCCAAAUUGAAAAACAUAAUUUGCUAAAGAUAAAGCCAAACUGAAAAACCAAACUGAAAAACAUAAAGAUAUCAUUGACAAAUAUAAAAAGUUAAAAAAUAUUGCACAAUCAAAAUACAACCACAUGUUUCACAAAACAAAACAAAACAACCACAUUUGCAGACAAGCUGUAGUUUACACUUUAACAAAGAUUAAAAAACUAACCUGUAUACUUUGGUUGUUUCCCCCCCUUUCGAAAGAACUCCUCGGACUCAUCCAUCUAGUCACUUUUGUAAGAAGAAUAAUGCGUAUUUGACUCUUACGAACCCAGAUAUUCCUUUUGCAGACCAGCUUUAUCAAUUAAAAACCCAAAAAACCUUAAUUGUGCAGGGCCCGAGGAUGAAAUGGAGGGAAAAGGUUAUAUAUGCGGUUUAGAGCGCCAAAAUGGAAGGCCCGAUGAAGAAAUGGAGGGAAAGGGUUAUUUCAGUUGGGUUUGGUCGAAGGUUGAGUGGAAUGAUGCGAUUAUCAUUUCAAAAGGCAGGCUGAGCACGCGACUUUAACGUCAGUUUUGACAGAAACUAACAGAAGGACUAUUUUGAUGGAUAGAUGUUAAACUAAAGGACUAUUAGUGACACAAAAAAACCUAAAGGAUGAUUUGUGAUAAUUUUGUAAACCUGAAGGACCAUUUGUGAUAAAAAGCCUAAAAGAAAUACAGGUCCAAACCACACGGAUCUACUUGCAUAAUAAUGGACCAAAUUUAUGAUUUUUAGAAAGAACCUUCUACUGGUGGAAUCUUGGGCUACUGUUGUGGCUCUCCUCUGUGUGCCUCCUUUUUAGAACGAUAAAAUAUUCAAAAUACCAGAAAAUGUUCAUGAUUAAUGCAAAUAUUAAGAAUUGAAAUUAUUAAUUAAAUGAAGAUAAUAUGGUAAAUUCACACUUUUUCAUAUUAAAAAAAUUAAAAUUAAAAGAAAUAUCAGAUAAUUACUCUUAUUUUUAUGGAACACAGCUACCCAUUAUCUUUUUUAAUUAUAAAAUAAAUUUAAAUUAAAAAAAAAAUCUCUCUCACAGACACGGAAGCGCGUGCUCAGAGGCUAGUUAAAAAUAAUGAACUUUGCUUUUGAAGACGUCUAUACCAGACCCACUCAACCUGCUUUAUGAUUAUGCAAAGAACAAACUCGUCCUUAGACUCAUUUGGUUAAACUUAGAAAAUAAUGAAACAAAAAUAUACACACCCACAAGUAACACAGCCAGGAUUGAAAACAACUGGAAAAAGAAAGGCAUGUCAAAACAAAAUUUUCAACAACUCAUCACCAUUAGACAAGAAAAAGAAAAAUCAAUACAGAAACAGAAAGAACAGAGAAUAAAUGUGGUGGAAGAAAAACGUUGAAGCCAUUUGUGAAUCCAACAACACUACCACUCUGUUUCUCUCCUUUUGUUCAGGCGGAUCUGCAUAUAUCCUAAGGCGUAUUACGGAAACAACUUCUUGCGGUUAUACUUGAAUGUUGUGGAUGCUUCAACGUUGCCAUCUGGGUGGAGUGGAUUUGUCCAAUUCACCUUCACUAUGGUUAAUCAACUAGACAGACAUAAGUCAGAAACAAUAGGUAUAUACGUCCAAAUUGUUGUUAUUUGAAAGGUUCUAAAUUUUAACAUUUUGUUGUAAAUGUGGAGAGAAAAAGUAGAGAAUUGGAAUAGAGAGGAGAGACUGAUUUUCUCAUUCAUAUGUUCAGAUGAAUGUCUUCAGUGUAUAUUUUACAAGUAGGGGGAGGUAUCUAUUUAUAGGCUAAGGUUUUGGUAAAAUACAGGGAAGGAAAGUUCCUGGAAGAUGCAAGGAAACUUCCUCUGUGGGCUCCACCUUCAAACUUUUACAACACUCCCCCUUGGAGACCACAAAUGAUAUGGAAUAUGCCUCGUUAAAAACCUUGCCAGUAAAAACCCAGUGGGACAAAAACUGGUCAAAGGGAAAAAGAGUACAUAAUGAUGUGUAACAUAAAAUUCUGUGUAUAUUGACGCGCGUGCGACACUGCCUCGUUAAAACCUUGCCAGGAAAAACCCAGUGGGAUGAAAACCUGGACGAAGGAAAAAGAGUACAGUGUUUGAAGAUCUUUAUUGAUAGCAUGCUCCCCCUGAUGCUUGGUAAAAUAUCUUUAAGUCAUACUGUUGAUCACCUUUCUGAAUAUCGUAGUUGACACUGCUGCUGUGAGUCAAUCUUGAGCGACACUGCCUCGUUAAAACCUUACCAGGAAAAACCCAGUGGGAUAAAAACCUGGAUGAAGGAAAAAGAGUACAGUGUAUGGAGGUCUUUAUGAAAAACCACGCUCCCCCUGAAAAAUAUCUCCCCCUAAAAAAUUUCAUGACUAGCUUUUCCAGUAUGCGACCAUAGAAAUUUUCAUAGUAUACUCUAAACCCUUGAGCGACACUGCCUCGUUAAAACCUUACCAGGUAAAACCCAAUGGGAUAAAAACCUGGAUGAAGGAAAAAGAGUACAGUGUGGAGCUGACCUCUAUCUGGUCUAGUAUACUUCCGGAAAAACAUUUAAGGUGUCCAACGGAUAAUCCUCAUAAAAAUGCUUCAAUACUUUCUUAGUAUAAGCAAGAAUCUCGUUGGCAUAAUGCUCGAUCUUUAAGUCGAGACAAAUAUUUCGUGACUUCUGCAGAAGCUUUAAUGUGUUGCAAACACAUUAUAAACAAUGUACUCACUGAGGUAAUUUAUGCAUAUUAAUAUUGAGUACAAAUUUUGUGCUUCAAGCACAUGUCCUUUAGGGACUUGCUUUAUGCAAUGUCAAUCCUCUCAACGGAUUUUGUUUAAAAGGGGAUUAAACUUUAUGACACAUUAUAUAGCUUUAACCCAGCUAUUUAUACAUCUUUAGGGAAUCACUUCAAGUGAUAUGCUCUGUGCAUUUAAUAACCCUUAAAGAUAACAUGUUGGUCUCCGUAAUUGUGCAGUAAGGGGGGAGGCACAAUUGAAUCUGUAAAUAUGGAAAAGACCCAACAUUCAUUGUUUCUGCCAGAAACAUUGUGUCAUACAAAGUAGGUAUAUUCCCUUUUAUUCCGAACACCCAAGUAUAAGUUUCAAUAUUAACAUCUUUUGGGGUUCGUACUGUGGGUUUGUUCUUUCACGUUCAUUCUCAUCUAUAAUGGAAUUACCUCUUUCCAUUUUGGCCAAUGAUAUUGUCGACAUCUAAUAAUUGAACGUGGUUCCAAUCAACACAGCCCAUUGAUGAUUUGAGUAGCUACUCCAAAACCAAAAAUUGUCAUUCAUCAAUUCAUUAUCCCACCAUUCUCAUGUGCAUGCGCAUGCAUCAAUUAUAAGCAUUUCUUUGCUUUUGGGUACCCAAGCCACUUCAGGGGGCUUUUAUUAUGUGAGAAUGUGGAUUAUAACCUCCAAUGGAGCGUUAUUUUGCAGUAGGGCGUGGAUAAUCUCCAUUUAGGGAGUUGGAACAUUUAGAACCCAUAUAUCUGUCAUGCUGCAGGCAUGCCACAGAUUAAUACAUACAUGUCAAUUAGUUUAUGGGACUUUAACCCAUAUGAUGGGACUUUAACCCAUGUAAUUUGCUACGCAUUCGGCGUGCAUAAUCUCAAUAUUGACAUGUCAAAGGAUUGUCCAUUCGGGACUUCAAUCCACAUCAUUUGCUACGCAAUAGGCGUGCAUCAUAUUGAUCACUGCUAUACCCAUAUUCUGUUCUUAUGGGACUUUAAUCUGUGCAAUGUAUUAUCAAUGUAUCCAACUUGCAAUCUGUAAAAUUUGCAUUAAUAAUACAUGGAUACAUACAAGCCAUUCUUUUGGGACGGACUUAUCUCCCCAUUUGGUUACCUUUCAAUAUAAAAUAUCAAAUAGGUAUAUAAGCAUAAAAUAACACAAGUAUUGCUUACAUCCUUAGGUGGGAGAAACUUUUCUCAAGUAUCGCUUGAUGAUCUUGUUAUAUCCUGCAAGAGCAAAAAUCACAAUUCCUUUCUCUGUCAAAAACAAAUAAGAGGAAUAGGUAGAACCGGUGAAUUUCAAAUUAACCAUAGGAAAAUUGCGAGAUUCUCGGGAUGCUUUUGAAAAAGUAGCUCCGUGAAAUCCGUAAAGCAAGAUUGGCUUUGAAAAUAAUACUUGAAAACGCCGAAAGUGCCGACAGGCAUUAUUAGAGGCCACGUGAAGUUUUGGACUUCUAGGAAAGAAAAAGAUAAUAUGGGGAUUCGAGAAGAUAUUGGGGUCUUGAAAAACAGUAGCCAUAUUUCCUCCUAUAGAUAUGGCCUUUGCAACAAUUGCGCACCUUCUUAAACUUGCACCUGUGGUUUUUACGCCUUUUCAAAAUGACGGUUUGGAACCUUGUGCCUUAUAGGUUCAAAUAACCACAUUGUUUCUCCCAAAUUUCAUAUUUUAUCGCAUGGUAGCCCGAAACUUUUGGCCUGGGCACAAAUUCAGAAUUUAUUUGCCCUUUUCAAAUGGACAUGAAAUAUGAAUUGAGUAAAAGCCAUGAUAAUAUCGCAAUAUAGUAGUGAAGAGCAUUAACUACUAUAUACCCACAACUUCAAGUUCAGGAUCUCUCAUAUAUUUGGAUCCAUGGGUUUCCGGCCCAGAUAUAACAAAAUAUGUGGGGAGCCUCAAUUCAUCAUUUGAGGUUCAUACUGAUAUUAUCCAUUUCACGGUGUAUUCUUGACAACCGGAAUUCACAAAAUAUAUUUCUUCCUUGAAGUGUCGAUUAUAACAAAAUCGAACUUUAAAUUCAUCAUCUUCUUAUGCCAAAGAAAUAUGUGGCAUACCACAAUUUGCAAUAAUACCUCAAGGGUUGUCCAUUUAAUUGUUGGAACUUCAGGUUCUCAACACUGUUAGAUUUUGAACUUCUGGCCAAAAUCACAUAUUCUCAUGGUAUGGACAUUCAAUCCCCUUAGAUUUUGAACUUCGGGCCAAAAUCACAUAUUCUCAUGGUAUGGACAUUUUUACAAUUUUCUGUACAUAUUUCUGGACUUCAAGCCCUUACAUAAUUGUCCAUAUUUUGAGGAACUUCUGGCAUCUCAUUUAAUUGCUCAUCCAUGAGUUUAAGGAACUGCAGGUUCCCUUUUGAAUGGUGAUGGUUUACCCAAAAUGGUAAAUACUUAUGCAUACAUCACUAUUCAUGUAUACGGCACUAUUUAUGUAUACAGUACAUUUGCCAGUACAGUUAUCAUCCAUGUGUACGGCAUUAUGAACAAAUACGGUACUGUUACAUCAUUAAGGAACCCCAUGUCCUUAUUUACAUGUCAGGGAUCAAGGACCCUCAAGUCCGAUCACAUGUUUACAAAUAUAGUACCGGAGAGACUGCCAGCUCUCAUAUUAACAUCAUCAUCAAGGAUCUUCAAGUCCUGAUGUAAUUGUAUGAUGAGGAUCAAAGAACUUCUGGUCCUGAUCUGUAUACUGUAAAAACUCAUCAUACAGCACAUUUAAUCCAUAGAAUAAAUUGCUGGUAAAUAAAUUACUGGUAUGGACGAUAAACUCGCACCAUACUUUAAAUAAAUAUUGCCUUACAUACACUUACAGCAUCAAUAAUUGAUAUCCAUCCAUGAUCCACCUGUAUAAAUGUAUAUAUAUAUAUGUAUAUAUAUAUAUAUUAUUUUUAUUUGGACUUAAACAGAAACAGGCAUUUUCUAUAGCUGUAAGUAUAAUUGUACCUGCCUACGCUGAAGAUUCCUUUCAUUGUUGCAGGAUGGUGGGCAUUCAGUUUAAAUAAAGCAAACACACACAUUUCAAAUUUUAAUUGAAUUUCAAAUUAGCAGUUUACUUACAUGCCCAUCCAUGACGUAAAAAGCAGAGACAAGUGAUUGUCUUUCGACAAUGACAUGAUAUCACAGUAGUGGGGAUAACGCUAUGAUAUUGGCCGAUCGGCUUCGCUGUAUCCCUGCACACCUUUAAUAAUUAUAUAAUAUUAAAAUAAUAUAAUUAUGUACCUGCACUAUAGACCUGCAUCUUAAGCUUCUUCCCUUUAUGGGGUCUGCCGCUUUGCCUUUUGUUUCCUUUGCUUUGCUUUCCACUGAAGCAAGUUGGCCAGCACCAAUAAUGCCGCCCACAAUGCAAAAAUCAAGUUGGCCAGCACCAAUAAUGCCGCCCACAAUGCAAAAAUCAAGUUGGCUACUUUUGCCUGUUGCUUUCUCAAUUUCCUCCACCCUUUCAUUGUCUUUUCUUCUUUCACUACUUCUCAUCUUCUGCCUCUCUCUUGCCUUUUUUUUUUCUUUUUUUUUUUUUGUAUUCGAUUUUCUGGCAAGCCUCCAAAGACAGCAACGACCAAGUUGCCUUGUCAUGGCUGGCGGCCAUUGCAAAAGCCUUUUCCAUGAAGAAAUGGACUUGGACACGAGGCUGGUUGAUUAUGUAGUUGGAGAUGAAGAAAGCAGCUGACAGUCUAGGGAGGGAGCGAACCAGAGAGUUUGUUACUCCACUGGUGUGGUUGGGAGGUAGGGAUCGUCUGUGGUUGGUACAGAGUUUUCUUCCUCAGCUCAAGCAAGGCAAUAGAGGUAGGUUUGUUUGCUCAGCUCAGCUCAACCUGUGCUCUCUGUGUUUGUUUGCUGGGUUAUCUGGGAGAGUAAUUUUCUUCGGGUUCGGUUCUGGUAUGCUUUUGCAUAUAGAAAACAGAGAACCCAGAAAGGAAAUCCAAGAGAGAGACUUUGGUUGAGAAAAUGGCAAUUUUUGAGAAAAAUGGAGAUGCUGAGGUUGGUUGGACAACACCGAAUGGAAGUUGUUGGGCUCGGAGCAGAGAAUUGGUUCUCUAGAUCGGAGGUUUUGUGUGAAAUUUUACUGGCAAGCAAUCCGUGUGGCUCUGUACAAAACUGGGUUGGUUUUGGGUGGGCAAUCUGGGCUUGGUUUCGAACUGGGUGUCUUGAUCAAUUUCUGGGAUCAAGAAAUCAGAGAUUUCAGCCGGUUAAAGACUCGUGCUGAUAUCGUGUUGUAAAUGUGGAGAGAAAAAGUAGAGAAUUGGAAUAGAGAGGAGAGACUGAUUUUCUCAUUCAUAUGUUCUGAUGAAUGUCUUCAGUGUAUAUUUUACAAGUAGGGGGAGGUAUCUAUUUAUAGGCUAAGGUUUUGGUAAAAUACAGGGAAGGAAAGUUCCUGGAAGAUGCAAGGAAACUUCCUCUGUGGGCUCCACCUUCAAACUUUUACAACACAUUUUGAUUUUUAAAUUUUGUUUUAAUAUUUCGGCCCACUUAGUUCUUCUCAAAAUAUGUCAUCAAUAUCGUUGAAAGGUUGAACUUAGUGAAUUAUUAUAGUGCAGUACGGUAGAAUAAGCACAUGAUAUAAUUUGUCCACAUGUUAUAAUAUAAGUGAAUAUUUAUUGAUAUUAUUUCCAAAAAUAAGAAAUAUCAACAAUUAUAUCCUCCUAUAUUAUAAUACAUAUACAAAUUAUACCACAUUAUCAUACUCUAAUACCAUUUUAUAAUUUCUCGUACUUAGGAGGUAUAGAGCGAGUCAAUGACAUUACAUAAUAUAUAAUUGUUCAUAUAAUGGGGCAACUAACGUGAUCAACAAGUUGUGGUGAUUAAUUUAACAUAAUAAAAAAUAUACCAUUUACUUGAGUGAUGUAACAAUUUGUUCUUUUAAAUUGGAUUGCCAUCACUUUAAUAUGUUAUGUUUCUUAUUAUAGUCUCCCAUGUUAAGUGCUUCAGCAUUGUUUGUGGUGUGUACACAAAUUUUCUUAUAAAAUGUUUUAAUGCUUCUCACAUGUAUAUCAGAUAUAGACAGUUGAUGUGACUUAGAAAUCAAAUUGUCAAUAAAACAAAAAAAUAUAAUUGGUGAUCGAGGUCCAAUUUAAUAGAAAAUAGUCUUAACUUGCAUAUUAAAGGUCUUAUAUUCGAAUCCUCACUGCAUUAUUGUUGUAUGCGUACACAAGAAAUUCUCUUCCCCAAUAAUUUAGACUAUCACUUAUACUAAAAAUAUAUAUAUAUAAUGACUUUUACGAAUGCAAACAUAAAAUUACAUCAAACAAUAAUCACUACUACAAAAAAGCAAAAAGACGACGGUAAAUCACCGUCGUGUAUUGGGGUUUUCAAUGGUCGUGGAAUCCACCGUCAUCUUUUCCCUCAUAAACCACGACGCUAAAUAACCGUCGUUGUUAAAAUAUACAACGUCAUCAACAAAUACAAAACGACGUCUUUGUACUGCAAAAAGAUCUAAAAAAAGCAAUCGAGGAUGAUAAUAGACGACCAACUCUCUAAAAAAACCGUCGUUAAAAAGAAAAAAUAUGACACAUAUUAAGAGAACAAGGCCGCAAGAUAGACAUACAACGACGAAAAUAAAAAUACGACGACGUUAAAUAUAAUUUUCACGACAAUAAAAAAUAUGACGUCUUUAAAUACAUUAGAAGACGACGUUAUUGAUACAUACUACGUCGCAUAUAUAAAAACAACCGUCGUAAAAUUAAUUUUCCACUUCGAUUUUUCGAUAAAAGAUGACGUGGAAAUAGUUGUCAGUGUCAUUAUUUACGACGUAUGUGUUUAUAGAUUAGACGUUGAAAAACUAAACAACGUCGGUUACAAAUAUAUGAGAGUCGUAUUACAAAAUUUAUACGUCCUAUUUUCAGAAACAAACAACGACGAUAAAUAUUAGACGUUGUUAAACAAAACAACGUCGGAAAAAUAAAAACAGACGUGUUUAGUCUGCUAAAGUUCUAGAAAAUAGUCGAGGAUGAGAAUAGACAACCAACUCAAAAAAAUCACCGUCGUUAAAAAGGAAAAAUCUGACACAUAUUAAAAGAACAAGGCCGCAAGAUAUACAUACAACGACGACAACUAAAAUACUACGCCGUUAAAUAUAAUUUACACGACAAGAAAAAAUAUGACGUCUUUAAAUACAUGAGAAGACGACGUUAUUGAAAUCUACUACGUCUCUUAUUUACAAAAAACCGUCGUGAAAUAAAUUUUCCACUUCGAUUUUUCUAAAAAAGAUGACGUGGAAAUAGUUGUCAGUGUCAUUAUUUACGACGUACACAUUUAUAUAGUCGACGUUGUAUUUAUAUGUAUUCAUUACUCACGACGCACUUAAUAAUAUAGACGACGUUGAACUUCUAAACAACGUCGGUUCCAAAUAAAUGAGAGCCGUAUUACAGAACAUAUAGACGGCGUAGAUUAUGAUGAGAGCCGUAUUACAAAUAACGUCGUUUAAUUGUUAUUAGACGGCGGUUAUAAUGAAUUUCCGUCGGAAUUCAUUUCGUUCCUCUUCGUUUAUAAAAGAACUUGCGACGUGGAAAAUGUAUGAUGACGUCGUAUUUUUUAACGUUCAGAUUAUAUAUCUCGUUUUUAGACGUCGGUAUUAUGGGAUUGGAGUCGUGUUAUUUUGAAUUACAUGGCGGUUCUUAAUCCUUCACCGACGUGAUAUCCUGAAUAAUUGCUUCACAAUAGCGUCGUGGUUCUUCAUUGUUACGUUGCUUUAAGACGUCGGUAAAUAUGCUGAAUAACUGAUUCACAAUAACGUCGUGUUUUAUUUGAACGUAGAAAGUGAAGAAAUCACAUUACAAUAUAUUACAAAAUUAAUGUCAUACACUGCCAAUUACAUAAGCAUCAUUCAAUCCAUAUAUCUUCACACCCAUCUCGAAUAUUUUGACCGCCUAACUCACCCACCAGUUCAUCAAAUGUGUCAACAUUUGGCAUCCCUCUAGUAAAUGGCUCACACUCAAUUAUCACAUCACCUAAGACUUCAUCACCAAUAACAUCAUUAUAUUCUCUAUUAGGCAUUGAUAACACUACCGACCAACCACGAUGCAUCGGGUCGUCAACAAAAAAUAUUUGUUUGACUUGAGAAGCCAAAACAAAUUGGUCAUUCCUAUGUCCAAUUUUACUCAAAUCUACAAGGGUAAAUCCAAGUUCGUCGACUACAAGACCAGAACUAUCUAUCCAAUCACACCUAAAGACUGGGAUUGUAAACUUUUGGUAGUCAAGGUCCCAAAUUUCUUGAAUGACACCAUAGAAACCCAUAUUUGAGAGAAUUGGGUUUUUAUCCUUGGCACUAGCAACUUGCAUGGUAUGUGCAAGUAAAUAAACUCCACUAUUUUGAGUUGUCCGCACAUCAUCUUGUGCCUUGAUAUUGAAUUUAAUACCUUUAAUAAGAUAGCUCCUAUAUAAUGGCACUGACAUGUUUGGACCAGCUGCUAGCCACCUUAAAUUUUCUGAUACGCCAUGAUUGUCUUCCUCAAGUUCACUUUGAACCUGCAAAUUAAUCAUAUCUUAAUUCAAUCUAACAUAUAAAUAAGAAGAAAAUUAAAAGAGAAAUAUGUUAUUCAACAACAUAUACCUUGAAGCGUAGCCAUUGAAUGAAAGUGCUAUUGUGCUUAUCCUGCAGCCACUUUGUUCUCUUUCUAAAUUUUGGAUAAGCAGUCUUGAUGUGGAUCAUAUGUUGCCCACAUGACACGAAAAAUUCAAGCAUUACGAUCCUAAAUAUAGAAGAUAAACAUAAGAAAUAAUUUAAAAUGGAAACUUAAAGAAUAAAGCUCAUACGUACUCGAUAUAAGGUAGGACUUCCUCCGUAUUCUCCAAGACAUAUAGAUGUGCUUGAUUCAACAGGUCCUGAUCAACUACGCUCACUGUGCAACCUGAUAAUGGCUUUGAAAGCCCCAUCUUUUGGCUUGAAGGCACUCCAACUGUACUAACAUCAGAUAAAUGCUGAGUACAACACUCUACCGCUUCUUCAGCUAUAUACCGCUCAGCAAUGCAACCUUCGGGACGAGUACGAUUCUGAACAUACCCCUUCAGCACUUUCAUAUAUCUUUCAAACGGAUACAUCCACCGAAAAUAUACUGGCCCACAUAGACGAACUUCUCUGACAAGAUGUACUACUAGAUGAACCAUGAUAUCAAAGAAUGAAGGGGGAAAGUACUUCUCAAGCAAACACAGAGUAACUACUACAUCUUCUUCCAACUUAUCUAGCUUGGAAACAUCAACAGUCUUUGCACAUAUAGCAUUGAAGAAGAAGCACAAACGAGUUAUUGCAUACCUUGCAGGCUUCUCCAAAACAGAACGAAUUGCCACAGGGAGCAAUUGUUGCAUUAAGGUAUGACAAUCAUGUGAUUUAAGGCCAAGAAGUCUUGAAUCUUGUAAAGAUACAAGAUUUUUAAUAUUUGAAGAAUAACCUUCAGGGACCUUCAUACCAUAGAAAGAAUUGCAAACCUCUCUCUUCUCUACUCUUGACAAAUUCCAAGGCCCAGGAGGCAAACGAGUACGUCUUUCUCCAUACUCGGGUUGCAAAUCAGUUUUGACCCCCAUGUUCAAUAAAUCUAAUCGAGCAGCAAUCCCAUCUUUAUUUUUUCCAGGGAUCUCCAGCAAUGUACCAAUGAUACUAUCACAAACAUUCUUCUCAAUGUGCAUAACAUCUAGGGCAUGCCUUACAGGAAGGUAUUUCCAAUACUCGAGAUCAAAGAAUAUUGAUUUCUUCUUCCAACAAACUCUGUCACCAUUUUCAACCAUAUGCAGCACUUCUUCUCCGGUUAAUGGCUCGGGAGGUAUGCCAUAUUCAGGUUUCCCAUUAAAAGCUGCACGUUGCCUCCUAUAUGGAUGAUUGAUUGGUAACCAUUUUCUAUGCCCAAUGUAACAAAUUUUGUGGCCAUUUUUCAACCUGUGACUAGGUGUAUCAUCGCCGCAUAUUGGACAAGCUUUAUAUCCUUUAACAACACAACCAGAUAAGUUUCCAUAGGCGGGGAAAUCAUUAAUUGUCCACAUUAAUGCAGCUCUGAGUGUAAAGUAUUCUCCAUUAUGUGCAUCAUACACUCCUCUAAUCCCAUCCCACAAAGAUUUUAAAUCAUCAAUCAAAGGCUCCAAGUAGACGUCUAUAUCAUUUCCGGGUUGUUUAGGACCGAAAAUCAAUAAGGUUAACAUCAUGAACUUUCGUUUCAUGCACAGCCAUGGAGGGAGAUUAUAUGUAACUAAGAUAACCGGCCAACAACUAUAUCUGCUACUUAGAGAACUGUGGGGAUUGAAUCCAUCAGAUGAAAGAGCCAAUCUCAAGUUUCUCGGCUCAUUACCAAACUCAGGCCAUUUAUCAUCAAGAAGUUUCCAAGACGGGGAAUCCGCCGGAUGAGACAUCUGACCGUCAAUUGAUUUUCUAGGAGCAUGCCAAGUCAAACUCUUAGCUGUCUCAUGUGAUUGAAACAUCCUUUUAAACCUUGGAAUUGGAGGAAAAUACCACACCACCUUCGCUGGCACACCCUCUUUCAAGAUUGAAUCUUUGCCUUCCUUCCACCUUGAGAUACCACAAGUAGGACAAUUAGUUGAAUCCUCAUACUCCUUCCUAUACAAGAUGCAAUCAUUGGGGCAUGCGUGCAUUUUCUCAUAACUCAGCCCCAAUGCACACAAAGUCUUUUUAGCCUCAUACAUAGAGGUUGGUAUUGUAUUUCCUUAUGGAAGCAAAUCGCCUUGAAGUAUCAAUAAUUCUGUAAAACAGACAUCACUCAUCCCAUGUUUUGCCUUCAAAUUAUACAACUUCACUAAUGCCGAUAACUUCGUGUACUUUCUACAACCAGGGUACACUGGUUGAUCUCCAUCCCCAAUCACAUUGGCAAACUCAUACGGAUCGGAACCAAAAUCAUUAUCAUCCAUAUCAAUUUCUUCAGACACAAAACUGUACCUACUAUGGCCAUCAUCUUCUUCAACAUUUCUACUAGCAUUAGUAGUUGCUUCCCAAGGUUCUCCGUGAAAUGUCCAAUUCUUAUAGCUUUGGUCAAUUCCAUUAAAGUAUAAGUGAUCCCUUAUAAUUCCAACCCCAAACAACUUCAAAUUAACACAUUUAACACAUGGACAACGGAUAUGUGUUGUAGUUAGAAGAUUUUCUACAGCAAAGUUCAAAAAUGCUUCCACCCCAAACUCAUAUGCCUUCGAUCUUCUAUCCGAGUGCAUCAUUGACUUAUCCAUCUCCGACACUAUAACCUAUUAUCUAUAAUAAAGUGAAAAUACAGGCAAUGACCAUCACUAUAGCAGAUUAUACAAAGAUCUAAUAGCAAGUAAUACACAACAAAGACGACGGGUUUUAAACAAAAACAGACGUAUUUGGCAUAUAUAGACGACGGAUUUUCAACAGACGUCGUCUAAUAUAAGUAAUACAAACGACGGUUUAUGAAAAAACCGUCGUGUAUAAGUAAUACAACGACGGUUUUUUCAUAAACCGUCGUGUAAUCGUCGGCGUAUGCCUAAAAAGGCGUCGUGUCUCAGUUUAUUUUCAAGAACCCAAAACCCAUUAAGAACACAACAUAUAUAUGAAACCAAGCAAGAAAACAACAUAUACAUGAAACCAAGCAUGAAAACAAUAAAUCCAUUCCCAAUUCAACAUAACAUAGGGUGAUUAAAAGAUCCGACAAAAUUAAAUCCAUUCCCAAUUCAACAUAACAGAUAAUGUAAUCCAUGAACCCAUUAAACAGAAAAUCCAUGAACCCAUACUUAUAAGCACAUUAUUAACAGAUCGCAAAGCAUAUACCUAAAACCCUUUAACAAAACAACCUAAUAUCAUUCAAUGAAUUUACAAGGGGAAGAUAGGGUUUGUACUUACAGGUUGGACGAGCUCACAGAUUCGACGGAGCAGAAGUGAGAGAGCAACUUUUAAUUAGAGCAGAAGUGAGAGAGCGAAAUGUUAUGUUGCGCGAAAUCUGAAAAUUUUAGGGUUCAGGGUUAGAAGAAUAAGAAUAAGAGCCAAAUAUAAAAAAAUUUAGGACGCGUGAAAAUUUUUAGAGCGCGCGCUCUUUAAAACUUCGAAAGAAAAACCAUGGCGAAAGUUCUACAAGAACCGACAUAAAUGUAAUAUUCCACGACGGAAACACUGAACGUAACGCCGUUUAUUUUGACGCUUCAUUUUUCGGAUUAAUUUUAAAUUUAUUUUCAAUAUUUUGAUAUAAAGACGACUGAAAAACCACGUCGGGGUUAAGAAAUUGAAAACGUUGUAAAUUAUAAUAGACGACUUACAUAUUAAAAUGACGUCGUUUAAAGUAGAAACUAUGUCGGAUAAUUUACUGCACGACGUAACAUAUGUAUUCCACGACUCAACCACCGUCGUUAACAAUUAAUACCCUAAACCCUUAAAACUAAAUUAUAUAAUUUUAAAAAUUAACUUUAUAAAAGGGUUUAUGGUUUUACAGCCUAAUAUAUACCCUAGACUACCCAAAAAUUAUACUUUAAAAAUAAACCCCAAUAAAUAACAACCCUAAUCUCUAAACCCUAGACUCUAAACCCUAAACCAUAAAACUAGAAGUGAUUUUAUGACUCAUCAAAACAAUUUUGUUUUGGAUGUUCAUUUUAAAUUUUUGUAAUUCAAAAUGAAUUUUUUCAAGGUUUAGGGGGAAGAAAAUAUAUCAAUGACUUCAUAGGAGUUGACUUUGCAUUUUUCUGAUUUAUUUUAAAUUUAUUUUGAAUAUUUUGAUAUAAAAAUAAUAAAAUAUUCUUAUCACAACAACAAACCACGUCGGUGUUGAUAAAUUGUAGACGUUGUAAAUUGUAAUAGACGACUAAGUUGUUAAAAUGACGUCGUUUAAAUGAGAAACGAUGGCGGAUAUUUAACUAUCCGACGUAAAAUAUAUAUUCCUCGACUUAACCACUGUCGUUACAAAGUACUACCCUGAACCCUUAAGAAAUUGAAGACGUUGUAAACCAUAAACGACUCCAUUGUUCAAAGAACGUCGUCUAAAUAUCCUUUUACGCCGGAUUUGUUUAAAACGAAACCACAAAAAACGACGGCUUUUGACUUUAUUACGUCGUUGGAAAAUUAUUACACGUCGGUUACGCAUUUUGUAUGUUUGUUUUUGUUUUUACUUUAAGAAAACCUCAACAAAUUUUUACAUUAUAUAUUAUAGACAAAAUUUGUACAUUAUACAUAAAUAUCAAGUGUUCAAUAAUUCCCCUAUUCCAGUUGAAUGCAAACAAACUCUGCCCAUUCAUUCCGGACUUCAUCAAUUGCUUCUUGGGGGUAUGGCUCUUCCUGUUUUCCCUUCGCAUACUGCAUAAAAACAAUGACUAUUAGGGUUUAUAAAUAAAAGGAAAUUCAAUCACAGACGACCAUAACCGACGUAGUAUAUCUAUUCAACGACGGUAAUUUUACAUGACCGUCGUUGAUAAUACAAAAAACGACGUAAAAUGUUUGAAGGUUAUUUCUUCUUACCUUCUUCUCAAACCCCAAGGAAGGAUCCAUGAUGAUGUCCUUCAUGAAGCGCAUCACGUAAUACCCGCAUUCGACAUUGCUGGGUUGCUUUGGUGUGCCUGACAGGGUUUUCCAAAUGACUGCCUUACGGCCUGAUCUGGCUAUGUGGGAAUUAUAAAUUUUUAUGGCACUGUUCACGAUGUCUUUGGCCUCUUCAUCGACCACACGAUUUCCUGGCAGAGGAUCCAGAAAAUAGACUGUUUCCCUCUUUGCUCUUACAAUCAGCAAGAUCCAAUGACGGCUGCACAAAAUUAAUAUAAAAACGACGGUUAUUUACAAAAACGACGUAUUAUAAUAUUUCACACGACGAAAUAAAGUAGCAAUCGACGACAUUAUAUAUUUAUAACGACGAUAAAUAACUACCGACGUGGUUAGUCGUUUCAAACGACUCAAUAAAAUAAAACACCGACGUGGUUAGUUUAUACGCUGUCAUUUAUUGAAAAUCAUAAAAACAAAAUCCUGUUAAGGAGACUAACCCUGGAUUGUAAGGCAUGAGGAAAAUCUGUUCACCGUCAGUCUUCUGAAGUCGUGAUGCUACAAGCCGUGAUCUGUCAGCUAUUGUGCCAGAGCUGGCACUAACUGUAGCAGGGUCGAUAAAGCCAACCAUUGUGCACAUAUUUGCUUGUUUUAAAACAUCGUGUAAGUACCUAAAUAUAUAAAAUAAUAUAAACAAGUCAGCGCAAAAAAAACACACGACGGUUAUGUAUAACAAAACGACGUAUUAUAAGGUUUCACACGACGUACUGAAAUAGACAACGACGUUAUAAUAAAUUUAUCACGACGGUACAUACUAACGACGUGGUUAGUUAGUUAAGACGACGCAAUAAAUAAACCAACGACGUAUUAUUUUAGAAUGACAAACCUCAUAUAUACAGCAAUGACUGUAGCUCCUAUUUCCUCCAUGCCUGCAAAUUGUGUAAUAUCUUCAGGCAGGAGGAAGGUAUCGCGCUCUAGACCAAACACCUCCUUAUCAAUUGUAAAGUGCAGGGUCUUAUCUUGAGUUACGAGUGUCGUUUCCACAUAACGACAAAGGGUUUGUAAAGAAGAUGGCGCCUCCAUAUUUGAAUAAUCAACAACUUUAGUAACCUGUUUAAAGAAAUAAAAAAAUGACGUGGUAAUUCAAUAAAAACGACGGUUUAAGGAAUAAAAUGUCGUUUGAAAACAAUUUAAACGACGGUGAAAAAACCGUCGUGGUGAAUUAUUUAUUACGUCUUAGAAAACAAUUCCGCCGUCUAAGUUGUAAACAAACGACGGUUUAAAGAAAAAUAUCGACGUCUGGAAUUUUGAAAACAAAUAAAAAAGGUAAAGUUAUGUGAACAUACCUGGUCGUCAUCUUCUUUCUCCUUUUCAUCUUGUUUUUCUUCCUUAUUCUCUUCAUAUAUGACGUCGGGAAUGAUUAACUCCGUCAUCUAAAAACCACAAAGUUUUAAAAAUAACGACGUUUAAUGGCGUGUAAAACAAGUAAACUAAAUACGACGUGGUAUUGAAAUACAAACGACGGUUUAUUUUUAAAAUCGUCGUGGUAUGUAUUUCAAACGACGGUUUUAUUAAAAAUAACGACGUCUAAUGGUUUUUAAAAAAACAGAGAAUUCAAAGUUCAGAUAUGUUACCUUUUCUUCCUGAUGUUUCCCAUUUUUGGCAGUAUCAUCCUCAAAAUGCUGGGAUCUCACAUCACCUCCAGAGCAGCUUGCUUUGUCAGACAUUGGAUUUUUGGGACUUUGGCUAAUUCUGGGUUUAAGCAUGCUUGGAUCAAAAUUGGGAAUUAAUUGGGAAAGCUGACUCAGGAAAUGCUCCCUCUCAGCCUCUACCAAUUGUUUCGUUCUAGCCUCCAUUCUUAAAGCCUCUUCCCUUGCCUUAGCCUCCAUCUUUUUAGUCUCUUCUUGAAGGAGAACUCUUAAACUGUCCUUCAAACGGUCGUCAAAGCUCACUCUCUGUGGUUUGGGUAAAUUGAAAUAUUGCUUUGGUGAGAUCCCAGCACCUACUCCUCUGACUCUGCCUGGAUGCUCGGGGCCCAAAGCCAUGGUCAGCACAUCAUUGCUGCCAGAGACGGUGACUUUGCCUUCCGAGACUUGUUUUUGCAAAUCAUCCUAAAACAAAGAUAUAUAAAAAAGUAAGAACAAAAACACACGACGGUUAUUUAUAUACAAACGACGUAUUAUAUAAUUUCACACGACUCAAUAACAUAUAAAUCGACGUUAUUAUAAUUUAUCACGACGGUAGUUAUACCGACGUGGUUAGUUCUUUAAAACGACGAAAUUAAUAAACCACCAACGUCUUAUGUAACAGAGGGAUGAUUCAAUAUUCACACCUUUAACGACGUUGUUUAAAACAUUUCGACGUAGUAAUUUAAUACAGACGACGCGAAAUUGAACCACCGACAUCUUAUGCUAUAAUUACAGAAAACAGAGUUCUGAUUCCUAUUUAGACCUUUAACGACGUGUUUUAAAAAAUGUCGACGUGGUAAUAUCAUUCACACGACGCAAAAUAUAACAUAAGACGUAAUAAGAAUUAUUCACAGUUUAAUAAAAAUUUAAAACAGAGUGAGUAGGCUUACAAUUAAUUUUGCUUUCUCUGCCACCUUUGGAUCAGGGAUGUUACCAUGUUUGUCAUGUCUAGCUCUCUUCCAUAAGGUAGAUCGAUCAAUUUCUACCCCAGGCAUGGUUUCCUCUAAUUGAUCCUCCAAACCGGCAUAUCCUUUUCGAGACAAUCGAUGAUUGUACUCGAGUUUCUCCCUAAUCUGUGCAUGUUGAGAAUGCACAGACUCAAAAUCUUUGGAUAGCCUUGAAGCUACAAAGGCAUCCCAUUGUGCUUUCUCUAUGAAUUUAUAUGUUUCAGGGGGUUGGCUUAAUCUCUCCCUGUCAUUGGUGUAUGGAAGGAUAUAAUGCCUCGUUAGUGUAGACUUGAAAUCCUUCCAUUUCUUGGCAGCAGAAGCUAAGACAGAGUUCUUGCCCCCUUGACCUACUACAAAAGCAAUGUCAACUGCUUCCCAAAUCUGCUCCUUUAUAUCCUUGGGGAUUUGAGCCCAUUUCAAGUCCACAAGUGGAACUCUGGAGCGUGCCAACACACCAAUAUAGGACUGCAUCUCACUAUGAGCUUGGCCAAUUCCUUUCCCCCUUUUAUUGUACUCAACAAUUGGCCUCAGUUUCUGCAGUUUUCUCUUCACAACACGAGGCAUUGUGCUCAUACCUCGACCAGCCUUUGAAUCAUCAGAUAUUGUUGUCCCGCUGGUUGGUUCUGUAUCAGCAGAUGAUGAAGCAAACUUCAUCUUCUUCGAAGACUUCAUUAUCUUCGAAGACUUCUCUUGAGGAGGUACUUGCUCCUCACCUCCAUUUUUCUUGGAGCCAGAAUCCUUACUUUAGUCUUGUUGAGAAACCAUUUUUACAGACAAAACUGCAAGUGAAAAUAUUUCAAGAAAAGAUUAAGAACACAAACGACGGUUAUUAAUAAAAUACGACGUAUGAUAUGAUUUUAAACGACGCAAUGAAAUAAUAUCAGACGUAAUAAAUUUUUAAAACGAAGGUAAUUAAACAACGACGAAAUAAUUGACUACAAACGACGAGAUAAUUAACUAUAAACGACGGAAUAUUUAUAUAACGUCGUGGUAUUGAUGUUCACACGACGUCAGUAGUAAUAUACCGUCGUCUAUAUAAGGAUCCAAAACCCUUCUUUCUUUCUCUGUGAAUGUUUGAUUGCAGAUUUGAUUUUUCUGAACCAUGGUUUUUGUUUUCUAAUUUGAUAAAAUACAAGGCCAAGAAAGAAAGUUUUGGAAUCUUAUAUAGACGACGGUAUUUUAAUAUGACGUCGUGGUAUUAACAUUCACACGACGUAAAACAAUAAGAUACUGUCGUCUAUAUUAGAUACCAACCCUAAUUUCUUUUUCUUUAUAUUUUAUCAAAUUAGGGAAAAACAAAAACCAUUGUUCAGAAAAAUCAAACCUGCAAUUAAACAAGCAAAUAAAAAAAAGACUAAAAUUUUAAAAACAACUUUGUCAAUUUUCAGACGACGCUAGAACGACUGACGAACCGUCGUGGUCUACAUAUUUAACCACGUAAAUAAGAAGCUACCGUCGUCUUAUUUAGUUAAGGUAGUUGUCUUCAAAGUUGGAAACUUUCCCUCUUUGUCUGUAUAUUUUAUCGAACUUGGAAAGAAGUAAAAUGAUUUUGGCCAGAAAAAAGGUAAAAAGAUUUUUCAAACAAAAAACGUAUGAGCAUGCAAAACAGCAACCAAAAUAGUGAAAAUGAAAGCUUACCUUUUGUGUGCAAUGAAAGCAAGAGGAAGACGAUCGAUGUUUAAAUUCAGAGACGACGAAGAAGACGAGAGGAAGACGAUGAGAUACUCUGAAAGUGCUCUGACAAGGAAAAAAGUCUAAAAGUUUUCUCUGGGAGAUUGAAAUUUUUAAUCGGGUUUGGAAAAAGUGCAUGUGUAAGUCAGGUAGACGAAAAGUUGCUUAUAUAUAAAACCAUUUCAAAAAAAUAAUACGGCGGUUACAUAUAACUACGACGUAUAAAUUACAAAAUACGACAGUACGUUUAACUUCGGACGUGGUAAAUAAUUACGACAGUAGUGUUAUAGGUACCGUCGUAGUAAACUCAAAAUUAAAGUACAUAAGUAAUAACUCGCGUCAUGGUAGAUCAUUUAACACGUCGGUUUUAUUAAUGUACCGACGUGGAUUUAUGUAAUAUACGUCGGUAAUACCGACGUUGAUUUUACAAUUUAAACGGCGGUUUUUUUGUAAGGACCGCCGUUGGUUUUAAAAAUUUAUUCUAUAAAUUUGUUGCUUUCAUUCAUUUUCGGUUUACAUUUAGGGUUCCAAGUUCUUCCUCUCUCAGAGACACUAUCUCUCACAUCUCAAAGACAGUAAUUUGGAUGUCUUUCUCAAAGAGAAAUUGAGCUUACUCGCAUCAAAUCUAUGUCCACAAGAAGAAGCUUGUCAACUAGCCUUCUCACUUCCUUGAUCAAGCCUGAUAGGACACUUAGUGCUUCUGAAUACUCCUUGCUUUCCAUCAAAAGAGAUGCAAGCCUGGCCUCCACUCGCUGUCGAAGGAAAGUUCGCUUCUCAGGGAAAUCUGAAGAUCAGAUGUGCCUGAUCCUCUGCUUGAUUUUCUUGGCUAAGAAGAUCCGUCAGAUUUGUGAUAGCCUCUUCCUUUAUCCGUAGAGCUUCAGAAGAAGAAGAUGGGUUUCAAGAAUGCGAUAAAGAAUAGAAAUGGCUUCAGAUGGCCUCUAAAGCAUGAGCAAUCGAAUCAGUGCUUUGAACUAUACUUUGAACUAUACAAGUCAAUGCUUUGAACUAUACAAGUCCUGCAGAAAGAUAAAGGACCAAACUAUUAAAGAAACCCCAAACUAACACGACGCAAUAUUUGUUUUGCGACGUGGAAUCUUUUCAUUUAACGUCGUUAGGUUUAAUAUAACCGACGUGGAUUUGAAUUUUUAAAUUAUGAAUAGCAUUUUUUUUCCCGUGACCUUUCAGUUUAUUUUUCAAUUACAGUGCGUUAUAAAUAGAGUUUUUUUUCCGGAGGAAAUUUAAAAUGAAGGAAAUUAAUGUUCUGGAAUAUGUAAAAUUUCUUUUUUGGAUGACAGAUUUAAAUAAAAUAAGAAUAUAAAAACAACGACUGUUUUUGUAUUACUGUCGUCGUUUUUCGUCGUCUUAAGUAAGACUAAGACAACGUAAUAUAUUUGUUGAGCGACGUUGAUUUGUGUUUUAAACGUCCUUAGGUAUAAUAUAACCGUCGUUGAAAAUUGUCUCUCUGAUUGCAAAUUUGCAACGACGUUAGGUAUAAUAUUUGUAGAUACACAAACGCACACACAUCAUCAACUUCCAAAAAAUUGUCUCUCUGAUUGCAAAUCUGUGUCAUCUGUUAAGAUUAUGAUGUGGAACAAAGUUCCAUUUGGUAAGAUUUCGUAACCCUUGGGAUCUCAGAAAAAUCUGAUUAUGUCGGCGAUUUUCUAUAUAAACCGUCGUGGUUAUUUCAAUUCUUGUCAUUAAGUAGAUCUACCGACGUAGGAUAAGAAAAUCAAAGAAAAAAAUUGUUAACAAAAAUUCUUAUUAAGACGACGGUUUAAAUUAAAGGUAAGACGUAUAAAAUGAAUAAAUACGACGUUAAAUUUUAUAGUACGAUUUAAAGAUAACGUCGUAGAACUAUACCAGAAUGACGUCGAUAUAUUUAUAUUUUUCGUCGUUGUACAUUAAUUUAAUACGGCGAUAUUUUGUAUUUUAAAGUCGUGGAUUUGUUUGUAAUUAUACAGCGUCUUAUACGAAAACCUCGUCGUGUUAUUUUAUGAGUAAAAACGGCGGCUUUUAUUGAAAUCGUCGUCUUUACUUUCUACGUCGGUUGAUUCAUAACUUCUGUCGUUCUUUGUUGGCUUUGAUUUUACACUGCGGAAAUCUGUUUCAAAUAGACGUCGGUUGUUUAAUUAAGUACGUCGUUGUUUUUGAACAGCCAUUUGAAUCUCCAUUUUUUAGUUGUCUAAGGUGGUAUUACACGACGGUGUUUUUAGAACCGUCGUCUUUUUAAAAACCACGACGGUUUUCACUGAGACCGUCGUUGUUUUCUGGUCGUCUUUUUCACUUUUUGUAGUAGUGAAUGGAAUAGAAUGAUGGAAGUUAUUUUUUUUUUUUCCUACGUCUAAAGUAUACUUUAUAUAUAUAUAUAUAUAUUUAUAUUUAUUAUGGAAGUUAUAACCGUUUAAUUUUCAGUUUUUAUUUUCUAUUUAUUGUUUUAAUUUUUAUAGUUUAAUGUGUAUGGAGAUUUCAAGUAUUGGAUGUUUAUAAAGGGUCACUCCUCCUUCACAUCUGAAACAAACCACCAUCUCAUUUCUGUAUUUUCAUACUUUCAUAUAUUUUCUACUUUCCAGAUUAUUAUUUUUGGGCAACGGUUCUGUGACUUGGAGAUUUCUAUCCGAUUAUUAACAUGCUCAUAGCGGACCUUGAGCUUGCGUAUUGAGGAUAGUAUCUUGGAGCCUUGUAGACCUUUAUUACCUGCAUGUAGGGAGGCUAUAAAUGCUUUAAGUCAGCGUCUUUGACGUGCUUUUGCUUUCUUUUUUUUACUUAUUUCUUCGUUACUUUAUUUUUACUUUACUUUUAAAUCUUUAUUUUAUGUAUUAUUUAUAUUUAAAAAUUUUGAAUAAGAGUUUUACAGAAAAGGAAAAACACAAUUUCAAAUAACACAAAUUUCUCGUUUUUUGUUCUUAAAAAAGAAGAAGCAUUGAUUGGGGAGUUAUGGUAAACUCAGUUUCAAUGGUUGCGAUGAGAGGCGGUGGCGGCGAGGAGAGGACGAAGGCUUUGCUGCCGACGGGGUGGUGUGGGUGGGUGGAGACCUCGGCUGGCUGCUUGGUCCUGGGUUCUCCUUUAAUUCUCUGUUUUCUUUUUUCAUAUUUUUCUUUUUCUCUUAGAGUUAUUGAUGUUAAGUGAAUGGACAGAUGCCAAGAGAAGAUGUGAACCCAAUUAUAUACAGCUGAUUACAUAAAGUAACAAAUUAAUUAAUACUUGAGUGGAGGACAGGCUCGAGUGGAAGAAUUGAUUAAGGCUUGAGUGGAAGACAAACUUCAGUGGAGGAAAGUACAGAUAAGGAAAGCAUGCCACGUUUAACGGCUUUAUCUCAACAAAUUAGGAAUGCUGGUUUUGUUUCCUCGGUGGUUGAAAGGUGGUGCCUUGGCUCGGACAUCUCCCUAGUAAUUAAUCGAAGGUGGAAUCUUACAAGACAUUCAGCUGCUCAUUAGCUGAAUAUCUCGCUCUCUUUAAAGAGAUCGAAGCAAACUGCAAUUUGCAAUUUGUGUGAUUCAAGCAUGAAUAUCUGACAUAGUAACUAUACCAUUUGUUGGUUUGAUGAGAAAAGUUUGGUUAGCGAGGAUGAAACCAUAAAGUUCCCCAAAACACACAAAGAGCACGGACAAUUGCUAAGUUUAUCUUUGAGUUCACGCAUAUUUGCACAAAUGAGAUUACUCCAAGUAUGACUAUACCAUUUGUUGGUUUGAUGUGAAAAAUAUGGGCAACGAGGGUAAAACUAUACAAACACACACAAAGAAAGUGGACAAUUACUAAGUUUAUCUUUGCGUUAUUCAUCCGACCUAACUGUAAAAUAAAAAAGAUGAAAAUAUAUAAUGUUCACUACUUAGAUCUAUGAGCACUAAAGUCCUCCUUUUGGAAUUGCACAAAACGUCACUUUUGGUCUUUGACAAAUUUUUAAAAUAAAUGAAUUUUUUACUUAUUUGUGGACUGAAAUGCCUCAAAAAAAAUAAUGAUAAUUUGAAGAAUUUGAUAGAAAUUAAAAAAUAUCCUCAAAUUACUUGGAAUUGAAGACCACAUAGGCAAAAACACCACUUUGGACAAAGGCUGGUGAUAAUAGUCGAUAUCAUCUUUUGUCGGUCCGACCUAAAAAGAAGAAAAAGUUGAAAGCAUCUUGUUACCAUUUUUGCCAAUGUGGGUCCAGACAAUUUGAAGAAGUCCACCGACAAUUUCUCAAAAGCUAUUGUGUGAGUGUUUUGAAGCUAAACCAAUAUUAUUUUGCACAUACGACCCCACAUCCCCAUGUGAGGCUACAGAAGUGUUUCCAAAACGAAACAUGAUAUUUCAAAACAAAGCUAUGUAUAGAAUAGAGUCAUUUGUAUUUGCUUUCACAAUAACAUUUUAUUUGUGAAAGCAUUUUAUAUUUUUACAUUAUGAUGUUCUAACAAAUAAAUUGACUAUAUUUGGCCAACAGGGUUUAACCGAGUAAAAAAGUCCUUAUUUAUAAACUACUGGUUUCAUAUUUGAACUCUAUGACAUUCUCUUUACCCUUAAAGUUUAGACUAUCGCAUGUAUUAUAAAUAAAAAAAAACAAUUGGCUUAAUUUGAUAUAUUUCAUUUUAUGCUGGGUGCCGUUAUUAAGUUUUAUCCUUGUUUCUUGUUGAAAAAAAAUUGAUAAAAAAUAAGAAUUCCUAUAGCUAGCAACUUCUCCACCUUCCCUUCUUCGCAACUAGGGAUGCCAUUGCAAGGUCACCAUCUCAGAUUAAGUCCUCCUUUUAAAAUUGUGUUGUUAUUCAAAAUUGGAAUAUGCUGGUCAUUCUUGAUAUAAUCUGUUCCACAAAAAGAAAAAGAAAAAAGUUGAUAGCAUCUUUUACCACUUUGGCCACUUUUGAAGAUAUUCACCGACAAUUUCUCAAAAGCUAUUAAGCUGUACGUCCACAAUAUUAUUGCAUCCAACUUUGCAUAUACGACCCCAUCCCCAUGUGAGGCUACAAUAUUGUUAAAAAAAUAUGCUAACAUUGUCAUUCAGUAUGCUAACAUUGUCACUAUGUUUGCGAAUUGCAUAUUAUCUAGAACAUAAAGGCUUUGGUGUUUUGUAGAUCCUCAGGGAGCCAAACCCGUCUUUAUAAAAAUGGUCCUUAUGAUACUACUUUAACAACAAUAAAGUAUAAUAAACUAGGCCUUUGUAGUCACUGAACGAAUGUUUUGUCAUAUAUAUGACUAUUUAAAUGUAAUUACGGGAUUAAAACAUUAUAAUAAAUUGGAGUGAACCAUAACAUUAUAUAUGAUCCAAUCCUUUGCAUAUAUUUUUGUUCAAGACUUUGUUUUAGAAUGCUCUAUUACUAAUUUGGUACAGGUCUCUAAAAUCUAUGCCUUUAUGAGGCAACGUCUUUAUUUCUUUGGUUAUUCCAGUUUAGAAUAUUUGCACAAAUGAGAUGACUCCCAGCAUAAAGUCACAUUCAACCAAAAAGCAUGAAGUCACACACAAAAAGAAUACGGACAAUUGCUAAGUUUAUCUUGUAUCCUUAUUUUAUUGAUCCAACCCAAUUGAAAAAUUAAAAAGAUGAUAUAAUAUACUGUUCACUGCUUACAUCCAUGAGUAAAGUCCUCCAUUUGAAAUUGCGUGAUGAUAUAAAAUUGGAAUGAAAAAAGAAAAUCCUACAGCUAAAUUUGAUAUAUUUCCUUUUCAUUUUAUGCUGGGUGUUAAGUUUUCUUAUUUCUUGUUGAAAAGAAAAAUGAAAAGAAAUAAAUAAAUUCCACAGCUAGCCACUUAUCCACCUUCCCUUCUUCCCAUGUAGUGACAACAAGGGAGGCCUUCAAUCCAAAAUAAAGACAAGGGAUGCCAGAUCAGCAUCUCAGAUAAGUAUCCCAACCAAAACCAAUCAAAUAAUGACAUAUGUAUCUCUUUUUGUGUUUUGUUCUAUUUCUCUUUGAAUUAACUGCAUAGUUUCAUAAGCGUGUCCUCCUUUUGAAAUUGUGUAUUAUUCAAAAUUGGAAUUUGCUGAUCAUACUUGAUAUCAGCUAAAAAAGUUUCCAACAUCUUGUACCAUUUUUUUCCAGUGUGGGUCAUAACUUGAAGAAGCCCACCGACAAUUUCUCAAAAGCUAUUACCAUCCAACUUUGAAAAAUAAAAGUUUUCAAAAGUUACCCCAAACAACAGUCCUUGAAAGAGAGAGUUUUCCAAGGCUAAAGAUUACAAGGAUGUUAUUUACAGUCUCGACAACGACAAGCUUCAUAUUUGUUUACAAACCUGUAUUUUCAAGUUGUGCUAGCCUAGCUACUUGCAAAAAAUAUCCAGUUGGCACAUGCAUUAACGUGUGACAAGAAGUUAGUUAUAUUUGUAAAGUAAAAGAACGAAGUACAUAGCAUGUAAGUUGAUGCUAAAUAUUUGAUCAACAGAGUUAAACAUAAAACCACUGACAAUAUAACGUUGUUCACCAAAAAUUGCAUUUCGUUGAGGGUCAGUAGUGUAGGUUUCAAGAUACGAUUUAUUUUGUUAAAGAAUAUUCUGAUAUUCUAACAAUAAAAUUGGCUCAAUUUGAUAUGUUUCUCUCUCUUUUUUUGUUUCUGUUUUCCCUUUCAUUUGAUGCUUUGUUGUGCUAUUGCUAAGUUUAUCUUAGAGACCAGGGAUGCUUAGCAAGUUUCUUCACCUGCCCUUCUUCCCAUGUACUAACUAGGGAUACCAUGUCAGAAUCUUAGAUAAGAAUCCCAUGCUUUGUUGUGCUAUUGCUAAGUUUAUCUUAGAGACCAGGGAUGCUUAGCAAGUUUCUUCACCUGCCCUUCUUCCCAUGUACUAACUAGGGAUACCAUGUCAGAAUCUUAGAUAAGAAUCCCAACCCAAUCAAACUAUGACAUCUGUAAGUAUUCAAAAUUGGAAUUUGCAUUGUGAUAGUUGAGUGGAAGAAUCGAUUAAGGCUUGAGUGGAAGACAAACUUCAGUGGAGGAAAGUAAUUAAUUAGACCAUUAUUUGUUGGUUUGAUGAGAAAAGUUUGCUGGUGAUAGUCCAUAAUCUUUGUCCGACCAGAAAAUAAGAAAAGUUGUCUUGUACCAUUUCUGCCAGUGUGGGUCCCACCCACCCCAUGCGAGUAAUUUGAAGAAGUCCACCGACAAUUUCCCAAAAGCUUUGGCGUCCAACUUUGCCGACCCCAUCCCCAUGUGAGGCCAUAGAAAAGUUUUCAGCCACAAUCAAAUAAGGAACAGUCCUUGAAAAGAGAGGGUUUUCCAAGGCCAAGAUUACAAGUUCAUGUUAUUUACAGUCUCAAAAAGCUUCCAUACUUGUUUACAAACCUGUAUUUUCAAGUUGUGCUAGCCUAGCUAUUUGCAAAUCUUGGAAUAUUUUACUUCAUCCAAAUCCCUUGAAGUCUGCAGAGAAGAUAAAAGACAUGGCUUUGAUUGGAGAGGCUCUUAUCUCUGCUUCCGUCCAGGUGUUGUGCGACAGAAUUACUUCACCCGAGUUCGUUGACUUAUUUCGGCACAAGAAACUCGAUGAGCCACUCCUCAGGAAGCUGAGGACGACACUGUUGGCCUUGAACUUGGUGCUCAAUGAUGCAGAGGAGAAGCAACUUGUGAACCGAGAUGUGAAAAAGUGGCUUGACGAGCUCAAACAUGCUGUCUUUGAUGCGGAGGACUUACUGGAUGAGAUUGACACUGAAGCUUUGAGAUGCAAGCUGGAAGAAGGUGAAGAUCAAACUCACAAAUUUACCAAUAAGGUGCGGAACUUGCUCUUUUCUUCUCGUAGUCAUUUUUAUCAGAGCAUGAAUGAUAAGAUAAAAGAGUUACUAGCAAGGUUAGAAAACUUUGUACAACUGAAAAGUGCUCUUGGUCUGGGAGAAGUUGCUGGGAGGAAGGUUUCGCAAAGAACUCAAACAACCUCCUUGGUUCUUGAACCUUAUGUAUAUGGUAGAGAUGAAGUCAAAGAAAAGUUAUCAAAAGUUUUGCUAUCUGAUGAAGCAGGCAAGGAUCCUGUGUCUUUCCUCACCAUUGUUGGAAUGGGUGGGGUUGGCAAGACAACCCUUGCUCGAAUGCUUUACAAUGACGAUAAGGUGAAAGGGCAUUUUAAACUUAAAGCUUGGGCUUGUGUUUCAGACUACGAUGAUUAUAUUAAAAUUACUAAAACUCUCCUUGAGGCAGUCACUUCAAAGCCUUGUAACACGGCAAAUCUGAAUUUGCUUCAAGAAGAUCUAAGAGAGCAAUUGAAGGGAAGGAAAUUUUUAUUUGUGUUGGAUGACCUAUGGAAUGAGAAUAAUGAGGAUUUGAACUACCUUAGAGCUCUUUUUAUUACUUUAGGAACAAUGGGAAGUAAAGUCAUUGUAACAACACGGAGCAAAAAUGCAGCAUCUGUCAUGCAAAAUGUUCAUAUUCAAUACUUAGAACCAUUGUCGCAGGAGGACUGCUGGUUAUUACUUGCAAAACAUGCAUUUGGAAAUGUAAAGUGUAGUGCACAUUCAAACUUGGAAGAUAUUGGAAACCAAAUUGCACGCAAGUGCAAAGGGUUGCCUUUAGCUGCACAAACACUUGGGAGUUUGUUACGUUGCAAUAUGAAUUUCGAGUACUGGAAUAGAAUACUAAAUGAUAGUUUUUGGGACCACCCCUAUGAUAAAACUAACAUUCUUCCGGCUCUAGGGUUGAGUUACCAUUAUCUUCCUACUCAGUUGAAACGAUGCUUUGCUUAUUGUUCAAUUUUUCCAAAGGAUUAUGAGUUUGAAAAGGAAGAUAUAGUUCAAUUAUGGAUUGCAGAAGGUAUAAUUCCACAAGCUGAGAAUGGAAAUAGGAUGGAAGCAUUGGCUAGAAUAUACUUUGAUGAGCUGUUAUCACGAUCGUUGUUUCAAAAGUCAAGUAAAUUCAGCUUCAUUAUGCAUGAUCUCAUUAAUGACUUGGCUAUGUUCAUGUCUCAGGGGUUUUGCCUUAGGCUCGAAUAUGGGGUAUCCCAUGAAGUUAAAAGAGCUCGUCAUUUGUCAUAUGCUAGGGGAGCAUUUGAUGCUGCUCCAAGAUUUGAACCAUUAUAUGAGGCUAAAUGUUUGCGGACCUUCCUACCUACCUCUUUAAAUCCAUAUAGAUUUUAUGAAAGAUUUUUUGUAAGUAAAAAAGUUCUACAAGAUUUGUUGCCAUCACUAAGAUGUUUACGGGUGUUAUCAUUGUCACGUUAUCAAAAUGUUACUGUGUUACCUGAUUCUAUUGCAAACCUCAUUCACUUGCACUACUUGGAUCUUUCCCAUACCGCAAUUAAAAGGUUACCUGGGGUACUUUGCAAUCUCUUCAACUUGCAGACAUUACUAUUGUCAAAUUGUUCCUCACUCCAUGAAUUGCCUGCAGACAUUAGAAAAUUGAUUAAUUUACAGAAAUUGACAUUGGGCGGUUGUAGUUCUCUUAAUAAAUUGCCUGCAGGCAUGAAGGAGUUGACUAAUUUGCAUCAUCUUGAUGUCAGUGGAACUGAAAUAGUAGAGAUGCCGGUGCAAAUGGGUAGACUGAAAAAUUUGAGAACAUUGACUGCAUUUGUUGUGGGCAAAUCUACUGGGUCAGGCAUAAGAGAACUGAGCGAGUUCCCGCAACUUCAAGGAAAACUAUCAAUUUUGAAGCUACAAAAUGUAGUUGAUGCGAGGGAUGCACUGCACGCCAAUAUGAAGCUCAAGACAGAUCUCAAGGAGUUAGAGUUUUCAUGGGGUGCGCAGGAUGCUGAUGAUUCCCAAAAGGAGAAAGAUGUACUUGACAAGCUCCAGCCUUGCGUGAAUUUGGAGAAAUUAACCAUUGGAUUCUAUGGUGGAACCAAUUUUCCGAAUUGGUUAGGAGACUCGUCUUUUUCUAACAUACAAGUCAUGCAUCUCAGUGACUGUAGUUAUUGUUGGUCGCUCCCACCAGUUGGACGGCUGUCGGCACUCAAAGAGCUCUGUAUAAAAAGAAUGAAGUCUUUGAGGACGAUUGGCGUUGAAUUCUAUGGCAGAGAUGGAGCUUAUCUGACUCAGCCAUUUCGAUCUCUGGAGAAGCUAGAGUUUAUAGAGAUGCCGGAGUGGGAGGAAUGGGUACCAAGUGGAAGUGCAAGUGGUAGUGAAUAUGGUCCAGACUUUCCUCAUCUCCAGGAGCUGAUUCUAAACGAGUGUCCGAAGCUAAGAGGAAGUUUGCCUUGUGAGUUGCCUUGCUUGAAGAAGCUUACGGUGUAUGGGUGUAAGGUUUUACAUGAUGGAAGGGCCGCUACCGCAACUACCAAUAGUCUUAACUAUAAAUCUCUGGAAGAAUUGGAUAUAAGGGGUGGAUGCCAAACUCUGUUAUCAUUAUUAGAGACAAAGCUCCUGUCCCGACUUAAGAUUGAAAAUGUUGACGUACAGUGCUUGCCCAACUGCAAUCGUCUUCAACGUUUGACUCUUUUGAAUUGUCCAACGCUGUCGUCAUUCCCUAAAGAUGGCCUACCCACUACAUUGACAUCACUUACUAUACUCAAUUGUAGGAGAUUAGAAUUCCUACCUCAUGAGAUGUUGGCCAAAUUAACAUCGCUUGACUAUUUGGGCAUACAAAGUAGCUGUGAUUCAAUGAGGUCCUUACCGUUGGGCAUUUUUCCCAAAUUGACGACGCUUCAAAUUCUUGGUUGUGAGAAUCUGGAAUCUUUUUCCUUGAUUGAAGAAGAAGGAGCUGUUGAGAAUCUCAGCCAUCUCAAUUCCUUGCAAGUCAUUAACUGUCCAAAAAUGGUGUGUUUUCACGAGGGAGAAUUGCCCUUUCCCAACCUGAGUCACUUUGUAGUCAUUGACUGCGAGAAUUUGAAGUCAUUGCCCGAACGCCUUCACACCCUCACUGCCCUUCGAUCUUUGAAUAUAUGGAAUCUUCCGAAUCUGGAGUCAUUUGCAGAAGAUGGGGGUUUGCCUCCCAACCUCCGAUCUUUUAUCAUUAGGAAUUGUAAGAGACUGAGGGCACUUGACUCAGUGGGUUUGCAAGCACUUGUCUACCUUCAGAUCGAUGGAAGUGACCAUGUCUUGGAGACGUUGCUGCUCCCUACCACUCUUCACACUCUCUGCAUCUCUGAUCUAUCAACUCUGAAAUCUUUGGACGGAAAGGGUCUUGGACACCUCACUUCUCUUCAAACUCUAAAAAUUUACAGCUGUCCAAGUCUUCAAUGCCUGCCAGAAGAGGGUUUGCCGCCAUCUCUUUCUCAUCUGAGUAUCCGCUGUUGUCCUACCCUGGAGGAAAGGUAUAAGAAUAAAACGGGACAAGAUUGGGCAAAGAUAUCUCACAUUCCUUGCAUCGAGAUAGGGGAAGAAGUGAUCAUAUAAUAUGAGCUAUUCCAUAUUUCACGCUCAACCCUCAACUCUCAAAUCAAAGUCAGGUGAGGUAUGUGCCUUCUCUUACUUUAAAAAACUGCUUCUCUUCUUCUAAUUGAAUACAAAAACCAAAACACAUAUUCUCUUUCUCUUCCAAAAACCCAAAUACAUGUUGGACAUAGCCCAACGCUGUACUUUCAUAGGUACUGCAUGUAUAUUAUCUUAGUAUCAACAGGUGGUCUUAUGUGGACGAGAGAGAACAUUGAGGAAUUACAAAAUCUUCUUAGUGAAUUAAGCUUGCUUCAGCUCUGUUUGUCAUCCCUCUCAUUUUCUUUGUUAAGCCUUGGUUUUUUAUUAGGAGAUGAAUGCUUUUAUAUAUUGAUGUCGUAGUCAGUCUUCAACCACACUCCGUUUUUAGAAUUCGUUUAUGUUACUAGUGGAGUGCUGCUGUAUUUUAUAUUUCGUUCCUGUAAUGUUUGAUGUUUAGUUUGAGUAGUCUAGCUUAUCCAGUAGAUAACUCGUCCCCUGUUUUGUAAUGUUUUUGUUUCCUCUAAUGAAAGCAGGUUUUACUUAUCUUAAACUUUUAUUUUUAUUUUUAAAUAUCAGUAAUAACUGGGAAAGCUUGCAUCUCCUUAAAUUGCUCAUUCUUACAUCUUUUAUAGUUUGUCGAUCUUGGGCAAGUGGAGAGAGAGGCGUCAAGUGAUACACAACAACCAUUUUCUGUGAGCUAAUUUGAUAAUGAUAAAUGGUAUGCUUUCUUGUCUUAAGCUGUGUGUUCUGCAAUUAUUUAAAACAAAGAGUGCCGCGCUUCAAGUUCGAGGAAAACAGGUAUUUUAGGUUAGCUGUAUAAUUCGUGGUAAAUGCCUUUUUCUAAGGUUCAUUUAGACUCCUAUUACGAUUAAUUUGUUGUUUCUAAUUUGGACUUGUAGGAACAGACCAAAUAUGUUCACACGUGGCAUCGCUCAAGUCAUCAUCAUUUCCGACAGAAAAUCAGCCUUCAAGUGUCUGCUGAGUCAAUGAACCUUUCUAGAUAUAUCAAGUGCAAUGGAAAUUCAUGAGUUACAUAGAGAUUUGUAAACAUUUUGAAGAUUGCAACACCUGCAAGUGAGAUAGGUGGUGACGAAAUCAGAGCUGAUCUUGAAGCCUCUGAUGCCCCGGUUGUUGCAAGUUGCACCUGAGAACAUGUUUUUUUGGGGUAAAAAACUGGCAACAUGUUCGGAGCUGGCAAUUCAGUCAGUGAUGAAGUUGAGAAGCAAAGCUCCAGUAAGGAAAUUGGUCGAGGUCGCCACAGGGAUGAUUGAUGGUGAAAUGGAUGCUAUUUCUUAUUGCAGCCUGUUCUCAAAGUUCUUGUUGGCAAAUGCAAGAAAUGGAGUAUUUUGAUUGGAAGGAGAGAUAAUGACAUGUCUUGACAAUUCUAGAACAGCCCAUCUGAGUUCUUUUGUCAGGCUGCAUCAUUCAAUCCCGGCAAAUAUCCAGUUUCUGCUAAACAAUCA